CUGCCAUGCCUUCUCGACUGCGGCGUUGAAGUGGACCAUUCCGGCCGUCCAUGGGUUGUCGAGCAGUGUGUUGUCGGAGAUGAACAGGACUUUGUGCGCCAGCACGUUCUUGUAGUACUGGUUGUCGAAGGUCGCCGGCGUGACUGGGUCAAGCGGCACCACCGUGGGGUCCAUCUGGUCGUCGCUGGACGGCCAAGGGCACCGUGCCUUUAGGUGCCCGGCGUAGGCGGGGUCGAGGGACGGGUCUGUCUGCCCCAGCUGCCCGCUGAAGUUGUAGAGGCGCUGCGUGAAGGAGGAGCAGUGGGAGCGGCCGAUGGUGUGCGCGCCAGAGAGCGUGACCAUGUCGUCGGCGUUGAGCCCCUUGCGCUUGAAGCUCUCGAUGAGCUCGUCGACCUCGUCAGUCGGAGCUGGGACAUUGUUGUCGAGCACCUCCUCCUCUUUGGACACGCGGCCAUCACGGCGGCCAGACGGGACCUUGUAGUCCAGGCCGCCGGCGAGGUAGGUGCUGUCACGGGCCGCGAACGCGACGAUGUCGGCGCAGGAGACGGUGCGCGGGCAGUGCGCCUCGAGGACGGCCUUGGCGUCGUCGAUGACGUCGAAGCCGCGCAUGGAUGCUGGGGUUGUUGGCCACUGAGUCCUUCUCGGCCUUGUUGCCCGGCGUGGAGUUGAUGAGGAUGGAGCCGUCGCAGCCCCGCGCCUACGCCGGGCUCACGGGCGAUGCCGCGGCGGACGGCGUUGCGCACGAUAUCCUCGGCCUGUGGGCACGAGUGCUCGUAGAAACCGACCUCAAGUUUCCCAGGCGGCGAGGCGAGUGCCACCGAUGAGGAGGCGGCGGCGAUGAGUGCCACCAGCAAGGCAGCAGGCAUCAGCCAGCAUGUCGACCGCCCCAUAUAUGAUCAACUGCAGUCGUAUAUACCCAAACUCUCAGCAAGUUUGCUAUAGUCGCUUGAGUUGAUCGAGGUCGAUGGUGAUGUUGAGAAGUGAAGCUGAUGAGGAGAUUUGAAGAACGGUGCCGCCGCUGGGUCUCUAUUUAUACAUUGGAAGCUUGCAUGGCGACAUGUCGCAGUUGGAGGAUGGCGUGUGUAUGUCAUGUGCACCCGGUCAAGAAAUAAGACCCAAUCUUCGCGUUCCCUAGCUAAUGUCUGCUAGACCCUCUUAAUUUCCAUGCACCAUCAUUAAAAAUAAAAAAAACUCCUUCGUCCUUCCUAUAACAAAACAGCUGCAAAACACGCAUCUUGUCUUUGUUUUGAAUUGCCACACGCGUCACUUUCGAUUGUAAAUUAUGUAGCUAUCACGAGGGGGUAUUUUUGAUCAAUCAACGUAAUGAUAAGCAGAGCAGACAACUGUUUAGAGAUGGACAAUGAUAUUACUUGCUUGAUCAUAUAUAUAUAUAUAUAUAUAUAUAUAUAUAUAUAUAUAUAUAUAUAUAUAUAUAUAUAUAUAUCAAGUUUCAUUGACAUGGUCGAUACCGCUGCCGCAUGACCAAGACAAAUCGAAGCCGUGUCAAAAUGAAUUAUGUUAUCACUAAGGCUAGGUGUCAGCUUCACUAAUCACUAGCUAACAAUAUAUUGUAUAUGAUUUGCCAAAUCUUAUAGGGUCAAAUGACCCGAUAAGCCCACAUAGCUCUCUGCCUUUAGUUCAACCGAAGCCCCUACCACCCGAGCAUGUGGCCUUUGCAUGCUGUCAGUACUGACUGGCCCUGCCAAUCAGUUGGCGUGGUCAAUACAGGAUUGUUUUAGAGGUGGGGUGGGUGAGGCUCAAGCCCCGUACCGCUCUAGAGCUUAUAUAGUCCCACUAAAGACUCUCCUAAAAUUUAAAAUAUACAUAGUAUAAUUUAUUAUGUAUUUUAUGGUUUUUAUCUUCAUCGAUUUUUAAUAAUACUACUCUAAACUAUUAUAUAUAUUUAUUGUGAGUGAUUUAGUGAGAUUAUAUCGAUGUAGUGGUUUAGUUAAAUAUGUCUUAAAAUAAGGUCAGUAUUGUUCAUGUUGAGACCUUGCCGGUCGUAUUAUCCGUGGCUUUAAAGUACGGGUCAAUAUCGAUCGUCUCGUGCUGAAGUAGCAGCUUCUGAUUGGCUAGCUCCAUUUUAACCAUUUGGAUUUCCAUAUCUAUAUCCUUCUCAUUAUCCAUACCGACCAUCCGUGGAUGCUCCUCCUCCUACGACCGACGCUCCUUCUCCUACCUGUGAAGUUCCAUCCACUAAAGCUCCUUGUCGAGGAAUUUCUCGAUAGUGAAUUUAUGUGGGCGGAUUGCGCGUGAUCUAGAGAAGAAAGUAAGAACACAUGGACACAAAUAAUUAUACUAGUUUGGGCUCUCCUAGGAGAUAAUAUCCUACCUCUAGUGGCUGUCGGUGAUCUCCUUUCCAUGAAAUGUCUGAUACCGCCUUUUAUAGUCUAAGGAAGCAAUCAGUUAUAGGAAGAUCAGAUAAAGAUUCUUAUGUAAACCUAUCCUUAUCUACCAAUCCCUCGUAUCUCGGGUUCUAUUGUUACAACAAAAACAUGUAGAUGAGUUAAUCGUCCUGCCCCCAGAUCCAUUCUUGACGUGAGAUCUUGAGAGUUCCGUCCGAGUCCGAGUUGGGAGCGGGGACUAUGUUAUGCCACAAGUUAGUUUCGUGAAUAUUGACGUGUUCAGGAUAGCCAUGAUGUCUAUCUUUUACAAUAGCCUAUGAGUUUUAUCAGAGUGUUUCGGGCAGAUGAAACUCUUCUAUUGAAUCUUGUGAAUGUUUUUGAACUAUUUGUGUCUGACUUGUUUUUAUCUCCUGAUCGAGUUCCAUGCCGGUUGUCAAGUGCUAAGUAUCAAAGGUGCCAACUCAUAUGGGUUUGAAUCUUGAAAAACGUAAAUAUGCACCUCUGGUGCAUCCUAUGGAUGUAGCCCCCGAGGCCGACUUAUAGAGUUACCAGCUUGGGUAAGUUAGCCUCUGUCUCUUGAGGAAUAUCUACCAAUUCUUCGGCUAUUAAUAGGAGCAUUAUGUGGGCAAGAGUCCAGCCUCUGAGACUUGCGAUUCAGCCUUUUACUAUCCAAAUCUCAAUUUGAGAAUCUUUGAGCUAAUACUUGAAAACUGCUCUUCCCAACGAGUUGUAUGAGGUGGCAAUUAGCCCUCCGAGCCGAAGGCAUUUGAUGUUCGUUCACCUGUCGUAUGGUGAUGUUUCUAAAUAGAAUCAUAUUUAAAGAGUCUGGAUUAAAUCAAGAUAUUCUUCAGUGUGUUACUUCAAAUGAGAUCUUAAAGCACCAAGUCGGGUACUAGGACUCAUCAGUUUUAUCAUGUUGAAGGAAAAGGAAGCGGGUCUUCAGAAAGGCCCCCCUCAGUAGGCUAAAUCUUGGGAUUUAGCAAUUGACAUACCAUCGGGGAAGUAUGCAUCUAAGAAUUCGAGCCAAAAUACUCUACAAUUUCACACAUCAUCGAAAGAAACUAUCGCUGCUUGGAUUCCCUCUUUGUUGCCCUCAAAAGGGUCUUUAUGUUGCCCUAUCGGUGAACCAAACUGAAAGGGGCUUUUGCUAUCCCACGAAUGGGUCACAAGCGACAAGCAGGGCCAUGUAGGUGAUACUUGCCAUUUCCCUAGAGUGAUCCCUACUCCAUCCAAAUUGACGUAUAGGCGUUUUAGCGGUGGUAAUCGAAUCCCCUUAAUACCCUUAAAAUUACUAUCAAGAUGUGAUGUGGUAGGGGGAGGUUCCAUCGAAGCUUUGCACCAGGUGGUAGCUAAGGCAUGUAGGUGGCAUAGAUAGAGGGUGAGGCUCAAUCUUCCUUGAGGUAGGAUAACUUGAUUUGGUAGAGAUCUUGACAUUGAUGAUCCGAUCCUCGCAAUCACUACACCACUGCUCAGUUGGUUAUUACCCAUGACACACGAGUGACCUCGCCAUGAAGUCUUAUCCCUGCAAGUGCAAUCAAGAACACAAGUAAGAACAUGAAAAACACAAUCAACUGUAUUGAUCAUGAGGUGGGGUCUCACAAACCAAUGAACAACGACAAUGUUCGAUGACAGAAUGAAUCUAAGAAAAACCCAAACCCUAAUGUGGUGGAGGCUGCUGAAACAAUAGAAGUUAGGGGCGUGCAAAACCUCUGGAGGUACCCCUAAUGGGCUCCAACACGAUACACGGGCCAACAGCCCUACAGACGAUGUCACAACAUCGAAACAGAAUCUGAACGCUGACUUGUUUCGACGAUUCUUGUUGACUCCAGAUAAAUUUUAAGAUGGUUCUAGUUGUGUUGGAAAGUGUGUCACCUUAGAUUUCCAUCCAUAUAAAGUCCUACCUAAUCGGAGAUGGAUGCAUCAUGGGCAUCCAUUUUAGUACAGACUGGUCCUGGACUUCGAGGUGGAGACGAAGUUGACUCAGACUUGGCUCCCUCUUGUCGCGAACGUCCUAACAUCUCAUCCUUGACAUCUUGGCCUUUACCAAGUCCUUGCUACUCCUUUCCAAGGUUCCUAAUCAUCAAAACAUUCAUAGCAACAAGCGUAAUCUCUAAAACACAAUUGACUAGGUUACAACGAAUCUGGAGAUUCAGUCGUCGUGCACGUGCUCAUGUUAUCGGUCCAUGCAUUGUCUGUAUGGGAGUGAUGUCCUCAUCAUCCUUCCCCUAUUGAAUUGGGGUCAUAAUUGACUUAGGCGGUGGCCAAGGGGGUGGUCGAGCAACCCUAGGGUGUACAAGACCUUUAGGCUCAAAAAUAGGCAUCACUGAUUUCUAGAAGAUUCUGGACGUCAUUUUGUUAUGAUGAUUCCUAUUAGCUCCAAGUGUAUUUUGAUAUGGGACAAGUUGGGCUGGAAAUCUUAUCUAUUUAGCUUUUCAUUGCUAUCUAGAACGUCAAAACGGAGUCCGUAUGUGGCCUGAGCGUCCUUUAUCAUGAGACCACUCUUGUAGUCCGAACUGGAGUCGCGAAUAAACUGAACUUCAACUCUCUUGAGCUUGGGAAUCUAUGAUUGAUUUGGCCUAGACCAUAUAAUUGACGUCCAUGUACUCAUCAAUCUCUCCUUCUUGGUUUUGAGUCAUCCUCGACUCAAAGUUGUUGGUGCCUGCAUAAGGUAUUGUUGUAGGUCUUGACAUCGUCCAACCUUGCUCCCCUUCUUGAAGUUGAUACUGUUGUUGCAAAACAUACAAAGAAGGACAAGUGGAACUGGACAUGAUAUGGUUAGCUUUAACACAUCACUCUAGUUGAUCAUAUGUUUCAUGACAAAAGGAGAAUUCAUAUUUGAACAAAUAUAUACUCGAUGUACACUAUAUGCUCAUUUCUAAUUAUAUCUUCCAAUAAAAUAAUAUGUAUGUUUAGAUAUCCAUGGCAAAUCAGUACUAGAAGAAAGUUUCCCUUCUAAAUUAUUCAGAUUACAUAGACCCCCAAAUUCAAUACAACCCAAAGUAUUUGAAGAAGACGACAAUUUUAGGUCAUCAUGCACACUAGUUAUGGGAUUGAAAAUUCUAAUUUCAUCACAACUAGUAGGAUUGGAAGCAACAUUAUCAAGUUUGUUCUCAAGUUGUGGCAUAUAGGUAAUAGAAGAAUCAUCACUCAAUUCUUUGUUAUCACAAGAAUCAGUAGUACAAUCAUCACGUGACAAAGGUAACUCAGAUAUAUUUGAAGGCAUGGCAUCAUUGGAAGAAACAAAUCGUUCUCUCAUAAGCGCUUUGAUAUUAGCCCACGAUUUUGGUUUGUCAUAGUCAUGAAAAUUGUUCCACCAAACUAAUGCAUGAUUCAUUAAAGUACUAGCCACAAUCUUAAUUUUUCUCCAAUCACAAAUACGCCAUCGUGCAAAAAUCUUAUCCGUUAAUUGAUACUUCCCAUUCAGUAUACUCACUUGCAAUAUUUUAAUCAAAAGAAGAGAAAUAUGGAUAUAUAGAACCUGAGGGAGAUGAAUCAGCAUCAAUGGCGUGGCUCUCAAAAGCUUUAGUCAAUGUGGGCAUCAUUUCCUUUAAUUCCAGAUGGGAGACACUCACCAUCAGUAGGCUUAGUGCCCUUAACCUUGUCUCUUUGGUCCUGUCAUUGUUAGUACAAAACAAAAACAAAGGCAACAAAUAAACAAUAUAAACCCUAUAGCUACUCUAAGGGGUGGUGCUGGAACACAAGUUAUGAAGCGUCUUACCCCGCUCUUAUAAGGUUCUUACUAGCACUGCAGGUGGCAAACGGUGGCCGGUGUGACAACAAUUAGAGUGUGGGUGUGACUACAAAUAAGUAUCUAUUCUGCUCAAGAUAAAGGUGAAGCUUUGGGAAGAUUCACUAAAUAUAUAUCUAUGGAACACAAGUCAGUAACAUAUAGCAAUGUUGAAUAAGUGUCCAAAGUACUUGUCCUAGCUACUGGCCCAAAGGAUUUAUUAGAAUAGUUGGGGAAAGACACAAAGGAGGUAACAAGAAUUGAUGUAUAGCAAGGGAACAAGUUGGAAGGAAAUACAAUUAUAAAGGUGCAUAGGUCAAUGGUGUCCCUGCUUAUGUGCACUCUAUUAUCUCUUUUUCUCUUUUUUAUUUUUUAUCUUUGUUUUAUGUGGCUUUUUUGCACUUGCCUUUUAUAUUAUUAAUUUUUGGAUAAAAGUGCCGCAAAACAAGAUAUAACAUAAGAGUAUCAAAAAAAAUCUUGUAUGCCUGUCAUAUAUUUUCUGCUCUAACUUCAACAGACUGUUUGACAAAUUAAGCUACCUUAAACGCAAAAACUCACAACACAAAAAUUGUCUGUCUCCUUUUUAUCGUUAUUUUAGAUAUAUGGAACGCCUAUUUUGGAUAAAUUAAGUGGGAGAUAUUGACCCAGAAAUACAGACUAAUCCUAAAUUUCAGGAUCACAAACAUAUUUACUUCCAAUACAGAUAACUCCUUAGUUCUGUAGUUUUCUAGAAAUCUUGUACAUAAUAAAGUUUAACGUAGAUAAUUUUAUAAGCUUUCUAGAAAGUACAAGAACACUUAAUUCCAAGUUCGUAUGCGAGAUUUAUGCUCAAAAUACCGAACUGGAUAAAAACUUAUCUAAUAAAGAUGAGAUGAUGUGAUUAAAAAUGAUGGGAUCUGUUUUGGAGAUUAAAUUUGUGGGAUGGAAGCGGAUGAAAAGUAUUAAACUGAACCAAAACAAAUCUAAACUAACAACCAAACACAAUCUAGGACACAAACUCAUAACUCAGGACUCCGAAACUGAAUUAUGCCAAGGCUAAGGCGGUGAUUGUAGGUCAGGGAACAAUCGAUCUAUAUACUUGUUGGCUUUUGUGGACUAUGGGACGAAACAAAAUGAAUCUAAAAGUUAGAUUAUACCUCAUGGGCAACCUGAAUCUUUAUACCACUUGAUAGAGGGGGAGGCCAGAUCUUCCAUGAGGUAGGAUGACUUGAUUGGGCAGAGAUCUCGACGUUGAUGAUCCAAGGCUCAUAGCGAACGGACCUCGCAAUCACUACACCACUACUCCAUUAGUUAUCACCCGUGACACAAUCAAGAACAUAAGUAAGAACAAUAAGAACGCAAUCUCGACAUUGAUGAUCCAAGGCUCCUAGUGAAUGGAUCCUCGCAAUCACCUCACCACAAAGGCUUAUCUAUACAAGCGCAAUCAAGAACAUAAGUAAGAACAAUAAGAACACAAUCAAACUAUAUUGAUCACGAGGUGGGAUCUCACUAACUGAUGAACGACAAAACUGUUCGAUUACAUAAUGAAUCUAAGCAAAACAAUGUAGUGGAAGAAGCUGAUAAAAUAGAGGUUAGGGGAAUGUAAAAGACAUGAAGGUACCUCUAAUGGGCUCCAACACGAUGCACGACUAACGACCCAACACAUGGUGUUGUAGCACCGAAACAUAAUCUGAACACCGACUUGUUUUGACGAUUCUCGUUGACUCUAGAAGAAUUUUAAGUUGGUUCUAGUUGGGUUGGAAAGCUUAUCUCCUUAUUUUUCCAUCCAUAUAAAUUCCAACCUAAUCGGAGUUCGUAUGCAACCUAGGAGUCCAUUUUAAUGCAGACUAGUCCUAGACUCUAAGGUGGAGACGAAGUUCAGUCGGACUUGGAUCCCUCUUGUCACAAAUGUCCUAGCUUCUCCUCCUUGACAUCUUGGCCUUUCCCAAGUCCUUGUUGGUCCUCUCUAAGAUUCCUAAUCAUCAAAACAUCCAUGGCACCAAGUGUAUGCUCUAAAACAUAAUUGACUAGGUUAGAACGAAUCUGGAGAUUCAGCUGUCGUGCACAAGCUCGUGUUAUCGGACCAUGCGUUGUAUGUAUGGGAGUGAUGUCCUCAUUAGGUAUUGUCGCCCUUCCCUCAUGGGAACCCAACUCUGCCCAAGCCGAAUCAUCUAGGCACUUCUAACAGCAGCGUCAACGCCUAAUAUCCUUAGAGUGUUGACCAGAUUUGUUGGAGUUUGGAGGGCUGAGCCAUAUUUUGUCCUUCAAGAAAGAUGUUCAAGAAGCAAUUAGUAACCAACAUAAAUGAAAAAGUUUGUAGGAAUAUAUAAUGGUAUGAAAUAGUUAAGAGAAAAAUCUUUGGUCGUGAUACAAACACUGAAAUUGUCCAAUAAUACUUGCUCGAAAGUGGGGAAUAUGCAAAAAUAGCGCAGUAGCUCGACAUUUUAGAGAUUAGUAACGAGGGUACCAUCUUCUUGCUGGAGUUGACAAGCACAUGAUCGAAGCACUUCCAAGAUGAUGUAAGGGCCUUUCCAUAUGGGUGAUAACUUAUGUUUGUCAUUCAUGCUUUGGAUCUUUCACAACACCAGCCCCCCUACAGUAAAGCUUCGAUCUCGAACAUUUUUGGAGUGAUAUCUCUUCUUGGAUUGUCGAUAUAGUGCUAACUACACUAUCAUUAAGUCCCUUGCGUCCUCAAGUUUAUCAAGGUCGGCAACUCGACCCUCUCGAGACCAGUCUUCUGUGAAAUUUAGAACUCAGAAGGAUUGGUGCUUCAUUUUAGAUGGGAGCAUGGCCUUAUAUCCAUAUACUAAAAAGAAUGAGGCCUGACAUGUUGUGGAACUUGGUGGAGUACUGUUGGUAACUCUUCGACCCACAUCCCUACAUAAGCGACCUAAAAUCAUGGGCUUCAAACCCUUAAGAAUAAGGCCAUUGGCUCUUUCCACGUGGCCAUUGCUUUGGGGAUGAGUGACAGAAGCGAAGUUCACUAUGAUCCCGCUUUCAGAAGAAAAUUCCAUAAAUGCUUGAGAAGUAAACUGGCUUCCAUUAUCUGUUAUGAUGGAUCUCGAGACGAUGAAUUGGUUAAAGAUUUCCUAUGUGAACUCCCCAGCUCUAGUGGCCAUGAUCUUUGCCAUAGGUUUUGCUUCAAUUCACUUGGUGAAUUUGUCAAUGGCAACAAGAGGAAAACCACACCAUCUUUGGCCAGUUUGAAAAGUCCCACAAUGUCUAAAGACCAAGUGAUUGGGAUGGUUUGGAACGGUGCAGCUAUAAUGUGGGCGGUGGGCCUGGUGCACAAAAAUUUGACAUCCUUCUCAUGUUCGCGUAAGUUGUUGGGCAUCAGUUACCGCAGUUAGCGAGAAAAAAACUUGCCGAUAGAUUUUCCAACCAAUGUUUUAGCUUCUACAUGAUUUCCACAUAAGCACGAGUGGAUUUCACUGUGUUGUGCUCUUCCUUCUUUGGUGGGGACACAUAUCAUCAAGACUUAUGAAGCACUUUUUUGAUAUAGCUCAUCGUUUGUAAAUACGUAUGUGUUAGAUUUCCGGUACCCUUGAAGGCUAGCUAAUUUGAUUCAAUGAUCAUUACACUGGGCUCUCCCCCAUCAAGCAUCUCUAAUCCUGGUUGUUUAGCUAACUCAGCCGAAGGGGAUUUAGCCAUCUUACUGAUGGUUGGGGAAGUUAAUUUUCCAAGAUGGCUCCUGGUGGCAUAGGGGAUCUUGACGAUCAUAUUCUUGCCAAUAUAUUUGUUUCUUCAUUCUUAGCCUGUAGGAUAUGCGUAAAUUGGAUCCCAUCAAACUUUUCUUUGAGCUUCCGAGUUUCCUGGUAGUAACUCAGCAUUUUGUCAUCGUUGUAGGUCCACUCUUUAUUUAUUUGAUUGAUUAGUAAUGAGUCACCUAAAACUCUGAUCUGGUGAAUGUCGAGAGCGAUGGCAAUUUGCACAUUGAGUAAGCCUUAUAUUUGGCAACAUUGUUUGAUGUCGGGAAGUGUGUUUUAAGAACGAACUUAAACUUCUCACCUUUUGGAGAAGUAACCACUACUCUCGCUCCUACUCCAGUGGGUUACAAGGUUCCGUCGAAGUUUACGAUCCAAUAGUCUAAAUGUUGUGACUUGGAUGGUAUCUGUAUCUCCGUCCACUAGGCGACAAAGUCACCGAGGACUUGAGCUUUGAUAGUCAUUCUUGGCUUGAAGACAAUGUUAUAUAGUCCAAGUUGGAUGGCCCACUUAGCAAUUUUGUCAGUGGCAUCUUUAUUGUGUAGUAUGUCCCUUGGUGUUGAAACUGUGUGUACUUUGAUUCAUUGUGCAUGAAAGUAAUGCACUGACUUGUGAGAAGUAAUGAGCAAAGCAAAGACCAUCUUUAUUAUAUGAAAGUAUCUUAAUAUGGACAUGUUGAGUACCUUUGAGAUGAAGUAGACCAGGAACUAUGCCUUCUGGGUACUGUUAGGACUCUGCUGCUCCACUACAAGGGUUGUGCUAACCACGUGAGUGGUGGUCAAGAAGUAUAGUUAGAGUGUCUCCCCUAAUUCAGGGGCAACCAGCACAGGGGGAUUCGUCAAACACUUCUUUGGGUGCUUCCUGAGCUUCCUGGGCCUCGCUAGUCCAUAUGAAAUGCUCUUGCUUUUUAACAGCUUGAAGAAAGACAAACCUCCAAUGCUAAGUCAAGAUCUGAAUCUUCUUAAUGAAGCCAUACAUCUAGUCAGUCUCUAGAUAUCCCGAAGACAACUCAGAGGUUCCAUCUUCAGUAUCGCAACCACUUUUUCUAGGUUCGCCUCAAUUCCUCUAUGUGAAAUUCAGUACCCAAGGAGUUUUCUCGAAUGGCACUGCAAAAGUGCACUUGUCGGGAUUUAACUUGAUACUAAAGUUUCUCAGAUUUUUGAAGGUUUUUUCUAAGUUAGAUAUCGAGUCCUUCUUGACCCUAGUCUUUAUUGCCACAUUAUUGACAUAUGCUUCCACAUUUCUAUGUAGUUGAGGUGCUAGGAACUUCUAGAUUCCCCUUUGGUAUGUAGCCCUUGCGGUCUUCAACCUAAACAACAUAGUGGUGUAACAGUACACAUCGAAUGGGGUGAUGAACGAAGUUUUGAUUUGGUUCACUUUUUAGUGGGAUUUGGUGAUACCUGGAGUAGCAGUUCAAGAAAGAGAGUAAGUCAUAGCCAGAUGUGGAAUCUACAAUUUUAUCGAUCCAUGUAAAUAGAACAGAUCUUUCGGGCAAGCCUUAUUUGGAUCGACAUAAUCAACAUACAUGCGCCAUUAUUUAUUUUUCUUUGGUACAAGUACAGGGUUUACUACCCACUCAAUAUUUCUCUAAUAAAACUAGCUUCUAGGAGUUGAGUUAUCUCCCUUUUAUUAUUUGACUAGAUUUGAGGUAGGGCUUACAGUAUGAAAGGGAAACAUGCCAUAAAAUUGUUUCUAUAUUUAUUUUGGUGUCCGAUGACCAUCAUAACCAUGUGAACUAACUAGUUUGUUAAGUAUAUGAUCAUAGGUCCAUAAGAAAAUACAUCAAAAGAUCAAACUCAAAAUUUAGAAGGCACGGACGGCCCAUGCCCCCAAUCCGGACCAUCUAAGACACAAACUCAGAGUUGGACAGAAACUAUGUCGAAUGGAAGAAGAGAACUACGGACCGUACGGAGCUAAACUCAUUUUAAAUCCAAAAUAAGUUUUUAUAUUUCAUUUCAAAAUCUUAGUUUGCAAGUGGAUCUCAACAAAAAAAAUAUAGUGGUCUAUUUUCCCUCCAAAAUUCUCCUCAAGAUAUCAUACAAAUAUUUCCCAAGUGAUCUCUUCAAAUUCUUUCUAGAAAUAUUGACUAAAUAUUUCACCAAUAUUUUCCCAAAUAUUUUUCUCACGAGAAAUACCCUCGGAAUCAUUUUUAAAAUUCCUACAAAUAUUUUGUUAAUAUUUUUUAUGCUCAUACGCAUAUAUACGCCACUGGUGUCAUACUGUAAGGCCCAAAAUUUGUAUAAAAAAUAAUAAUAAUAAUAAAAUAAAUAUAUGAAGAAAUAAAAUAGAAAAUUCAGAUAUAUCAAAUUAUACUUGAGUAUUGAGAAUUGAGGAUAGAAUCUUGAAAACCAAGAACUAUUUUAGAAGAGGAGUAAUAGAGAAUUUUUCUAUUCAACUGAAUGAUUAUGCAUUUCAUGAAAUGAUGCACCAUAAGCAAUCAUUUACAUGAAUAUUUAAUUUUAAAGUAACUUUAAUUCCUAUUCCACAAUCAAAAUAUUAUUUUCCUAAAGAAAAGAAAGGAACAAUAGGAAUGUGUUUCAUAUUUCAAACAUUUAUCAAACAAAUAAAUUAAUUAGAAUAAAUAAAUAUCUACUGCAUCAUGAUUGAUUUUUAGUGGGUAUUAAAUUUGAAUUCUUAAACUAUAUCUUAGAUUGGAAUAGUAAUUUUGUAAUGUCAAAAAAGGAAUAAUAUGGGAAUAUAACAAUGAGAUGAGAAUUGGGAUUUAACCCAAAGGUACAAUUCUAAGAUUUGAGAAAAGAGAAAAAAUUACUAAACAAAUGAGAUAAAAUAAGUAUAUAAAUAAGAAAAUAUUUCCUUACACUAACAUUUGAAUUUGGUAUAUUUUGAUCCAAGGUGAGACUCAUAACAAAACUUAAAUUUAAGUUUGAAAAUCAAGAGAAUGAAAUACAAAACAGAAAAGAUAAAAUGAAAAGGAAAACGAUCCAGUUGGGCCAAAACCGUGGAAUUCGGCCCACUCGACUCUCACGCGCGCGCGCCGGCCCAACGUUCGUGCAGACGCGCGCCUUGACACCUGACACUCGGGGCCCGCAUGUCAGUCCCGUUCCUCAGUUCUCAUCCCCUCCACCAGUCUUACCGCUGGGACCCCUUGGCGGUCUCUAUCUUUUUGUGCCCGCUUCUCUCGCUCUCACGGAUUUGCGGGGUCGUGAUGUCAGGAGCUCCUUCUUCCGCGGGUGGAUGGUUGGCGGCCGCGAAUUCUGCUGGCGUGGGUGCGCCCACCUCCCCAACAUCCCUGCGGAUCACUCGGGCGUUGAUCUUCUGUUGUGCGUUCGUCGCAUGGGGUGAUGGGACCCACCUGCCCACCUUCCGCACCAGUAAUCGCGGAAGUGGGCGGGUUGGCCGUGCGAGUCCACCGCGUUUGCGGUGAUCGCUGCGCCAAUGGGCAAGAGCUACAGAUAAAACCCCUCAGCACCUUCCCGACCGCGAAUCUUGAAACUCCACACCCUCCUCGGACUAGUCGUUCCCCUCCUUCACUGCGAGAACCGCACCGCAAGUGACACCGUUGCCCGCCGCCAUAGACCUGUGUCUGCACCGACAAUUGAAGGCCAAGGUGGCGUCGGUAUUGUUAGUUGGCACGCGUUGGUCGUUGGCAUGAAGUAUUGAGCUCGGUGACCCGUUCAAUCAUUCAAAAUUUCUCGUCGUCGACGGUGAUCCGCCGUGCGCCGUGAACGCCGCUUCUUGGUACUUAACUCUCGGUAAUAAGUUCAUCUCCAUUCAUAUUACCUCCUUCGUGCUAUGUAGCAAGGCCGAAUUUGGAAACCGACGCGGCAGUGUGGGGUGUGGCUUCGCCGGACAUGGCCACCGCCGUGCGGGGGUAGCACUGUCGGCCGUCGGUGUUUGAGUUGAGGGAUACCCCUUCAUCCCAACCGUUAUCCACCGAAGAUCGGCAAUCUGGCGGCUAAAGCGAAAUGGUGGGUCAUCGAUCUCAGAUCCGACGAUGACUCGAGAAUCAGGAUUUAUAUCCAUCGUCGAUCUAAUCUGGCGCGUCGAGUUAGAUUGGACGGUUGUGGUCGCAUGAUACCCCUUCGCGUGGCUCGUUUUACAUAAGAGACCUCGACUUUUUAGGAAAACAACCCGCAGUCCAUGGUCAUUGUGCGCUGAGUUUGGGGUAUCUUACACCAAGACCCCUGUUGUUCUCUAAUUUUGUGCACCUAGUCCAGAGAACAGUAAACCAGAUAAAAUUCAUUAGAAAAGGAUUUUUAAUGUAAAAAUAAACCCCUAGAACUUGUUUAAUUCAUAUAAAAUUCAUACUUCGUCCAAAUUGGUCCAUUCCAGUUCCUAUAAUUUUAUAAUAUUAUUGUUUAUACAUUAGUACGACUGUUUUGACAUGAAAGUCACAUUAAAAUUUAUUUCCUAACUAAUCUUAUACCAAGCACGUAAAAUCUUUGGAAAUUCAUAACUUAAAAUCUAUAACUCCAAAUUUAAUGAUUCCUGUUCCUAUGAUCUUAUUUUAAUGUGUAGAUUAUUAUUAUGUAUUUUGUUUACAUGUUUGGUGUGAUGUUAAUUUCUCCUUUAUACUAUGUAUGUUUGUAUUGAUGCGAGUAGACGAGCAAGUCACUGAGGAUCCUGGUGCCCAGCAGAUAGAAGUUGCUGAGCAGGAGCUCAUUGAAGGCAAGUUGUGCCCUUGAUCACUUCCUUUUUACCCAGUCAUGUUCUUACUAAUCAUAAUGAUCUGCAUAGGUUAAUUUUGGUGGGACCCAAUAGGUUACCCUAGUUUUGGCUAUCUUUAUACCUUGUUUUACCACUGAAUUUUUGGGUAGCAUAUGCUAUUGCUUUAUGUGGUUUUGGGUAUAGAGAUAUACAUUACUCAUGUUCACACUUUUGUUAUCAGUUUAAUAUCUAUUGUUCAUGAUAAGAUCAUUAUGUUAAUGGGAACAUGGAGAACCACCCGGGAAAACAAUGUCACCACAAGGGUGGUAUGGGACGCCCUUGGCUGACUAAUUAGGAAAGCUAGUGGAAGACUACCUUACCCGAAAGGGGCAAGGGCAGUAGGGGAGUUGCAUGCAGGGAGGUUCUCAGGUUGAUUUUGCUUCGAUGGCGGUCAGACGAGGGAUUCUUGCAAGUGCUCUUCCCAUAAACUGUAGCGGGUUUUCGGAAGCUAGUGGAACUUUGUAAAGGUCUCGUAGUGGAUCCCUAGCCAUUCACCUCGGUAGUGUCUAAGGGUCUUGCAAACCUUGGCGACAUGGGAUACAUGACUUGUGGGUACAGGGUACAACCUCUGCAGAGUGUAAAACUGGUAUACUAGUCAUGCUCAUGGUCAUGAGCGGCUCGGACACUCACAUGAUUAAUUUAUGGAAUUAAAUUCAAUUUGUCAUUUGCAUCGCAUUGGGAUUACUUUAUUAUUACUUCUAUUUAUUAUUACUACGGUUUGGUAUUUACUUACACUUAGUAUUUGCUAAUAAAAUUUUGACCAACUUAUAAAAGCAAUGCUCAGCUUCAACCUUUAUUUUGUUGAUCAACCUUACACUUCACAUGAACUCCCACCUUUGGUGAGUUCAUGCACAUUAUUCCCCACAACUUGUUGAGCGAUGAACAUGUGUGAGCUCACCCUUGCUGUCUCACACCCCCCACAGGAGAAGAACAGGUGGUUCAGGAGGAGCCACACAACGAGGAGUUUGAUCUGAUCUAGGUGGCGUCUCUCAGUUGACUUUAUGACGCCAAGGAUGGACUUUAGUUCAAUCUAUAUUUAUCUUUUAUUUUGUAAGACUUCCGCUAUGUAAUAGGUACUCUUAUUAUAUUAUGACAUUUAUCUCUAUAUAUUCUGUUAUUAUAUGUGUUGUCUUCUUUGGUGCAUAUAUGAGAUGCACCCAGCUUUGUCCUUUAAAUCCGGGUGUGACACAUACAAUGAGCUUGUCGGGGACCAUAAUUAGGGGUACCCUCAAGACGCCUAAUUCUCAGCUGGUAACCCCCAUCAGCAUAAAGCUGCAAAGGCCUGAUGGGUACGAUUAAGUCAGGGAUCAGUCCACACGAGUGACUCGAUCACGCUUCACCCGAGCCUAGCCUUGGCCAAGGGCAGCCGACCUCGAGAGACUUCCGUCUCGCCCGAGGCCCCCCUUUUUACGGCGGACACAUCACCGGCUCGCCCGAGGCCUUGGCUUCGCUCAGAAGCAACCCCAACUAAAUCGCCACACCGACUGACCGAGUUGCAGGAGCAUUUAACGCAAAGGUGGCCUGACACCUUUAUCCUGACACGCGCCCCCCGGCAGAGCCGACGUGACCGCCGUCACUCCACCGCUCCACUGACCAGUCUGACAGAAGGACAGCGCCGCCUGCGCCACUCCGACUGCGGUGCCACUCGACAGAGUGAGUCUGACAGACAGUCAGGCCUUGCCAAAGGCGCCACGGCGAACUCCGCUCCACCCGACCCCAGGGCUCGGACUCGGGCUAAGACCCGGAAGACGGCGAACUCCGCUCCGCUCGACCCCAGGGCUCGGACUCGGGCUAAGACCCGGAAGACGGCGAACUCCGCUCCGCCCGACCCUAGGGCUCGGACUCGGGCUAAGACCCGGAAGACGGCGAACUCCGCUCCGCCCGACCCCAGGGCUCGGACUCGGGCUAAGACCCGGAAGACGGCGAACUCCGCUCCGCCCGACCCCAGGGCUCGGACUCGGGCUAAGACCCGGAAGACGGCGAACUCCGCUCCGCCUGACCCCAGGGCUCGGACUCGGGCUAAGACCCGGAAGACGGCGAACUCCGCUCCGCCCGACCCCAGGGCUCGGACUCGGGCUAAGACCCGGAAGACGACGAAACUCCGCCUCGCCCGACCCCAGGGCUCGGACUCCGCCCUGGCCUCGGCCGAACGACCUCCGCCUCGCCUGACCCCAUGGCUCGGACUCGGCCUCGGCAACAGAAGACAGACUCAACCUCGGCUUCGGAGGAGCCCCCACGUCACCCUGCCUAGGGCACAGACCCGCCACGUCAACAGGAAGCGCCAUCAUCGUCCUACCCCGAAUCGACUCGGGUCACGGAGAACAAGACUGGCGUCCCAUCCGGCCAGCUCCGCCGGAUGGGCAAUGAUGGCGCUCCUCAAGCUCUGUGACGACGGCGGCCCCCAGCUCUCUUACGGAAGCAGGGCGACGUCAGCAAGGACUCGACCGCUCCAACAGCUGUCCCUCCGCCAGGCUCCGUCGCACCUCCGACAGCCACGACAUCACGCCAGCAAGGUGCCAAGACCUCUCCGGCUGCCACAUUGGCAUGUACCUAGGGCGCUAGCUCUCUCUCCGCUAGACACGUAGCACUCUGCUACACCCCCCAUUGUACACCUAGAUCCUCUCCUUACGACUAUAAAAGGGAGGACCAGGGCCUUCUUAGAGGAGGUUGGCCGCGCGGGACCGAGGACGGGACAGGCGCUCUCUUGGGGCCGCUCGCUUCCCUCACCCGCGUGGACGCUUGUAACCCCCCUACUGCAAGCGCACCCGACCUGGGCGCGGGACGAACACGAAGGCCGCGGGACUUCCACCUCUCUCACGCUUGACUCCGGCCACCUCGCCUCUCCCCCCUUCGCGCUCGCCCACGCGCUCGACCCAUCUAGGCUGGGGCACGCAGCACACUCACUCGUCGGCUUUGGGACCCCCCUGUCUCGAAACGCCGACAGUUGGCGCGCCAGGUAGGGGCCUGCUGCGUGCUGACGAACAGCUCCCCGUCAAGCUCCAGAUGGGCAGUCUCCAGCAACCUCUCCGGCCCGGGGCGGUGCUUCGUUUCGGGACUCUUGAGUUCAUGUCCUUCGACGGCAGCUACAACAUGAUACUUCUUCCACCGCCGCGCGACAACGACAAUGGCGGCCGACAACCCGCCCGCCGGCGGCGGAAUCGACGACAUCUUCCCCGCGUGGUGGAAGAGCAACAUUCGAGCUCGCUCCGUUCUCUCCCCCGCCAACGGAGGAGGAGGCGGGGCCAUCAAGGCCAAGCGGGAGGCCGCGCUUCGUUGGCCGUCGAGCGAAUCGACGCCCCCGACGCCCCGACGGAAGGCACGCCGGACGUCGACCUCGCGUUCAAGACGAAGGCAAGCGCCGUCCCCCCGCGACACGCUGACCCCGAGCAAGAAGACGACGCCGGCGCGCUCGCGGAAAGCCUGCAGGAUGUCGCCCUCGUACCUGAGAUGACGGUGCAACCAGUCCCCGGUGUGACUACGUCGCUCCUCGUCGACCAAAAGGUACCGACUAACUCCCAUCUUACGUCAUUUCGACUCGGCCUCAACCCGCCAAACGACCUCGCUUUGGCGGGCGCUCUCAUUGAGGCGAGUGCAACCCCACUGGGGUUUCGUAUACGGUCGCCUUGGGACCGGCUGACGGACGUCUCGACCUACGGGCCCUCUGGGUCCGAGGAAGAUGACGACCCCAGCGUCUGUUGGGAUUUCUCCGGACUUGGCAACCCCAGUGCCAUGCGGGACUUCAUGACCGCAUGUGACUACUGCCUAUCCGACUGUUCCGACGGAAGCCGCAGCCUUGGCGACGAGAGCUGCGGCCCAAGCCGCGAAUGUUUCCACAUCGAGCUAGGGGAUCCCUCCGAAGGCAACCAUCUCGGCAUGCCGGAGGACGGUGAUCUUCCUAGGCCGGAGCCUCGCGCCGACAUCCCACGGGAGCUAGCUGUGGUCCCCGCUCCGGCGGGGGGUUACGACCCACAACUCGAGCAAGUCCGCGAGGCGCAGGCCAGGCUCAACGAGGGAACAGGAGCGCUUGAGCCGAUCCGUCGGGACGUCGGGCAGGUAUGGGCGGGCCAACCCCUGGCCGGAGAAAUACGUCACCUGCCCCAAGGUCUCCAGCACCGCGUCGCCAACGAUGUCAGGGUCAGGCCGCCGCCCGCAUCCAGCGGGGUUGGUCAGAACCUGGCAGCCGCAGCGAUGCUCCUCCGCGCGAUGCCGGAGCCAUCAACCACUGAGGGUCGGCGAAUCCAGGGAGAGCUCAAGAAUCUCCUGGAAGGCGCUGCGGCCCGACGGGCCGAGAGCACUGCCUCCCGAAGGCAAGGAUACCCCUCGGAACCUCAUGUCGUGGCUUCCCGAUUCAUGCGGGAAGCCUCGGUCUACACCGAGCGCACGCGCAACACCGCGCCUGCGGCCCCGGGCCACCUCGGCAACGAGCACCAUCGACGCGACCGUCGGGCCCACCUUGACAAAAGGGUGCGCCGAGGCUACCACCCCAGGCGUGGGGGGCGCUACGACAGCGGGGAGGAUCGGAGUCCCUCGCCCGAACCACCCGGUCCGCAGGCCUUCAGUCGAGCCAUCGGACGGGCGCCAUUCCCGACCCGGUUCCGAUCCCCGACUACUAUCACGAAGUACUCAGGGGAAACGAGACCAGAACUGUGGCUCGCGGACUACCGCCUUGCCUGCCAACUGGGUGGGACGGACGACGACAACCUCAUCAUCCGUAACCUCCCCCUGUUCCUCUCCGACACUGCUCGCGCCUGGUUGGAGCACCUGCCUCCGGGGCAGAUCUCCAACUGGGACGACUUGGUCCAAGCCUUCGCUGGCAAUUUCCAGGGCACAUACGUGCGCCCCGGGAAUUCCUGGGACCUUCGAAGCUGCCGGCAACAGCCGGGGGAGUCGCUCCGGGACUACAUCCGGCGAUUCUCGAAGCAGCGCACCGAGCUGCCCAACAUCACCGACUCGGAUGUCAUCGGCGCGUUCCUCGCCGGCACCACUUGCCGCGACCUGGUGAGCAAGCUGGGUCGCAAGACUCCCACCAGGGCGAGCGAGCUGAUGGACAUCGCCACCAAGUUCGCCUCUGGCCAGGAGGCGGUCGAGGCUAUCUUCCGAAAGGACAAGCAGCCCUAGGGCCGCCCAUCGGAAGAGGCUCCCGAGGCGUCUGCUCCGCGCGGCGCCAAGAAGAAAGGCAAGAGGAAGUCGCAAUCGAAACGCGACGCCGCUGACGCGGACCUUGUCGCCGCCGCCGAGCACAAGAACCCUCGGAAGCCCCCCGGAGGUGCAAACCUCUUCGACAAGAUGCUCAAGGAGCCGUGCCCCUACCAUCAGGGGCCCGUCAAGCACACCCUCGAGGAGUGCGUUAUGCUUCGGCGUCACUUCCACAGGGCCGGGCCACCCGCCGAGGGUGGCAGGGCCCACGACGACGGCAAGAACGAAGAUCACCAAGCAGGAGAGUUCCCCGAGGUCCGCGACUGCUUCAUGAUCUAUGGAGGGCAUGCGGCGAAUGCCUCGGCUCGGCAUCGCAAGCAAGAGCGCCGGGAGGUCUGCUCGGUGAAGGUGGCGGCGCCAGUCUACCUAGACUGGUCCGACAAGCCCAUCACCUUCGACCAGGCCGACCACCCCGACCAUGUGCCGAGCCCGGGGAAAUACCCGCUCGUCGUCGACCCCGUUGUCGGCAAUGUCAGGCUCACCAAGGUCCUAAUGGAUGGGGGCAGCUGCCUCAACAUCAUCUACGCCGAGACCCUCAAGCUCCUGCGCGUCGAUCUGUCCUCCGUCCGAGCAGGCGCUGCGCCCUUCCACGGGAUCAUCCCUGGGAAGCGCGUCCAGCCCCUCGGGCGACUCGACCUCCCCGUCUGCUUCGGGACGCCCUCCAACUUCCGAAGGGAGACCCUGACGUUCGAGGUGGUCGGGUUCCGAGGAACCUACCACGCCGUACUAGGGGGGCCAUGCUACGCGAAGUUCAUGGCCGUCCCCAACUACACCUACCUGAAGCUCAAGAUGCCGGGCCCCAACGGGGUCAUCACCGUCGGCCCCACGUACAAACACGCGUUCGAAUGCGACGUGGAGUGCGUGGAGUACGCCGAGGCCCUCGCCGAGUCCGAGGCCCUCAUCGCCGACCUGGAGAACCUCUCCAAGGAGGUGCCAGACGUGAAGCGCCAUGCCGGCAACUUCGAGCCAGCAGAGACGGUUAAGGCCGUCCCUCUUGACCCCAGUGGCGGCACCACCAAGCAGAUCCGGAUCGGUUCCGGGCUCGACCCCAAAUAGGAAGCAGUGCUCGUCGACUUUCUCCGCGCAAACGCCGACGUCCUUGCGCGGAGUCCCUCGGACAUGCCCGGCAUACCGAGGGAUGUCGCCAAACACUCGCUGGAUAUCCGGGCCGGAGCCCGAUCCGUCAGACAGCCUCUGCGCCUCGGUCAUCAAGGAAGGGUCGGCCUCGCCUUGGCAGAGCCCGACCCUCCCUCGGGGGCUAAAAAGGGGGAACCCCUCUACGUCAAGAUCGGGCAUACUUCUCCGUGUCAAAAAUUUUCAAUCAAAAAAGGGGCCUCUUGCGUCCUCCCGGCUACGUUCUCCCGGCCAUGUCAGAAGCAGGGUCUCGAGGAGCGAACGCGGGUACAUGUAAAUGGCAAGGCCGACUGAGCCGAGGAGCUCCUGUGCCUCCGGGUUAGGGAUACCUCACUCAUCACCUGCCACGAAGAAUGGCCCGACUCGAGAAGCCACCCUAUUAUUGACAAGCCAGGACGAACAUGCAGAUGGAAAGAAAGGAGAGUACGACUCCAUGCAAGAAAGACAAAGUGUUUAGGCCUAAGCAGCCGCGGUGAGACGCACAUCCAACAAGAAACUGUUCAAACAAGAAUUAGGCGCCGCCUUGGGAAGGAGCCGCGCCCUCAGCUCCAUCCCCGCUUUCGGUGGGGUCCAUCUCGGCCUCCGGUAACGUCGCAGGGGGAAGGAUCUCCGCCUCAAAGGUGGUCGCCAGCACCGCGCUCGGACCCGCGGCGACCGCGUCGAGCCGUUGGACCUCCGCUAGGGCAGCAUCGUCUUCGUCAGGAAGACAGUACCCCUCACUAACCCGCUCCAGGUCCACAACGUAGUGGGAAGCAAGCACGGCGAAGGCCCGCCUGACGCCGUGGUGUAGCGCUUCGCGGACUCUGCCGCGCGCGUGAUCACCCAAGGCUCGAAGGCGGCUCUGAGGGGAGCUUCCUGAAGGGACGUCGCCGGAACCGAGGACACGAUAAAAGUCCGAGACGGCCUCGGACAUGGCCGCAAGGUCCGCAUCCCUCUGCUCGGCAGCUCCGGCAAGCGUCUCAGCAAGCGCCUUGGCGGACUCGUCAAGGGCGGACUCAAGCUCUGCAAGCAACCAGGAGAAAUACCUCAAGCACAAGCAAAGGAAACGGACAAGAAAGAGAACCAGGGAGGACCAAGACGUACCUCCGGCUCGGGCACGAUGCUCCGAGGCCGCGACCUGGGCCGCGGCUAAGUCAGCCGCAAGGGUCUCGGCACGGCUUUCGGCCUCGGCAGCCCGGCCCUGAGAUCGGUCCCGUUCCUCGACGACCUGGGCGAGCUCCGAUCGCUGCCGUUGCGCCUCCGCACGCGCUGCAGCCGCCUCGGCUCUCAGGUCGGCGCAGAGCAGCUGGAGGUCCGCCACCUUGGCAUCCUGCUGAGAAAGGCGCGCGGUAGCCCCGGCGAGCGAGGACCUCAGGGAUCGCAGCGAGCCCCAGACAUCAACCUCACGGCGGAUGAACGACGACUUGGCGGCGCUCCGGUCCGACAGAUCCUGGGGAAAGGAAACAGGGCGUCACGACGAGUGUCUCGCCCACAGAAGGAAAAAAGGUAUGCCCGAAACCGCUACCUGGAGGAUUUUGGGGACGUCUCUGCAGAAAACCUCCAGCGACGACCGGAGCGACCCCACCGUUGCCUCUGCGCGCUCGCGGAGCUCACCCCAGGACUGGUCCUCCUGCUCAUCAUCGAGAACGAAGACGGGGUCCGAGGCCUCGCGGGUCCGGAAUCGGAGCAACGGGCGCCGGGCCUCGGGGCUCCGCCGCACAGCGAUGAGGCUGCUGCCCGGCUGGACGGAUUGCGCGUCCACGCCCACCUCUUCUGAAGUCUUGGGCGCCGACGCAUCAGCCAUCCCGACGCUGGCGGCAACUGGACGCCCUUCGACAGGGACGGCGGCAACCUCGGCGGUGGCAGGCGCCGGCAUGACCGGCACGACAGGCGAACUCAGGGCCGCGUGGGCGUCAGCCGCCUCCUCAACCACGAUAGCCGCCUCGGCUGAAGAGCCGGCCUCGGGAGCCCGCUCCUCAGAGAUUGGCGACGCCCGAGCCCCCGGUGGUGAAGUACCCCGCGAAAGGGUCGGUGGAAUGGCGCUGGCCACACAGUUCGGCACCGUCUUGAGGGCCUUCCGGGGUGCCAGGUCGGUCUGGCCAUGACUUCGCUUGCUGGAUAUAAAAAAAGAGAGGAGGAAAGAAAGAUCACGACCGAGACAUAUGAAUGGGAAGCCAAGACGAAGACAUUCCGAGAUACUCACCCACUUCGGGCCAUGAUCCACCGCGCCUGGGGGGAGCCUUCUUGGAUCCCGGCUCCCGAAACAGCCGCCGAGGUCCGCUUCGCCGGCACCUUCGGCACCACCCUUGCUUGGGGCGCCCGGGAAGCGGAUUCCCCGGGCACGGCCGCGACGACUUGAGGGUCACCCCCAUGCGCCACCGACACGAGCGGCGGCCCCUAGGGAACAGACGCCUUGGCCUGGACCACCGAAGCUGCCUCAGCUCCUCCGGUUGAGGGGUCAGGUGACCUCUCGGUUCGCCCCCGUGCCUCGGGUCGGGAGCCCGACGCCCCGACUUCGGGGGCUGACGGAGUCGGCCCGCUCGGGGGCUGGCUCGACGGCUCCUGGCCACACCCCAAGCUGGGGCUGAGGCCGAGACGGGCGGCCAUGUCAUCCUCUUCAUCAUCAUCAUCGUCAUCAUCGUCGUCGGGCGUCUCCGGCGACGGCUCCCUCGGGAGUCCGUCCCUCUCCUGCUGGCGACGGUGCUUCUCCAAGGCGUCCCGAGCCCGCCUCCGCUCGCGGGCCCGGGCCUUCUCCGCGUCCUUCUUUUUCUUCUUCUCCUCCGCGGCGACCCGCCGCGCUGCACGGUCCACCGCGUCCUCCGGGACCCGUGGCUGGGAGGGUUUGUGCCACCCCACAUCCUAAAAGGAGGGGAGAAAGGAACCCGAUCAUAAGGACCCGGAGCGACCCGAUAUACGAAGAAGGAAGGAGCGAACACUCACCAAAGUCACACACCCCUGGUCGGGGCGCAUCCAAAGCUGGGAGUAUGCGUGGGGGUCCGGCUUCCCCAUCGCAGCCGACACCCUCCGACGGUGGAUAGCGGCGAUCACUCCCGCAGCGGUGAGUCCCCCCUCCCGCAACUCCUUCAGGGCCUGGAGAAGGGGUUCGAGAUUCUUCUGCCUCUCGUGCGGGGUCCCGUGGCGCCAGGCGUCGGUGGCAGUCGUAACUACUCGCUGGGAAAACGGUGGGAGCAACUCACCGUCAUUCCGGAGGUAGAACCACCGGCGCUGCCACCCCUUGUUCGAAGACGCAAGAAUGGCAGGAAUGUACUGCAGCGCCCGCGACUGCCUCAACAAGAGAAUGCAGCCGCCGGCCCGCACCGCUGCACGGAUCCUCCUCUCCCCCGUCGACAAGGCGAAAGGCUCGGCGAGGAAGAGAUGAGUCCACAAAUCCCAAUGAGGAGCGAUCCCCAAGUAUCCUUCGCAUACCGCUACGAAGAUAGCGGCCUGCGAGAUGGAGUUGGGGGAGAGGUUGUGCAACUCCACCCCGUAGUGGAAUAGGAUGGCCCGCAUAAAGCGGCCCGUCGGCACACCAAAUCCCCGCUCAUGGAAGGAGACGAAGCUCACGACAUACCCCGGCGGUGGGGACGGAGCGGCUCCGCCCACGGGAGGAAUCCACUCUGGCCGCUGCUUGUCGGUGAGGGGGCGGAGCAAACCUUCGCCGACCAGCUCCUCCUGAUCACUCGCCGUCACCGUGGAGAAGGGCCACAGAUCGCGCGGGGGGAUUAUGGUCACUCGAUCCGCCAUCACCAAAAUGGAGAAGAUGGCGGCGCGGGGGGCAGGGAGAGCGGUUUCUCUCUUCUCCGACUAAAGUUUCCCGGGUUGCGAAAACCUAAAGGGAAAAGAAGGGAGCAGAGCGAAGAACCGUCACUGGACCCCCUCUCAAGUAUAUGAAGGCCAGGGCGAAACUGUUUCCAGCACACCGCCUGGACCGGACGCGGGAUUCAAAAAGCGCGAAGCGGUACAGCCGUUCCUCAAACGGCUCGCGCACGCGUAACGGCCACCCCGCCAACCACUCGCCCCGUCGCAUUAACUCCGUGGCGGGACACGCGGCGCCUCUGGCAGGAGAAGCGCGCGACGCUUCGCCUUCGCCGUAAUAACCGCGUCAAAAAGAGGUACGCCACGUCGUUCGAUUUCGUAUCCCUUUCCUUUUUUCUCUUUCUCUAUCUCUUGCAACAGGGACCGGGAAAGGGGGAUACCCCGAAAAGGAUCCUUCUCCGCGAAGGAACCGGGCUCCGAGCCCCCCCUACUGAUCAGGGGUUCGAAGGCCAGCCCCCCGAAGGGUUCCAUGGCCGCCUCAGGCUACUCGGGCUCCGCGCCCAUUACUGAUCAGGGGUUCGAAGGCUGGCCCCCGAAGGGUUCACAGUCGCCUCAGACACCGAGCGAGGGAUGACCAGGGGUACGUUCGAUACAUAACCGAGGCUCGGGCUGCGCUCCCGAGGUACCCUAGGACAUUUCCGAGACCAGCGGGAACGAUCUUGUAACGGAAUCCCAUCGGAGGGAGGCAUCGAGCCCUCGGACCCCGUCGCCAGGGGACCGGGUCCGGCAAAUCACCCGCAGGUACUUUUGGGCGUGCCUCUGUGCCCCUAGCCGACCCCCAACGAACGGGGCACGGACGUCCACUCGGAUUACCCGCUUGCAGCUCACCGGAGACACCAUGUUCUGUGCCCAUCGAGGGUAACAUGGCGCACUCCCCCCCUCCGCCUUGCGGAAAGGCGACGUAGGAGCGUAUGUAAAAAGUCGAGUCUGUCCCUGAUCGUCCUCUCGCCCUGUGCAGAGGCUCGGGGGCUGCUCUCGCAAAAACCGGCUCUGGCCAAACCGUUGACAGCGUCAACAUACCAGCCCGAGAGCUUGGGCCCCGACCGUGCACCCGGGCUACGGCCAGUUCGCAUGAGGGAACGACCAGACCAGUCGAAGCAUUACGCAAGGUAUUAAGACCUCGAAGGAGUGUAACCACUCCUCCGAGGCCUCAGGGACUACACCCGGCGGGUGCGCUCGCGCGCACCCACCGGAACAAAAUGCAACCGAGAAAGGCUGGUCCCCUUGCAAAAAAGUGCGACGAAAGCCUCCAAGCGAGUGCUAACACUCCCUUCGAGGCUCGGGGGCUACUGUCGGGGACCAUAAUUAGGGGUACCCUCAAGACGCCUAAUUCUCAGCUGGUAACCCCCAUCAGCAUAAAGCUGCAAAGGCCUGAUGGGUACGAUUAAGUCAGGGAUCAGUCCACACGAGUGACUCGAUCAUGCUUCACCCGAGCCUAGCCUUGGCCAAGGGCAGCCGACCUCGAGAGACUUCCGUCUCGCCCGAGGCCCCCCUUUUUACGGCGGACACAUCACCGGCUCGCCCGAGGCCUUGGCUUCGCUCAGAAGCAACCCCGACUAAAUCGCCACACCGACUGACCGAGUUGCAGGAGCAUUUAACGCAAAGGUGGCCUGACACUUUUAUCCUGACACGCGCCCCCCCGGCAGAGCCGACGUGACCGCCGUCACUCCACCGCUCCACUGACCAGUCUGACAGAAGGACAGCGCCGCCUGCGCCACUCCGACUGCGGUGCCACUCGACAGAGUGAGUCUGACAGACAGUCAGGCCUUGCCAAAGGCGCCACGGCGAACUCCGCUCCGCCCGACCCCAGGGCUCGGACUCGGGCUAAGACCCGGAAGACGGCGAACUCCGCUCCGCCCGACCCCAGGGCUCGGACUCGGGCUAAGACCCGGAAGACGGCGAACUCCGCUCUGCCCGACCCCAGGGCUCGGACUCGGGCUAAGACCCGGAAGACGGCGAACUCCGCUCCGCCCGACCCCAGGGCUCGGACUCGGGCUAAGACCCGGAAGACGGCGAACUCCGCUCCGCCCGACCCCAGGGCUCGGACUCGGGCUAAGACCCGAAAGACGGCGAACUCCGCUCCGCCCGACCCCAGGGCUCGGACUCGGGCUAAGACCCGGAAGACGGCGAACUCCGCUCCGCCCGACCCCAGGGCUCAGACUCGGGCUAAGACCCGGAAGACGAUGAACUCCGCUCCGCCCGACCCUAGGGCUCGGACUCGGGCUAAGACCCGGAAGACGACGAAACUCCGCCUCGCCCGACCCCAGGGCUCGGACUGCGCCCUGGCCUCGGCCGAACGACCUCCGCCUCGCCCGACCCCAUGGCUCGGACUCGGCCUCGGCAAUAGAAUACAGACUCAACCUCGGCUUCGGAGGAGCCCCCACGUCACCCUGCCUAGGGCACAGACCCGCCACGUCAACAGGAAGCGCCAUCAUCGUCCUACCCCGAAUCGACUCGGGUCACGGAGAACAAGACCGGCGUCCCAUCCGGCCAGCUCCGCCGGAUGGGCAAUGAUGGCGCUCCACAAGCUCUGUGACGACGGCGGCCCCCAGCUCUCUUACGGAAGCAGGGCGACGUCAGCAAGGACUCGACCGCUCCAACAGCUGUCCCUCCGCCAGGCUCCGUCGCACCUUCGACAGCCACGACAUCACGCCAGCAAGGUGCCAAGACCUCUCCGGCUGCCACAUUGGCAUGUACCUAGGGCGCUAGCUCUCUCUCCGCUAGACACGUAGCACUCUGCUACACCCCCCAUUGUACACCUGGAUCCUCUCCUUACGACUAUAAAAGGGAGGACCAGGGCCUUCUUAGAGGAGGUUGGCCGCGCGAGACCGAGGACGGGACAGGCGCUCUCUUGGGGCCGCUCGCUUCCCUCACCCGCGUGGACGCUUGUAACCCCCCUACUGCAAGCGCACCCGACCUGGGCGCGGGACGAACACGAAGGCCGCGGGACUUCCACCUCUCUCACGCUCGACUCCGGCCACCUCGCCUCUCCCCCCUUCGCGCUCGCCCACGCGCUCGACCCAUCUGGGCUGGGGCACGCAGCACACUCACUCGUCGGCUUUGGGACCCCCUGUCUCGAAACGCCGACAGAGCUCUACAAGCUAAUUUCACUUAUCCACGGCUAAUACAUGCUUAUCUCCCACUAAUCAUUGCCUCCUCCCCCUAAUCCCCCACCUUGCCUAUAAAUAGAGGGCCAAGGGGCUCCCUCAUGCCAUCCCAAGCCAUUUCAUGGCAACUCACUCCCAGUCACUCCCACUCUCACAUAAACACAAGGAUCAUUCGAUCGUUGAUUCGAUCGUUCGUCCAAAUAUUCUUAGUUUGUUCGCUCGUUCGUCCGAUCGUUCAUCCAAUUGUUCAUGGUUUGUUCGUUCGUUCGAUCGUUCAAUCUUUCGUCCGUUCGUCUGUCCAAAUUUAGUUAUUGUUCAUUCGUUAUGCUGCAGAAAUUCCAAUCGUUCGUACAUUCGUUCAUAAUCCCUAUUCAUCGUUCGUUCAUACGAACUAUUCAUCAUUCGUUCAUAAUAAGUAUUCAUCAUUCAUAGUUACUAUUCAUCGUUCGACCGAUCACCCAAUUAUUCAGCUACUCAUCCAUCAUGAUGUUCAGCUCACCUAAGACAUGUCGACCAAUAUCUCAGUAAUGCGGACUUCAGUGACUGUGAUUUUCCUUCCAGUGAGUACUUCUCGUCUAGUCACUCAUCCUCCAAGUUGAGCACACUUAACUUUGAGGUUCUUCUGAACUAAGCUUCCAAAAAGAAAGGUGAACCACGAUUAUAUGGAUACACUAUCAAUCCUAUAAAACUCUAGGCCAAGAUACCACAACCUGCCAAGGCCAGGAUAUCAUAGUUUUCUAGUUGUCUAGGUCCCACCUAAUUGUUGUCCCAUGUGACAUACUAAGUAGGAAUAGUUGUCACUAACAUAAACCUUCGCUCACGAAUAGCCUAGAAAUAUUUCCUAGCACUCCGCUCAAAACACAUGUUUUUGAACUUCCAAAUAUCCCCAAAUAUUCAAUUUUUGGAAUAUUCUAGGAAUAUUCCUUUUUCUUUUUCAAAUUCCUAUGAUUAUAAAAUCCAAAACUCCUUCGUAUAGACUCUGAUUUCGACAAUUCUAAUUUUCUAAAUUCUUAUCAAAUUACCCUCUAUCCAACUAUCGUGGUUUCGGAAACCAGAGGGUAGUAAGAUUUGUGUUCGACAGGGUUGCUAGCGUGGACUCACUCCAAAUGGUGAAUCGGUGGAACUCGAGCGAGAGAUCUGGAACACGAGGUUAUUUUGGUUCGAGUUUGCACCCUACUCCAGUAUAGUGCUGACCAUAGUAUUCCUUCGAGCGUGUUACAACAAGUGUGCUCAUGUGCCUAUAGAAUAAAUAAGUCUCGCCCUUUUAUAGUUCAAGGGUGGGACCUUACAAGGGUGACUUGCUCUCUACUUGGUAUGAGGUUGGUCUGUUUCCCUGGCUUGUCGUUGUGCACCUUGUAUCAGGCUGUCCGUUGGGUCAGCCUUCUCUUACACCAGUCUUUGAUAAGGAUGCUCAACAAAGACUUGGUCAUCGGCUCCGCCUCACAAGGUUUCUCGGCAGAGACUUGGUCGUCCGCUCCACCUCGCGAGGUUGCUCGGCAGGGUCUUGGUCGCCUGCUCUGCCUCGCAAGGUUGCUCGGUAGGGACUUGAUCGCUUGCUCCACCUCACAAGGUUGCUCGGUAGGGUCUUCGUCACCCACUCCGCCUCGCAAGUUUGCUCGGUAGGGUCUUUGUCGCAUGUUCCGCCUCACAAGGUUGCUCCACAUGGACUUCUUGGGCUUUGUUUGGGCACCCCAUUCCUGGGUGCCCAACAUUAGCCCCCAAGCCUUUACGCGACUUCUAGGAGUUGUGUAGAGGCUUUUAUCUAAAAGGCAGAUUUCCUUGGUGCGCGCAAGUGCUGCUAGAUGCAACCCUUGAGCUAUUUGUGAGAAUUGCUCGAGGGUUUACCAGGUUAAGUCUGCAGUUUAAGGGCUGACCCUUGCUAUGGUGGUCAUCACACGUUGAGCAUAGGUUCACUAGUAGCUAAGUGGUGUGUGUGGCACAAUGAUGAUGACUCUAGUGAUGCGAGCAAACGAUCAUGUCUCAACGUGGAAGUUGAUUAUAGCUCCUUGUCACACCUUAUUAGCCAUGAUAAGGCAAGAGCACAACACAAAGGUUAGGAGACAACAAUGACUAGCAGUGAGUCCUCUUCCAUGGAGAAGAGAUGAUGAGGACAUCCUCCUCUAUUACCCAUUAGCAAAGACACAAUGGCCUAGUUGGUCUGCUUGUAGUCGGACAACGACUGUGUGAGCCUAUAAAUUAUCCCACAUCUAUUAACAUGGGAGAAGAAAAUCACCUUAAAAGGGAGAGCCACCCUUCCACUAUUAGACUAGUCUUUUAGGGUGAUUGGGCCUUUACUUGAUUAGGUGUCCUUAAUGAAUUUUUGUUGCCUAGGCAACACUAAUUUGUUGGGCCUCGACUAACACCACCUGGGUUGAGUGUAUCAUUUCGUAUUAGAGUUUGGUCCCAUUUGAAGAUGGUUGGAAUGAUGAGGACAUCCUCCGAUAGUAAUCGCUGGCAAUGAUGCAAUAACCCAGUUGGCUCAUUUGUAGUUUGGUGACGACGGUGUGAGCCUCUAAAUUACCCCACCUCACUUGACUUUAGAGGAGGAAGCCGCCUUGAAAGAGAGAGCCACUCUUCCCCCAUCGGACUAGUCUUUGGGGUGAUUGGGCCUUUACCCAAGUAGGUGUGCUUAAUGAACUAUUGGAGUUCGGGCAGCCCUAACUUGUUGGGCCUCUACCAACCCCACUUGCAUUGAGUGUAUUAAGAGCAUGGUGAACAAGCUCUACAUGGCUGGCUUGAGGAUAACUGAAUCAAAAUUGUUUAAGCACAUCAUCAAGUUAUUCGAUUAGAUACCACCAAUAUGGGCGAUAACAUGAAAAAGGCCCACAAGUUGGUCGUAAAGAAUUGACCAAGCAAUUAAAAGUAGAUGAAGAAAAUAUAGUAUUGUAUCAUUUUUUACAAACAUGUAUUUUUAUUUUUAAAAAUUACAUUCUAUCUAUUUUGAAUUACAUUUUUUAUUUUGUUAACUACAUGAUUAGAUGAUUUCUCCCAAAUAAAAUGUCAUGUUUUGUUUUAAAUACAAAUCUAUAAAAGAAAAGAUAAUGUGGUGUUGUGGUGGCUACAAGUUGACGGUAAAGGUUGUGUACAAGAGCGAUGUAGUAGACAUGGGUUGACGGCAGUCAAUAACAUGGUCGGUAAUGUGAUCGAUAGCUGAUGUGGUGGGUGGUAUGGCUGAGUGCAUUAGCUCCAGCCUAGGCCAUAUGGAUUAUAUUAUCGCUACACCUGGAUGCACUAUUCCUGUAAGGAUUAUGUUCGUGUCUGUGGCAUAUGGUCAAAAGUAUUGAUGUUUCUUAAUGUGAAUUCAUGCCAAAAUGCUUUUGCACUGACAGUUGAUGAUGGAUGCAAGAGGUUAUAUUAGAAGUUGUGUACCCAAUUAUAUUCAAGGGUAUUUAGUCGAAUAUCCAAAUUUUUGGGCAAGAAAAAUUAUAGAUUUAGUGUUUAUAUAUGUAUUGGAUAAAUAAAUACCAAUUAAGAAUUAUGUCCAAAAUAUAUUUUUCUACUCCUAUCCCCUCCCCAUCAAUGACUCAAUGGCCCAUUUUGACCGAAGAAUGUACUGGGCAAAAACCAUCGGCCUCCCCACCCUACAUUGUCACUUUAUUUCUCAAUCUCGCACCCAUGACCUCUGAAAGCAUCUAAGCCCUUAGUAGUUAUGAUGAUUAAUGAUUUCAUAAUAUUAUUGUGACUAAUGUGUGUUUUGCAUAGACAAAUUUGAGUUAGAUUAUAGUGAUGGAUAUUGGUUUAUGUAAUAUAUGGUUACUAUGCCCCUACUUAUGAAUUUUGUUGCGGUUUUUGCAAGGAUGAAAGACAAGGUUAAGAAUGGACUACUUCUAAGUGUCGAUUGGAGUUGAGGCACACUUAGAGUAGUUUAGGACUUUGUUUUUCCUUUGACCAUAUUAUAAAGGGGUAUAAACUAGUAGCUUGACCUAGAUAAGUCUAGUGAGUUUAGUGUGGCGUAAACUAGUUAUCUUUAUCUCUAGCUGGUUUAGGAGAGGCCCAAAACUAGUAAGGAUCAAAACCCAAUUCCAAUGUUGCAAAAUUGGACAAUUUAGAAGGGUUUCAAUGCAUUAGACCUUGUGUUUUAGGGUUAUUGGACCAUAGUGGAUUGGUCUGACUCCUCCAGUUGUCAACCUAAGAGCACCCAAUUGUCAAACCCUAUGAACCGUACCUCACGAGAACAAUGCAUUGGGCCAACUGUUUGUGUGAUCAAACCGUCAGUUCUAGGGGUACAUUGAACUGGUCCUAUGAUAUGUGUUGGACUGAACAAUGACAUUGUUUUAGCUUGGGGUUUGGCUAUAGGGUCAUUAGGCCCUAUGAACAGUUGUCUCGUCGAACCAAAGAAUAUAAGUCCAACAAGUGUUCACAUUGAAUAUAGAGGUUCUAGUGGGCGUCGGACUAGUCCAAUGAUGGGUGUAAGACCAUACACCCAAGGCUCAGUUUUUAAUGGCUAGUUCUAUCAUGGUAGUACAAUAGUUACCAUUAUGUCCCAUCAGAUGUUGUGUUAUGGAACAAAGGUGAUUGUUGGACAGUAUGGUGAUGUCAAAUUUAGCCUGUGUUGGAAGUAAUGGCUACUUGGCUAGUUAGGGGCAAUAAAUACCCCACCAAUUAACCAACACAUCUAACAUUGCCUCCAUUUAAUAGCCAAAUCAACCCAUAUAGUGUGAGUCUGUGAGAUAAGGAGCCAUUGCAUAGUGAGGGAUUGGAGUCAAAUUUAUAAAGCCCUCAUAGCGCAUGCAAGAGUUAUUAGGGUGCACCCAUUGAUCUCAUCAAUUUUGUUAGAGUCAAGUGAGAGUUUGUGUUUAUUACUCUUGGUGACCAGCAUCACCUAGAUGGUUUAGUGGCGCUCGAUGUGUAGUGAUUGUCUAUAGAGGUUGCAUGUGAUCCAACUCAGGAAGUGUAUAUGGUUGUGAGCGGUUCCACCAUGCUAGAGUGCCAAAGAACAAGCUUGUAGUGAGCACUUGGUCCUUAUGCAGAUCAAGGGUGUGUGACACCCUUGUGUGGGUGCUCCAAUGAGGAUUAGUGGAGAAUAUCGACUACCGUGACAAGAGGAAACACUUGAAAAUCUUUUAAAUCCUUGGAUAAAUUUCCACAAUUAUAUUUCUAAAAAUUUACAUUCUUAGAUUUUUCAUGAUAGCAUAGUAUUGGAAUUUAGGCACAAAUUUUUUGUAUACACAUUAGGCACUCAGGUGAAGUUAUGCUAAUAAAUAUGAUAAGCAUAUGUAUUGUCACGAAGAAAUCAUGAAGAUAAAUAAACAUCUAGUGAAGAAUUCAAAUUAAAAUAGACUUUUUUCUACGCCCCUCCCAUCCCCACCUGAUGGCCUAUUUUGACACAAGAAGGUAUUGGGGAAAAAUCCUCAUCCAGCCCUCCGCCCCUCCCCACCUAUUCGCUCUCUUUCUCAGUCCCUCCUAUGACUGUGACUAAAAGCUAGUGAUCGACAACACUGCAAGCCAACAACUUCUUCCUCUUUGGAAUCAAACACCAAAAAGGAAGAUAUUAAAAGCACUAGGGAUGGUCAGUUUUUGUGACCCUACAAAAUUUUCUUCCUUCCAUAUGAAAUCCCCCUUUAUUAUAAGAAUUUGUUCACGAAAAAUUGACUCUUGCAAUAUAUAGACUAAGUUGGCCCUAUAUUUAUGCAUACAUAUGAUGAAUAGCAAACCAUAUGCAUAACAGAGGAAUUAAUUGAAAGCAUGUGGAAGUUUAACCUAUAUAAUGUACAAAUAAAUCAUGUAAGAGAUACCAAAUGAUCUGAAAAUAAUUUGCAUGAUAUUAAAGUUGAUACUAGUAUGUAUGAUACCAAUUGUUGUAGAAAUCUUGAAAUAUGAAACAUGUUGCUUCUCCAAGAACUCUAAUUUCAUUUCAAUGCGAGUAAUACACAUGGUAGGCUUGAAAUAUGUGCUAGUUUUAAAGAUACCAACUUUUAGAGUGACCUCAACCUAAAAGUGUGCAUACAAGUUUUAAAUACUUGUCGGAGACAUGCACUUAGACUUUUAUCAACAAAUUACCACUUGAAGGAUAUUAUCACUUGAAUUUGGUAAUAUAUAUAUUUUAAACUAAGGCACCUUUUUGUCUCCUAGUAAAUCCUAUGGAAUAAAUAAACUACCGUUGUACAACUAUCUCUAUCACAAAGAGUUAUACAACCUAGGUUAUGAAUCUAUCAACUAAGCUAGGAAGGUAAAGCACACAACAAAGGCUAAACAAUAUAAAUGCAGAAGAUUAAGUGCAAUUGAGAUAAAACUCCCAUUAUUGCCUCUGGUAUUUUUACCAAGAUAUUGAUAAGCACACAAGCUUCACUCUAAUCCUUGUUAGAUCCCUUGCAAGGAUGCCCAUACGAGACUGUAAAAGAAAACAAAAAUUAAAAGCUUCGUAAGAGCAGCUUGUCUACCAAUUUCACCAUGGCUGCUAAUUUAAAAUUUAACUUAAAAAUAAUUUAUCCUUUUUAUGACAAUGAAUUAUUAUGGUGAUCGAUCGAGAACACAUAUUUAGGAUUAAAGAUUCUCUAUGAAGGAGGACCUCUACUCUAAACGCAUCGUCUAUUUUCAAUCGGGUAACUCCAUGGAUAGCCUCGUCUUUUUCUAUGCGCAACUAGUGCGCCAUUGUAGUCUCUCUUGGAUGCUCUUUGCCAUCUUCACUAUCGUGUUUUUGGCCAAAUCAUCAUGGGCCUUGUUUCAUUCAUGCACUUUGAUUGAUCUAAGUAUUGAUGUUUAUUUCCUAAUAAUAAAGUAUCUUGCCUUUUAGUUCAAUGCAAUAACACUUUUGUUUUAAUAAGGAUGAAGGAGGAAGUACUCGCUGUGGAUAGGACAGUGGCAAAUUCAAGAACAACUUGUAGGGUUUUUAAAUAAAGAGGUCAUAUCUAAAUAAGGAGAGUUUCAUCUUGGUGGACAAACGCUUCAACACACGGCCGAUGAACAAGAUUCAUAUUAAGAUCAUAGUGUGGAGACAGUAGUUAGAAAACUUCAUAGACAUUUAUGUAGAUAUCCAUUUGUUUAUAUAUAUAUAUAUAUAUAUGAAUCAACACAUGCAUAUGUGUCUAUGUUCAUUAUAUAUAUAUAGUUUAUGUAUUUGAAGCCCUAGGCUUUCACUAACUAAAGAAAGCCCUAGUCUAAUGAUACCUCUCGUCGAACCACACCACCCCAAUUCUUUCCCAUUGAACCGCAACCCGGCUACCUUCCGGUUCAAUCGAUACCCGUUCCCGAGAACCCUAUACCAUGUCGCGCACCACCUUUACUCGUUCCAUUAUUCGUGGUCCCAUCUGCUCCCCAGUCUUUCCAACUGGAACUCCUCGAUCCACGGUCACGGCAGCGAUUGGACUCUCGCCCUCUCCCCAGCCGUAGUCCAUGGCAGCAGUGGCAGCAUGCCCGAAAGCGCCUCCCUAAGAAGGGCCUCCCCAAUAGUUACAGGAAGUGCCUCCCCAAGAAGGGAAGCAGUGGCGGCAUGCCCGACGAUGAUGGGCUCGAUGACUUAGGGUUGGAGGCAAGCGCAUGCCAGCUCGAUGACUUUGGGUAUAUUGGGAGCCCAGGGCUUCUAAUAGUUACCGGAAGCCCUAGCCACCCAAUGGUCCGUGCCCAACAACUAGGUACGUGCAGCCGGGCGCGUCCCGCUGGCAUGCACCGGUCAAACCUUCCCACGCGCGUCAGUCAAACCUUCCGGUCUCCUGCGUGGGACAUAAGCCAUAAAUUAAUUGUGGUUCUGUGUUUUUUUGCAAAUAGCGUAAAUAGUUUACAUAAAUAGUUCAUAGAGAUAGCAUAAAAACCUCGCCCAGACACUUAGUUCAUAGAGAUAGCAUAAAAACCUUGCCCAGACACUGGACCACGUCCAUAUGUGCACGCGCAUGCAUGCAGAUCAUAUUUUUAUGGUAGAUCCAAAAAUUAUGGUAGGUCAUGGGAGUUUCCAUUGCAUCUGCACAAAUUUUGGAUGACAUUUUCGUUUCCACUGCAUGCGCGCAAAAAUUGAUGGCUCCAUAAAUAUAGGUGUCGGGUACCGUAAUUAGGGGUACCCCCAACACUCCUAAACACGGCGGGUAACCACCAUCAGCACAAACCGCAAAGAUUGAUGGGCACGGUUUAGGUCAAGGCCUCGUCUACCAAGGGACGCGAUCUCGCCUCAUCCGAGCCCGGCCUCGGGCGGGAAGAGUAGUCCUAGACGAAUUCACGCCUCGCCCGAGGGCCUCCUCAAGCGACGGGCGCACCCUCGACUCGCCCGAAGCCCAGCUCGGGCAGGCUUCGUUGUGAAGCAACCUUGGCCAAAUCGCCUCACCAACCGACCGUAUCGCAGGUGCAUUCAAUGCAAGGAUCGCCUGACACCUUAUCCUGACACACGUGCCUCAGUCGGCAAGGUCGAAGUGACCGCCAGUCACUUCGCCCUUUCGCUGACCGACCUGACAGGAAAACAGCGCCGCUCGCCCCGCUCCGACUGCUGUGCCACCCACCAGGGUGAGGCUGACAACAGCUGAGUUCAGCCUCGGGCGCAACAGGAAAUUCCGCCUCGCCCGACCUUAGGCCUCGGCCUCGGAAGGAGGUCUCCGCCUCGCCGGACCCCAGUGCUCGGCCUCAACCUCGGCCUCGGAAGGUGGUCUCCGCCUCGCCCGACCCCAGGGCUCGGCCUCAACCUCGGCCUCGGGAGGAAUCGCGUCCUCGCCCGACCUCGGCCUCGGCCUCAGGAGGAGUCUCCGCCUCGCCCGACCUUGGGCUCGGACUGACCGCACCACAGGGGAUACAUCAUUACCCUACCCCUAGCUAGCUCAGGCUAUGGGGGAACAAGACCGGCGUCCCAUCUGACUCGCCCCGGUAACAAGUAAUGAUACUCCCCGCGUGCGUCCAUGACGACGGUGGUUCUCAGCCCCCUACGGAAGCAAGGAGACGUCAGCAAGAUCCCAGCAGCACCGACAGCUGUGCUUCUACAGGGCUCAGGCACUCCUCGAACGGCCAUGAUACCGCGUACACAGGGCUCUAGCACCUCUCCAACAGCCACGUUGGCAUGUACACAGGGCUCAUGCACCUCUCUGCCAGACACGUUAGCGCAUAGCUACACCCCCCAUUGUACACCUAGACCCUCUCCUUGCAUCUAUAAAAGGGAGGUCCAGGGCCUUCAUGCGAGAGGGUCGCGUGGAGGGACGAGCUGACGAACAACCUCACUCUCUCACUCUCUCUCGCGAACGCUUGUAACCCCUACUACGAGCACCCCCCUGGUGCGAGAUAACACGAGCCGCGCUUUCCCCUUGUGUUCCAUCUUGCGCCAACCCAUCUGGGCUGGGACACGCAGCAACAAAUUUACUCGUUGGUCCAGGGACCCCCCAGGGUCGAAACGCCGACAGUUGGCGCGCCAGGUAGGGGCCUGCUGCGUGUUAAUGAACAACUUCCCAUUGAGUUCCAGAUGGGUAGUCUUCAGCAACCUCUUCGGCCCGGGGCGGUGCUCCGCUUCGGGAGUCUUGAGUUCAUGUCCCUCGACGGCAGCUACGACAUGGUACUCCUCCCCCCGCAGCGCGACAGCGACAACGACGGUCGUCAGCUCGCCCGGCGGCGGCGAACUCGACGACGUCUUCCCCCCGUGGCAGAAGAGCAGCAUCCGGGUUUGUCCCGCCACCCUCCUCGCCACAGGAGGAGGAGACGGGGCAACUGUGAACAGGCUGGAGGCGGCACCUCGUCGGCUGUUGAACGAGUUGACGACGCUGGCACCCCAGCGGGGGACAUGUCGGGCAUUGUCCUCACGCCUGAGACAACGACGAGUGUCGUUUCCCCGCAACAUGCCAACCCCAAGCGGACAGAUGACGCCAGCACACUCGCGAAGGCUUGCUGGGCGUUAGCCUCGUACCUGAGAUAACGGUGCAGUCCGUUCCCGAUGUGACUUCGUCACCGUCCAUCGAUCAAGAGGUACCGUUCGUUUUCCACCUUGUGCCUUUUAGAUUCAGCUUCGAUCCACCAAGCGACCCCGCUUCGGUGAGCGCUUUUGUAAAGGCAUAUCCUAACCUUCCGGGGUACCAUAUGUGGUCAUCUUGGGACCGACUGACGGCCGUCUCAACCUACGGGCCCCCGGGUUCUGAGGAAGAGGACGGUCCCGACUCCGGUUGGGAUUUCUCCGGGCUCAGUAAUCCCAGUACCAUGCGAGACUUCAUGACCGCAUGUGACUACUGCUUCUCCGAUUGCUCUGAUGAUGGCCACAGCCUUGACGACGAGGGUUGUGGCCCAAGUCGUGAAUGUUUCCACGUCGAUCUAGGGGGUCACGACGAAGGCAACCACCUCGGUAUGUCGAAGGAUGACGAUCCCCCUAGGCCUGCUUCUCGCGUUGACAUCCCGCGGGAGCUAGCUAUGGUUCCAGUCCCUGCGGGGGGUCAGGACACACAGCUCGAGCAAAUCCGCGAGAUGCAGUCCAAGCUCGACGAGGAAGCAGGGCAACUUGUGCAGCUCCGGCAGAACAUCGAGCAGGAGUGGGCAGGCCGAGCACUCGCCGGAGAAGCGCGUCAUCAGGCCCGGGACGUCCAUCGCCGUAUCGUUGACGAUGCCAGGGCAAGGCUGCCCCCGGCCUCGAGCGGGGUCGGCCAGAAUCUGGCUGCAGCGGCAAUACUACUCCGAGCAAUGCCGGAGCCAUCCACCACCAAGGGGCGGCGUAUCCAGGGAGAACUCAAGAAUCUCCUGGAGGAUGCCGCGGUCCGACGGGCCGAAAGCUCUGCCUCCCGAGGGCAAGAGUGCCCCCCGGAGCAUCGCGCAACGACUUCCCGACUCAUGCGGGAGGCCUCGGUCCACACCGGGCGCACGCAGGACACGAUGCUUGCAGCCCCAAAUCGCCUCGGGAACAAGCAUCACCGCCUCGACCGUCGAGCCCGCCUCAAUGAGAAGGUGCCCCGAGGCUACCACCCCAGGCGUGGGGGACGCUACGACAGCGAGGAGGAUCGAAGCCCCUUGCCCGAACCACCAGGUCCGCAAGCCUUCAGUCGGGCCAUAUGAUGGGCGUCGUUCCCAGCUCGGUUCCAGGCCCCGACUACCAUCACCAAGUACUCGGGGGAAACAAGGCCGGAGUUGUGGCUUGUGGAAUACCGGCUGGCCUGCCAGCUGGGAGGAACGGACGAUGACAACCUCAUCAUCCGCAACCUCCCACUAUUCCUCUCCGACGCUGCCCGGGCCUGGCUGGAGCAUCUGCAUCCUGCGCAGAUCUCCAACUGGGACGACCUAGUCAAGGCCUUCACUGGAAACUUCCAGGGCACGUACGUGCGCCCUGGGAACUCUUGGGAUCUCCAAAGCUUCCGCCAGCAGCCAUGGGAAUCCCUGCGAGAGUACAUCCGGCGGUUUUCGAAGCAGCGCACCGAGCUGCCCAACAUCACCGACUUGGAUGUCAUCAGGGCUUUCCUCGCCGGCACCACUUGCCGCGACCUGGUGAGCAAACUGGGCCGCAAGACUCCCACCUAGGCGAGCGAGUUGAUGGACAUCGCCACCAAGUUCGCCUCUGGUCAGGAGGCGGUCGAAGCCAUCUUCCGAAAGGAUGAGCAGCCUCAGGGACGCCAACAGGAAGACAUCCCCGAGGCGUCCGCCCAGCGUGGCACGAAGAAGAAGGCGAAAAAGAAGUCACAAGCGAAGCGCGACGCCGCCGACGCAGAUCCUGUCACUGCCGCCAAGCACAGGAACCCUUGGAAACCUCCUGGAGGGGCCAACCUGUUCGACAAGAUGCUCAAGGAAUCGUGCCCCUAUCACCAGGGCCACGUCAAGCACACCCUUGAGAAAUGCGUCAUGCUUCGGCGCUACUUCCAUAAAGUCGGAUCCCCGGUGGGAGAUGGCAAAGGCCAAGACAACGACAAGAAGGAGGAUGACAAGGCAGAGGAGUUCCUCGAGGUCCACGGCUGUUUCAAGAUCUACGGUGGGCGAGUGGCGAAUGCCUCGGCUCGGCAACGCAAGCAGGAGCGCCGGGAGGUCUGCUCGGUAAAGGUGGCGGCACCAGUCUACCUAUACUGGUCCGACAAGCCCAUCACCUUCGACCAAGGCAACAACCCCGACUGCGUGCCGAGCCCAGGAAAGUACCCGCUCGUCGUCGACCCCGUCAUCGGCAAUGCCAGGCUCACCAAGGUCCUCAUGGACGGAGGCAACAGCCUCAACAUCAUCUACGCCGAGACCCUCGGGCUCUUGAAGAUCGAUCUGUCCACGAUCCGGGCCGGUGCGGCGCCCUUUCACGGGAUCAUCCCCGGGAAGCGCGUUCUGCCCCUUGGACAACUCGAUCCGCCCGUCUACUUCGGAACUCCCUCCAAAUUCCAAAAGGAAACCCUCACGUUCGAGGUGGUCGGGUUCCGAGGAACCUACCACGCGGUGCUGGGGAGACCGUGCUACGCCAAGUUCAUGGCCGUCCCCAACUACACCUACCUCAAGCUCAAGAUGCCAGGCCCCAACGGGGUCAUCACCGUCAGAUCCACGUACCGACACGCGUACGAAUGUGGCGUGGAGUGCGUGGAGUACACUGAGGCCCUCGCCGAGUCUGAGGCCCUCAUCGCCGACCUAGAGUGCCUCUCUAAGGAGGUGCCUGAUGCGAAGCGCCACGCCGGCAACUUCGAACCAGCUGAGGUGGUUAAGUCCAUCCCUCUCGACCCCAGCAACGACGCCGUCAAGAAGGUUCGGAUCGGCUCCGAGCUCGACCCCAAAUAGGAAGCACUGCUCAUCGACUUUCUCCGCGCAAAUACCGAAAUUUUUGCAGUGGAGCUCAUGGGCGAAACACUCUCAUUCGUCCCUCGGAAGGCCAUAAAAUCCCAAGUCUUGGCGGAUUUCCUGGCGGAAUGGGUCGACACCCAAUUGCCAACAGCUCCGAUCGAACCGGAACUUUGGACCAUGUACUUCGAUGGGUCGCUGAUGAAAACAGGAGCAGGUGUUGGCCUGCUCUUCAUCGCACCCCUCGGGAAACAUCUCCGCUACAUGUUGCGCCUCCAUUUCUCGGCGUCAAACAACGUGGUCGAGUACGAGGCUCUAGUUAACGGGUUGCGCAUCGCCAUCGAGCUAGGGGUUCGGCGCCUCGACGCUCGUGGUGACUCACAGCUUGUCACUGACCAAGUCAUGAAGAACUCCCACUGUCGCGACCGGAAGAUGGAGGCCUACUGUGACGAAGUUCGGUGCCUGGAAGACAAGUUCUACGGGCUUGAGCUCAACCAUAUCGCUCGACGGUACAACGAGACUUCGGUGAGUUGGCUAAAAUAGCCUUGGGGCGGACAACGGUUCCCCCAGACGUCUUCUCCAGAGAAAUACAUCAACCCUCCAUCAAGAUCGACGACACGCCCGAGCCCGAGGAGGCCUCGGCCCAGCCCGAGGUAUCCUCGGCCGCCGAGGGUGAGGCCCUGCGCGUCAAGAGAGAGCGGAAUAGGGUCACGCCUAACCCGAACUGGCAGGCCCCGUACCUAGAAUAUCUCCUCCGAGGAGAGCUACCCCUCGACAAGGCCAAAGCUCAGCGACUGGCGCGUUGCGCCAAGUCGUUCGUCUUACUGGGUGACGAAAAGGAGCUCUACCACCGCAGCCCCUUAGGCAUUCUCCAACGACACAUAUCCGUCGCCGAAGGACAGGAGCUAUUGCAAGAAAUACACUCGGGGGCUUGCGGUCACCAUGUAGCACCUCGGGCCCUCGUGGGGAACGCCUUCCGACAAGGCUUCUACUGGCCGAUCGCGGUGGCCGACGCCACUAGGAUUGUACGCUCCUGCCAAGGGUGUCAAUUCUACGCGAGACAGACGCACCUGCCGCUCAGGCCCUGCAGACAAUACCCAUCACCUGGUUGUUUGCUGUGUGGGGUCUGGACCUCGUCGGUCCCUUGCAGAAGGCACCCGGGGGCUUCUCGCGCCUGCUGGUCGCCAUCGAUAAAUUCUCCAAGUGGAUCGAGGUCCGACCCCUAACCAGCAUCAGGUCCGAGCAGGCGGUGGCGUUCUUCACAAACAUCAUCCAUCGCUUUGGGGUCCUAAACUCCAUCAUCACCGAUAAUGGCACGCAGUUCACUGGGAAGAAGUUCCUGGACUUCUGCGAGGACCACCACAUCCGUGUGGACUGGGUCGCCGUAGCUCACCCCAUGACGAAUGGGCAGGUGGAGCGUGCCAACGGUAUGAUUUUGCAGGGACUUAAACCGAGGAUCUACAACGACCUCAACAAGUUUGGCAAGCAAUGGAUGAAAGAGCUACCCUCGGUGGUCUGGAGUCUGAGGACGACGCCAAGCCGAGCCAUGGGUUUCUCGCCGUUCUUUCUAGUCUAUGGGGCCGAGGCUAUCUUACCCACAGACUUAGAAUACGGUUCCCUGAGGACAAAGGCGUACGACGACCGAAGCAACCAGGCUAGCCGAGAAGACUCACUGGACCAGCUCGAAGAUGCUCGGGACGUGGCCUUACUACACUCGGCGCGGUAUCAGCAGUCUCUGCGACGCUACCACGCCCGAGGGGUUCGGACCCGAGGCUUCCAGGUGGGAGACUUGGUACUUCGGCUGUGGCAGGACGCCCGAGGACGCCACAAGCUUACUCCUCCCUAGGAAGGACCGUUCAUCAUCGCCAAGAUUUUGAAGCCCGGAACAUACAAGCUGGCCAACGAUCAAGGCGAGGUCUACAUCAACGCUUGGAACAUCCAACAGCUACGUCGCUUCUACCCUUCAGAUGUUUCAAGUCGUUCAUAUACCUCGUUUUCUCUUUACAUACAUAAAUAAAGUCUAACCGUCAAGGAAGGGUCAGCCAUGCCUCGGCAAAGCCUGACCCUCCCUCGGGGGCUAGAAGGGGGGAACCCCCUCUACGUCAAAAUUUUCCUCGAAAAAGUUUUCUACCAAAACGACUUUCGUGCUUUCCGACUAUAUCGAUAAUAGAAUCCUGCAAGCGAGUAAGAGCGCACGUAAGCGGCAAGGCCGACCGAGCCGAGGGACUCCUACGCCUCCGGGAUACGGAUACCUCACUCGUCACCUUCCGCGAGAAGUAACUCUUGCUCGGAUAAGCGAUUCUGCUACCGAUGAACAAGUUCGGAUACUCGAAACGAGAGGAAAGGAAACGCAUCUUUAUAACACGACAAUAAGAUGUUUAGGCAUCGGCGGCCGUGAAAAACACAUGCAUACUCCAAACAAACUGCUCCGGCAGAAUCAGACAUCGCCCAGGGGAGGAGCGGCACCCUCGGGGUCGUCUCCACCCUCGGCGUCAUCUCCACCCUCCGCAAGAUCUGGCCCGGCCCCAGACGGCGACGCGAGCGGAAGGAUCUCCACCACGAAGGAGGACGCCAGCACCGUGCUUGGGCCCGCGACGGCUGCGUCAAGCCUCUGAACCUCGGCUAAGGCAGCCUCAUCUUCGUCGGGUAGACAGUACCCCUCGCUGACCCACUCUAGAUCCACGUCGUAGUGGAAAGCAAGCACGGCGAAGGCCCGCCUAACGCCAUGAUGCAGCGCCCCGCGGAGUCUGCUGCGCACAUGGCCGCCCAAGGCCCACAGGCGACUAUGGGGGGAGCUACCCGAGGGGACGUCAUCGAGGCCAAAGGCCUGGCAAAAGGCCGAGAUAGCCUCGGACAUGGCCACGCGGUUGGCCUCCUUCUGCUCAGCCGCCUGGGCAAGCGCCUUGACGGACUCGUUAACAGCCGUCUCGAACUCUGCAGACAGCCGAACAAAAUUCUUCAGACACGAGUUGAAGAAUGAAGCUGAAUCGAAGUCACAAAGCAGCCGAAACGUACCUUCAGCCCGGGCACGCUGCUCCAAGGCUACGGCUUGGGCGGACUGAGCAGACCCGACGACCACGGCCAGGUCCUCCGCAAGGGUUCCGGCCCGAGCAGACACCUCGGCCAGCUAACCUCCAAGGGCCUCAGCCCGGCCUACAGCCUCGGCAGCCUAGCUCCGAGAUUGGUCCCGCUUGCCAAUGACCUGGCCAAGCUCUAGCUGUCGCUGCUGCGCCUCCGUCCGUGCCGACGCCGCCUCUGCCUAUGCCACCGCUGCCUCUGCCUCCAGCUCAUCACAGAGCAGCCGAAGGUCCGCCACCUCAGUGAUCCGUUGGGCGAGGCGUUCAUUAGCCUCGGCAAGCGCGGCCCUCUGGGACUGCAGCGAACCCCAGACACCGCUCUCGCGGCGCAUGAACAGCGACUUGGCGGUGCUCACAUCCGCUAGUUCCUGAGGAAGGGAAGCAGGGUGUUACAAAGAAUGCCUUGGUCAUGCAAGGGGUAUGCCUAAAAUCCUUACCUGGAGGACCCUGGGAACGUCCCUGGAAAGGAUCUCCAUGGUCGACCGAAGCGACCCCAUCGCCGCCUCGGCAUACUCACGAAGCUCAUCCCGAGACUGCUCCUCCCGCUCAUCGUUGAGGACGAAGAGGGGUUUUGAGGCGCCGCGGCUCCAGAACUGGAGCGCCUACCCACACCACUCAUUGGGGUUGCGCCGCGCGGGAAUAAGGUCCCCACUCCCCAAGACGGGUCGCGGUUCUGCGCGCCCCUCCUCCAAGGCGUCGGGACCCCCUGCAGUCGAUGCAUCGGGUACCAUCGCUGUCGACGUACUGGGCCUCCCCUCGGCUAAGGAGGCGGGCCUCCGAUCACCGACCUCGGCAACGGUGGCCGCCCUCUCCUUAUGGCCGAGACUGGGGAGGUCGCGGACAACCUCGAGUAGCGACACCUCAGCCAUCCCAACAUCAGCGGCGACGGGCGGAUCCACGGGCAAAUCAGCGACGACCUCGGCAGGAGCUGAUGUCGGUGCCGGCAACACGUCAGGUGGGCUCGGGGCCGCGGCCACGUCAGGAGCCUCCCCUGGCACGAUGGCCGCCCCAAUGGAGGGGUCAGCCUAGGAGGCUUGCCCCAUGGCAACUCGUGCCGCCUGGGCCCCCCGCUCGAGGGCAUCUUGUGCAGAGGCCUGCCAACCGGCAUGGCGUGCUGCGGCACUGGCUGCAGAAGCCGGCACUGUCUUAAGGGCCUUCCAGGGGGCCAGGCCAGCUGAGCCCUGCCUCCGUUUGCUGAAAGGAAGAGAUAAAGCAGGAUCAGGGCACACGGAGAAAGAGCCAAAACAGAGGUAUCCUCAGAUACUUACCCGCUCCGGACCAAGGGCAAUCGUGCCUGCGGGGAGGCCCCUCGGGCCUUGGUCCCCGCAGGCGCUGCCGAGGAUUGCCCCGCUGCCGGCUUCAGCGCCGUUCCCGCCUCGGGCGCCCGAGGCACCGAAGGGACAGCCUGCCUAGGCGUCGUCACGACGGCCCGAGGAUCAGCCUCCUGUAUAGCCGGCGCGAGCGCUUGCUCUUGGGGAGCGAGCGGAUCGACCUGACUCCCCGGAGUCACCUCAAUUACCUCGGCCAAGGGGUUAAGUACCCCCCCCGGCCUGCCUCCGCUCCUCGGACUGGGACCUUGAUGUUCCGGCCCUAGAUGCUGAUGGCGCCAGCCCACUUGGUUGGCUCGGCGACCCCUGGCCCAGCCUCAGAUCUGAGCUGAGGCCAAGACGGACCGCCAUGUCGUCGCCCUCGUCAUCAUCAUCGUCAUCAUCGUCAGGCGUCUCCGGUGAUGGCUCCCUCGGGAGCCCGUCCCUCUCCUGCCUCUGACGACACUUCUCCAAGGCUGCCCGAGCCCGCAUCCGCUCGCGGGCCCGGGCCUUUUCCGUGUCCUUCUUCUCCUUUUUCUUCUCCGCAGCAGUCCUCCGCGCGGCUCGGUCCACCGCGUCCUCCGGGACCGGUGGCAAGGAGGGUUUGUAAAACCUCAAACCCUAAGGACGGACAAAAGCCCCAACAGUAAGAAUCAAAGGCGACUCGGUGCAAAACAGAAGAAGGAUCGGGCACUUACCAGAGAAACGUACCCGUGGUCGGGGCGCAUCGCGGGCUGGGUAAGGGCACCGACAUCCAGCCUCCCUACCGUACCCACUACCCGCCUGCGGAGGUCGUCGACGGGGAGGGAAGCCGAGUAGGUCUGCAAGCCCUCCAAAUCGACCCCUGGCUUCAUCUCCGAAAGCGGCAACCGCCGCUCCGCCAAAGGAAGCACCCUCCGGCGAUGGGUAGCGGCGACGACCCCCGCGGUGGUAAGACCCCCAUCUCGUAACCUCUGCAAGGCCUCCAGAAGAGGCUGGAGCUUCUCCUGUUUCUCGCGCAUGGCCCCCCAGCGCCAGUUGCUGCCGGCGGCGGUCACCACUCGUUGAGAAAACGACGGGAGCCUUCCGUCGUCGUUCCGGAGGUAAAACCACCGGCGCUGCCACCCCUUGUUCGAAGACACAAGGAUGGCGGGGAUGUACUGCUACGCGCGCCCCUGCCUCAACUGGAGGGUGCAGCCACCGGCCCGCACCGCCAUGCGGACCUUCUUUUCCCCCGUCGUCAAGGCGAAGAGCUCCGCGGAGAAGAGAUGGGUCCACAGAUCCCAGUGGGGGUCAAUCCCCAAAAAACCCUCGCAAACCGCCGCGAAGAUGGCCGCUUGCGCAAUGGAGUUGGGGUUGAAAUUGUGCAGCUCCACCCCGUAGUAGUGCAGGAGCGCCCACAUGAAACGGCUCGCUGGCACUCCGAACCCCCGCUCGUGGAAGGAGACGAAACUAACCACAUACCCCGGUGACGGAGUCGGGUCAACCUCGCUCGCAGGGGCCAUCCACUCUGGCUGCGGGUCACCGGAGAGGGGACAGAGCAAACCAUCGGCGACGAGGGCCUCUAGACCGUCCACCGUGACGGUGGAGAAAGGCCACAGAUCGCGCGGCGGAACAACGAUCAUCUUGUCAGCCAUCACUGAACGAAGGGGGUGGAGGCGGAGGGAACAAGGUGCGCAAUUUUCUUUUCUCUGGCUAUUCUCUUAGGUUGCGGAAACCAAAGCAGAAGGCAAGCGCAAACGGCAGAGUAAAGAACCACCGCCGGCCCCUCUUCCGGGUAUAUAGAGGCCCGAGCGAGAUCCAUUCAAAACUUCACCCGAACCCGCCGCGAAAUUCAAACUCGAAGGCGAAACGCCCAUUCCUCGAACGACUCGCGCACACGCAACGGCCGCCCCGCGAAUCGCCCGUCCCGUCGCAUUAACUCCUCGGUAGGGCAAGCGACACCUUUGGCAGGCGUAGCGGGCAUCGUUUCACCUCCGCCAUGAUGACCGUGUCAAAAAAGGUGCGCCACACCGUCUAAAUUCAUAUCCUUUUCCUCUUCCCCUUUUCUCUCUCUUGCUACAGGGACCGGGAAAGGGGAUAUUUUGAAAGGGAUCCUUCUCCACGAAGGAAGUGGGCCCCGAGCCCUCCUACUGAUCAGGGGUUCGAAGGCUGGCCCCUCAGAAGGGUUCGACAGCCGCGCCCAGAGCACUCGGGCUUCAAGCCCAUUACUGAUCAGGGGUUCGAAGGCUGGACCCUCGGAAGGGUUCGGCAGCCGCCCCAGAGCACUCGGGCUCCGCGCCCACUACUGAUCAGGGGUUCGAAGGCUAGCCCUCGAAAGGGUUCGAUAGCCGCCCCAGAGCACGAGGGAUGACUCUGGGUACGUCUGUUACAUGGCCGAGGCUCGGGCUACGCUCCCGAGGUACCCUAGGACAUUUCCGAGACCAGCAGGAGCGAUUUUGUAACGGAAUCCCAUCAGAGGGAGGCAUCGAGCCCUCGGACCCUAUCGAACGGGUCCGGGUCCGGCAAAUCACCUGCAGGUACUUUUGGAGCGCGCCUCUGGCCACUAGCCGACCCUUAUCGAACGGGGCACGGGCGUCCACUCGGAUCACCCGUUAGCAACUCACUGGAGACACCAUGUUUGGCGCCCUCCGAGGGCAACAUGGCGCUUUCCCCCCUUCCUCCUUGCGGAAAGGCGACGAAGGGCCAUAUAAUAAAAGUCGAGACAGUCCUUGAUCGUCCUCUCGCUCCGUGCAGAGGCACGGGGGCUGCUCUCGCAAAACCGGCUACGGCCAAACCGUUGACAGCGUCAACAAGCUAGCCUAAAAACUCGGAACCUGACCAUGCACCCGGGCUAUGGCCAGGCCGCAUGAGGGAACAACCAGGCCGGCCGAGGCGUCACGAAAGGCAUUAAGACCUCAGAGGAGUCAAAGUGCGCUCGCGCGCACCCAUCAGAACAAAGUGUAACCAAGAAAGGCCGGUCCCCUCGCAAAAAAGUGCGGCAAAGCCUCCAAGCGAGUACCAACACUCCCUUUGAGGCUCAGGGGCUACUGUCGGGUACCGUGAUUAGGGGUACCUCCAACACUCCUAAACACGGCUGGUAACCACCAUCAGCACAAACCGCAAAAGACUGAUGGGCGCGGUUCAGGUCAAGGCCUCGUCUACCAAGGGACGCGAUCUCGCCUCGUUUGAGCCCGGCCUCGGGCGGGAACAGUAGUCUUGGACGAAUUCACGCCUCGCCCGAGGGCCUCCUCAAGCGACGGGCGCACCCUCGACUCGCCCGAAGCCCAGAUUCGUCUCGAUAUGGAUUAUAUGAGUUCACUGUUAUGUCGUUUGGAUUAACUAAUGCACCAGCUUAUUUUAUAAAUUUGAUGAAUAAGGUGUUUAUGGAGUAUUUGGACAGAUUCAUUGUGGUAUUCAUCGACGAUAUUCUUAUCUAUUCCAAGAGUGAUAGUGAUCAUGAGGAACAUCUGAGAUUGGUGCUACAGAAGCUACGAGAUAGUCAACUCUACGCUAAGUUUAGCAAGUGUGAGUUUUGGAUUGGCGAGGUGCAAUUUCUUGGUCAUAUUAUUUCUAAUGGAGGAAUUUCAGUGAAUCCUGCUAAGGUUAAGGAGAUAAUGGAGUGGAGAGUACCCACUACAGUUACUGAGAUUCGGAGUUUCUUGGGACUUACGGGAUAUUAUCGGAGAUUUAUCGAAGGAUUUUCUAAGAUUGCUAAGCCUAUGACCUCGCUUCUAGAGAAGGGAAGAGAAUUUAAGUGGGAUGAGAAAUGCCAAGACAGCUUUGAUCAAUUGAAGAAGGAGAUUAUGUGUACCUCAAGGUGUCACCACUUCGUGGAAUGAGGAGAUUCAAAGUUAAGGGCAAAUUGUCCCCUCGCUAUAUUGGACCAUUCUUGAUCUUUAGGCGAGUUGGGGAGAUGGCAUACCAACUCGAGUUACCUGACAGUCUAUCGGAUGUGCAUAACAUGUUCCACGUAUCUCAACUGAAGAAGUGUCUCCGUGUUCCUGAGGAACAGUUACCGAUGGAAGAGCUCAGUGUUCAGGGUGACUUGACUUACACGGAGUACCCGAUCAAGAUUUUGGAUACUUUGACUCGAGUUACAAGGAAUAAGGUGAUAAAGAUGUGUAAAGUGCAAUGGAGUCACCAUGGAGAAGAUGAAGCUACGUGGGAGAGAGAAGAAGAGCUUCGCAUAGAUUUUCCUCACCCUUUUCCCUAGAUCUUCUUAAAUCUCGAGGACGAGAUUAUUUUUAAGGGGGGUAGGAUUUGUAAUACUCAUCUUGUAAAAGAAAUAAAAGGAGAAUUUCUUUUCCUUUAUAUGUGAUUUUUUUAUCAUCACAUGUGAACACUCCAUUUGAAAAUAAAUGAUAUAUAUACCACUAAAUUAUGCAUCAUGCUGGUCUUGCUGGAUAUUGUUUUUAUGUGUGCAUUUUGUGAUAAGGAAUAUAGUAAAAAGUCCAAAGGGGAAUUCAAACCUUAAAAGAGAUUCUAAAAUUUAGGAAGAGGAACAAACAAAUAUCAUGUGAAAUAAAAAUAUAAAUAAUAUAUAUAAAUAUUUAUGCCCAAGCUAGAGCUUGUCAUGACAUAACAUAAUCUGUGGAUAAAAUUUGCCACAAAACAUUUGGAUUUGAAUUUGGGGCUAAUUUGAAUGGGAAAAUGAAAGGAAAAUCAGAUUAGAAAAAAAGAAAACAGGAACUGCUGCGCCUGGGCUCAAGUUCUUCAUUUUGGCCCAGUAACCAAAACACACUGCGCGGCCCAUCAUUGGAGACCGGCGCCGACCAGUGGGCCCGUGCUGUCACUCACUGAGUCGCGCGGCCCCAACUCCACCCCGCGGCGCCGACAUCCCGUCCCACGCUGUCAGCCUCCCAGAUGUCCCUCGCUCUCGUGUCGGUUGCUGCCUCUGCCGGUGGGCCCAAGUGGAUACCCUAAUAGUGUUCGCCAUAGGCUCUGCAUGGUUCGAGCAAUAGGGAUUUAGGUCCGGCGUCGUCCUUCUCGGGUUUGCCUCACGGCGGUGAGUGCGCCGCCGCAUGGGUGACCGGCGUGCGGUGUUUGGGUAGCGCGAGAGGAAGACGACCGUGGAACGUGCGAUCUGCAUCGGACGGUUCAGGUUAGUCUGCAAGGCGAGUGUGUCCGGGCCGUUUAUCUACUGAUCGGCGGUCUGGAUCAACUCGUGCAUAACGUUUCGCUAGGGCAUGAUCUGGACGUAGGUUUUAGAUCUUACGGUCAGCAGCGCGUACCGGUUCGCGGUGUUAUGCGAUCUAAUUUGGGCUGCACAUGUGUGAUCGGGCAGCCGAAGUCAACCCUUACCCCUUCGUCUCUGUAAAUUUGCUAAAGAGCCCCUCUGAAAUUAUAGAUUAGAACUCGCAGUUUAACUAGCAGUGUUCCCUGUGUCUUAGAAAGAUUACCCCGAACCCCCUGGGUUUCUCUGGAUUUGAGGCCCAGUCCCGAGAGCAUAUAAAAAUAGGUAAAUAAAUACAGAAAUUGAUUUUUAAUAUAAAAAGAAUUCCUAGAACUUGUUUAUUCCAUAUAAACUUUAAAUGAACUCCAAAUUAAUCCAUUCCAGUCUCUAAAAUUUUGUAAUAUUAUUGUCUAUCACAUAGAGGCUCUAUUUUGUCAUGAAAACAGUAGGAAAAAUAAUUUCUCAUUUAAUUCUAUUUCAAGCGCAUAAAACCUUUGGAAAUUCAUAUCUUAAGAUCUAUAACUCCAAAAAUUAUGAUUCCUAUUCCUAGGAUUUUAUUUUAAUGUGUAGAUUAUUAUUAUUCAGUUUGUAUUAUGUUUGGUGUAAUGUUAAUUUUGUCUAUACCAUGUUUGAUUGUAUUGCUACGACUAGCGCGAGGAUCCAAAGAAUCACCCUGGUAACUGGAAACUCAAGUGCCAGGCAAGUUGUGCCCUUGACCACUUUUUACCCAAUAAUGUUCUUUAAUAUCAUUUAUUCAUGCAUAGGUUAAUUUUGAUGGGACCCAAUAGGUUACCCUAGACUGUUUAUCUCAUUACCUUGUUUACCCCUGAAUCACUUGGGUAGUUUGCUAUUGCUUUACAUGGAUUUGGGAUAAUUAUUUAUCAUGUCUAUGUUCCAGUUAUUUUGUUAUUCUAUUUAUGUUCAUGUCAAGAUCAUUAAUGUUAAUUGGAACAUAGAGCUUAACUUGAGAAACACGUGCCACCACAAGGGUUUAUGGACACCCUUGGCUGAUUAAUUAGGAAAGCUAGUGGAGGACUACCUUACCCGAAAGGGGCAAGGGCAGUAGGGGAGUGGUCAGUGUAGGGAGGUCCUUGGUUGAUUUUGCUGCGAUGGCGGUCAGGUAAGAACCCUGCAUUGGAGCUUCCUAUAAACUGUAGCGGGUUUUCUGAAGCUAGUGGAACUUUGUAAAGGCCUCGUAGUGUUACCCUGCCUCGCCUCCUCGGUAGAGGUGUAUGGGAAGUCACGAUCCCUUGGCAGAUGGGUAACAUGACUUGUGGGUAAAGGGUACCACCUCUACAGAGUGUAAAACUGGUAUACUAGCCGAGCUCACGGUCAUGAGCAGCUCAGGACUCUCUGAUGAUUAAUUUAUGGAACUUAAAUUCAAUUUGUCAUAUGCAUUGCAUCGCAGGUGAUGUUGUUACUUUGGUUCUACUACUUAAUUGGGUUGGUAUUUACUUAUACUUAGUAAUUGCUAAUAAAAUUUUGACCAACUUUAAAAACAAUGCUCAGCUCUAACCAUCCUCUUUGGUAAGCCUUACACUUCACGUGAGCUCCCACCUUUGGCGAGUUCAUGCACAUUAUUCCCCACAACUUGUUGCGCGAUGAACGUAUGUGAGCUCACUCUUGCUGUCUCACACCCACCCACAGGUCAAGAACAGGUACCGCAGGAUGAGGCGCAUGGAGGAUGCUGCGAUGAGUUCGUGAGAGAUCUAGGUCGUCGUCUCCCAGUCAACUUUGGGUUGCUGGACCGUUGUCUCCUUAUAAUGUAAUUAUUUAUUUAUUUUGUACAAAACUCCUAUUAUAUAGUAAAGAUGUGACAUUCGAUCCUGUGCCAUGAUUCAUCAUAAGUGUGAGACUUGGUCCCAGCACACCUGAUGAUUAUGUUCGCGCCCGGGUCUUGGUGCCCCGAAAUCCGGGUGUGACACCUACGGAAGCAAGGAGACGUCAGCAAGAUCCCAGCAGCACCGACAGCUGUGCUUCUACAGGGCUCAGGCACUCCUCCGACGUCCACGAUACCGCGUACACAGGGCUCUAGCACCUCUCCGACAACCACGUUGGCAUGUACACAGGGCUCAGGCACCUCUCUGCUAGACACGUUAGCGCAUAGCUACACCCCUCAUUGUACACCUGGACCCUCUCCUUGCAUCUAUAAAAGGGAGGUCCAAGGCCUUCAUGCGAGAGGGUCGCGCGGAGGGACGAGCUGACGAUUAGGCUCACUCUCUCUCUCUCUCUCGCGAACGCUUAUAACCCGUACUACGAGCACACCCCCCUGGUGCGAGAUAACAUGAGACGCGCUUUCCCCUUGUGUUCCAUCUUGCGCCAACCCAUCUGGGCUGGGACACGCAGCGACAAAUUUACUCGUCGGUCCAAGGACCCCCCGGGGUCGAAACGCCGACAAUAGGAUUGCUCCAACACUUAUGUAGCUAGGCUCGUUAGAACCAGCUUAUGAUAUAUACUGAUAGUAAUUAUGCUACAGAGUGUAUGUAUUUAUUCAAAUCGGUACAUUGCGUAAAAAAAUGUUUGCUGCUGCAGGUGCACAAAUUUAGGAUGACAUUGAUGUGCGAUGAAAGGACAUGGAUUGGCAUACAUGGAAACAAAAAAUCUUAUUCAAAUGCUUUAUUUCCUCCAUAAAUAUAGGAUCGCUCAAACAACCAUACAGUUAGUUUCGUUAGAACCAAUUUAUGAUAUAUGUUGAUAGUAAUUAUGCUACACGGUGUAGGUUUUUAUGCAAUACGGUACAUGCGUAAAGAUCUGGCAUGUAGUUCACUGGUGGACGGAUCUCCAUGUUCGAGCGUAAAAUUCUUUGGUUUUGAGCGUAAACACAUGCAGUUAUAAGCGUAACUAUUGAUCCAACAUUCAUGUGGUUCCUUUUUUAAUGUAGAUCCGAAAAUUAUGACAACCACUAGGCAGGUGUUUGUGGUUCCUAUUUUUAUGCAGAUCCAAAAAUUAUGGCAGGUCGUGGGAGUUUCCAUUGUAUGCGCACAAAUUUUGAAUAUCAUUUUUGUUCCCACAGCAUACACGCAAAAAUUGAAUGGAUGGUAUCGAGCAAAGCAUAAAUCAUUAUAAAAAAUUGUAUAAAUACAUACAUCGUACAUCAUAAUUAAUAAAAAAACAAUCCUAGUAUAGACUAAACCAAUAGUCGCAUACAUAAACAAAGGACCGGAGGAGGUCGUCGCCGAAUGAUGCCGUCGAGACCACUAGAUUAGAGGAGUUGGUCACCAAAGAACGCCCGAACCAUCGUAUAGAUUACUGACCCUCGCAGCCUGCGCCUCAAGCGACGUCGUCACCAUCGGAGCCACCCGCGGCUCACAUGGCCGACGUUGCAGGAGACACCACGCCUUGCGCGACCGCCGGAGGGGGCUGUCACACCUAGUUUUGGAAGGCAAACCGAAUGUGAACCAGGAUCAAAAACUCACAUACAUAGUGAUUACAUAAUUGGACACCACCACACAUUGCUCAAAGUAAAUAGUAGAAAGGUACUUUAUUACAUCAAGAUGCCCAAGACAUCCAUAGAUUCAUUACUUAACAUAGUCAUUAACAUUAUCAAAGUGCGGAAAAGCGAACGUAGCAGAUAAGGCCUUCACAGGUAGCUAACUGGGGUUUGCCACUAACAUAACUAGAACUCGUCGUAGUCCUAGAACUCCUCAAAGUCCUCCAUGUUGUCUGCAUCUCCUCUUGAGCACUGAAUACAGUGGGGACAACCUAGGGUGGGGUGGUUUUUAAAGCAAGGGUGGGUACACAUCAAUGUACUUAGCAAAUGUCCCGUUUGGCUAAAGUGGGUUGGCUAUAUGUGGAGUUAAGGUUAAGAAGUUGCUUUUAGUUGGUUAAAUAUUUAUUACUAAUUGUAUAGCCAAGUUUUAGUAAUAAACACAAUUAUUACCCAAAAGUACUCCCUUUAAGAGGAAAUACCAGAGAUCAGAAUCAUAAUUAUCAAUAAUAAUCAUCAUCAUAAAAGUAUCCAAUGUUCUUCUAAUCAAAGAGGAUCCCAAGGCUGCUCUUAACCGUGAGCACGACUGAUAUACCAGUUUCUAACACUCUGCAGAGGUUGCACACUUUACCCACGAGUCGUGAUCCCUUUCCAGCCUAGGUUGUACAAACCUGAUCUUCACUACCGAGGUGAAUGGCCAGGGAUACACUACGUAGUCAUUACAAAGAUUCCCUAGAGGUCAUAAUCGCCCGUUAGGUUUCUCCAGUUUGAUAAACAUAGUACUUCUCUCCACAGGAAGGGUGACUAACAAAACCAAAUCGAAAGAACAUCGGCAGAGCAAGUACUAUGCCCGGACCCCAUUGAUGGCCCUACGGCGAAGCCAACUACACCUCAAGUUCCUCUAAUUAAUCAACUAAGGGCAUCCCAUUACACCCUCAUGGUUGCACUGUUAUCCCGGGUGGUCACUCAACAAACAAGUCCUUAUGGAGAGGUACUCAUGAAACAACCUGAGUCCCCUAAAGUAUCACAAGAUCAUCAUCGGGAUAACAUCAUCGUAUCAUAAAUAUUCACAUCAUGUUCGUUAAUUAAGCUAAAGCAAUAGCAUAAAGCUAACCAUGAUAACCCAAAAGGUAAACAAGGGUAAGGUAAAUACAGACUAAUCGAUCCUUAGGUUUCAAUAAAGUAAUGCAGGAUGGUGAAUUAUAAAGUAAGUAGGACAUAAUGGGUCAGAGGACACUUGCCUUCACCAGGUUGUUGCUCAGGAAGAUCUUCGGCAAUACACUCAGGAACCACAGGUUGCUCAUUGUCUAAACAAAACGAUCAUGCAUUCAAUACAUUUGGAUAAAGACAAAUGAACAAUACACCAAACAUAUACAACCAAGUGAGCACAAAUUUGACAGAGCAGUGUGAACACAAAAGGACAACUUAGGUGCUAGGGUGAACUGGCACACUUAGAGGUUUGUGAUUCCCUAAAUAUUAUCUAUCUCCAUGGAUUACAUAAUUUAAUUCCACUAAUUUUUAGUAAGACACAAAAUUAUAACAGGGAUAAAUUCGUACAUUACAUAUUAUUAAUCUCACAAGGUUAAACAUCUAAUUACCAUCAGAAUUUUUCUUUUUAUUUUCUUAUUUAAUAAACAAACAAUUACAUAUACUAACCUAUAGUCUAGGCAUAAAAUUAACAUGUGUAGACCAUGAGUGAUCAUAAUUUAUUGGACAGACAAUAAUCCUAUGAACAUUUUGCAAUUUGAAUCACUCAAUUUGGAGUUCAUAUGCAAAAGAUAUGAAAUAAACAAAAUUUGAAGUUUAAAAUACAAAAUUAGGCCUAAAUCUAUGAUUAACUAAAAGGUCAGGGGUCUGUCUGCAAGAUUACAGGGGCCUACGAGCAAAAACCAGGGACGGCGGGUUGUUUUCCAGAAAACCGAGGGUUUCUUUAGCAAAGCGUCUGUGCGAAGGGGUAUCACAUCUGCUCAGCCGUCAGAUCCACGAUCAACGGCCGAGAUUAGAUUCGAGCGUGAGCAUGCGCGGCGAGCGCUGACAGGUAGGCUGGGGGGGUUGAGGCACUGACACGCGGGGCCCACGGGUCAGUAGUAUGCUGAUGGCGCGGGGCGCGCUGGCCACUGGAUCGCAGAUCGACGGCUCUAGCUCCACGAACCGUGCGAACCGUUAUCCGCGAAUCCGGGUCGUUAGAUCAGGACUGGGCGGUUACGAUGGGCACUAGGGGGCUUCACCUUCUCCGACCCUGCCAGGGGCGGCACCAUACGCGGACUCAGCGGCUCAAUCACCGGCGGCGAGGCAGACUGGGGCUCCUAGGGCACUAGGGUUUGGUAUGGGUAGCCAGAGAGGUUGGGGAGGAUUCGGCGAAUCCUAUGGUAGGGUCGAAGUUGCAAGAAUGAGGCUGAGGCGACCAGACAACGGAGGGGAAGUCCUCGGCGGAUCGGGGGUUACUCCAGCGAGCAAUUGCGCGCAACGAAGGGCAAACCAGGGGAAAUUAGAGGCAGGGUUAGAUCAGUUACCUUGAGAGAAGGCUCAGGGACUCACGAACGGCGUCCAGGGCACGGUGUGGGCACGGGUCGACGGCGGCGGAGCUGUGGCGGGGCAGAGAGAGGAUAGGUGAGCAUGGACCGAGAGAAACUGAGAGGGAGGGAGCGAACCGAGGGGUGUCCCGGGUCGCGGGUGACGAGGCAAAGCUCACCGAGGCAACAGACACGGCAAGGGCUCGAUGGAGACCGUAGAACGGGCACGAGACCACGGCGAACGGUGGCGAAGCUUCCUAGGUGCGCGCGCAGAGCGAGAGAGAGGGCGAGGGUGCUCGGCUGGGGGCACAACUGAGCGGGGGAGGGCGAGUGAGUGUGGGCGGGCUCUAGAAAAGGCUCAGGCAUGUGGGGGCGUGGCCGGGAAACGAGCGGUCGUGGGCGCGUCCACGGCGGAGAGCGCGGGCGGCUCGGGGGGGACGGUUCCGACAGGCGGGGCCCACAGGAUAGAGAGAGAGCGUGAAAGCGAACGAGCUUCAGUGCUGACGAGCAGGGCCUGCGGGACAGAGAGAGCAAGCGUGCGUGCGCAGAGAGAACUGGCGCCGACAGGUCGACCCCACCGGGCAGCGAGAGGGAGAGAGGCAAGAGAGAGCGGGCACGGGAUGACGCUGACAGGCGGGGACCGCUUGUCAGGGAGGGGCGGACGCACGGGCGCGGGAUGACUGGGCCGAGAUGGGCUUGCUAGGCUAGAAUUGGUUUCCCUUUUUCCUGGAAUUUCUAAUUUCUUUUCUUUUUAUUUUCUCUAUGGAUUUCAAAUCAAAUUCAAACCCCAAACCAAAUUCAAAUAAUUUCAAACAUGUGCAUCAAACAAAAGAAUAAUUUAGGCUCAACACGAUGCAACAAUUCAUGACUCACAUAGUUUUGAAAAAGUAAAUAAUUAAUCCCUCACUUACUUAACCUAAUUCUACUCAAAAGGAAAAGAGAGAGAGAGAGUCUAGAGGGAGAGACAAGAGGUAACACCUGAAUUUGGUAGGCAUUUAGAGAAGAAAUUUUAUACCCCCAAAUUUAGGGUGUUACAGGGGCCAUCACUGUCGUGCGCAUGUGGGGAGCCCUCACACGAGCCUGUGUCCGCUCGCUCCUCCCCGGGCCGAGGUCGGCACUCGCUCCUCCGGGGCCACCAUCGCCGCUGCUCGCGCCUCGGGUAACCACCACCGGCGAGUGAGGUGGCGCGUGUAGCUCGCUUGCGCCUCCCGGGGCCACGGCCGGUGCCUGCGCCUCAUGGGAUGUCGGCACCGCUCACGCCUCUCGGGCCGUCAUCGCUGCUCGUUCUCGGGGAACUAUUGUCGUCGCUCGUGCGUCAGGAUGGUGGCGUAAAAAAAUGAACUCUAGAGGUCUAGAACUCCUUUUAUAGACGUUGGGACCUCGUUGGGUUGGACCAUGUUGCCUAGUGUCUAGCAUGUGCUUCCUCUAGUUAUUGAAAACCCAUAUAUAUUGACUUUAGUACCAAUUUGUGAUUACAACCGGUGCUAAAGUUUCAACUUUAGUACGGCUCUAGCCAAGAACCGAUACUAAUAGGGGACCUUUAGUAACGGUUCUAAGCACGAAUCGGUACUCGAAUACUAUCUUUAGUAUACUAUCUUUAGUACCAGUCAGUGCAACCGGUAAAGUUGCGGGCUUUUAGUGUCAGAUACGGGCUUUUAGUUUAACUUUCAAUCAAUACAAGAAAAAAAAUUCAGUUACUGUUCUCAAAAGCAAUAUUUUUUUGUUAGUACAAAUUAGAUUAAAAUUAAGGUGAAAUCAGAUGCUCUCAGUGUUGUACAGACUACAUACACAGUGCUGGUCGCGGGAAAAAAGAGCUUCUAUAUUUGUGAUCGGGUGUCAUCACUAAAUAUAUACAUGCAUGUUGUGCAAAUAACACCAUUUUACUUGAUAAACUUGUUUGAUUUCACAGCCUUGAAGAGAACGAAAAACACUCUACAUAAUGUUGAUGUAUGGAACGUAUAAACAAACAUAACACGCGCGGGGUAAUUAGAUAAUUAAACUUGACUAGUAGUGUGGGUUGACGGCGAAGCACUUCUCCCUGAUCUCUCCCUCGUCGCCGGUGAGCACCUGGACCUUGCCCAUCUUAACCAUGGCCUUGGCGAACUUGACCUGCCAUGCCUUCUCGACUGCGGCGUUGAAGUGGACCAUUCCGGCCGUCCAGGGAUUGUCGAGCAGUGUGUUGUCAGAGAUGAACAGGACCUUGUGCGCCAGCACGUUCUUGUAGUACUGGUUGUCGAAGGUCGCCGGCGUGACUGGGUCAAGCGGCACCACCGUGGGGUCCAUCUGGUCGUCGCUGGACGGCCAAGGGCACCGCGCCUUGAGGUGCCCGGCGUAGGCGGGGUCGAGGGACGGGUCUGUCUGCCCCAGCUGCCCGCUGAAGUUGUAGAGCCGCUGCGUGAAGGAGGAGCAGUGGGAGCGGCCGAUGGUGUGCGCGCCGGAGAGCGUGACCAUGUCGUCGGCGUUGAGCCCCUUGCGCUUGAAGCUCUCGAUGAGCUCGUCGACCUCGUCAGUCGGGGCGGGGACAUUGUUGUCGAGCACCUCCUCCUCUUUGGACACGCGGCCGUCACGGCGGCCCGACGGGACCUUGUAGUCCAGGCCGCCGGCGAGGUAGGUGCUGUCACGGGCCGCGAACGCGACGAUGUCGGCGCAGGAGACGGUGCGCGGGCAGUGCGCCUCGAGGACGGCCUUGGCGUCGUCGAUGACGUCGAAGCCGCGCAUGCUGGGGUUGUUGGCCACGGAGUCCUUCUCGGCCAGGUUGCCCGGCGUGGAGUUGAUGAGGAUGGAGCCGUCGCAGCCCCGGACGAAGCAGUCGUGGAAGUGCAUCCGGAUGAGCCCCGCGCCGACGCCGGGCUCACGGGCGAUGCCGCGGCGGACGGCGUUGCGCACGAUGUCCUCGGCCUGUGCGCAUGAGUGCUCGUAGAAACCGACCUCAAGUUUCCCCGGCGAGGCGUGUACGUGUGCCGCUGAUGAGGAGACGACGACGAGCGCCGACAAGGCAAAUGCCAACCAAGUGGACCUCAUGACGAAGGUGAACAAUUGGUCGAUCAGAUGCUGCUCUCUCACUCUGAGCUUUCUAUCUGCUUUAGCUCUGGAGCUCGAUCGAGAUGGUGACGAGGAGAGGAGAUGAAGAGCUGCUUUAGAUGUUACUCUCUAUUUAUACAAUGUGCUUGGAACCGUGUUUGUGAACCGGGUCAACGAAUAAUAAGCAAGACCCAAUAUAAUCCCUGCAUCGCGAUAACAAUCGAGUAACAACUGCUACAAGAACCGUGUCAGUGGACUUUGUAGUACAUAUAUGUCAGCAUGUACCUAAUAAUGUUGCCCAGACUUGGUUGUAGCAGCAAAUGAUAAGCAAAGCAGACAGUUGUUUAGAGAUCGAAAUUGAUGUUAGUUGCUUGAUCAGAGAAUUCAUGAAGACACAUACAGUUAAUUUUUUUAUUGACAUGGUCGAUGCCCCUAUCGCAUGACCAGGACAAAUCCAAGCCUUGUCCAAAAUGGAUUGUGUCAUCACUAAGGCAAGGUCCAACCGGAGCCUACGACGUGGCCUCAGUGCCUAGGAUGGAAAUGAGCAUAAACCAGAACAUAACAGAUCAAUAGCCAUCAAAACACAGGACAUAGGGUAUUAUCGCACAACGAGAGCAUGAACCACCCUAACCUAUAUAAAUUCACCCUCGGGAAAUCCUUGACAAAGGGUUUUCAAGCCCAACCUACAAAAGCAUUUGAGCAACAGGAGUUUACUAAGAAAGGCAAGUGUUUUCUUGAUCUCGUUCUUUUACCUAAUAAUAUUUAUUAUUAUGUCCUCACCUAUGCAUUGCAGUUAGGUUAACCCGACGGGACCUAAUAGGUUACCUAACUUUGUUUUCCCUGUGCCUUGUGUACCCCUAAGUUACUAAUUAUUGGGUAGACAUUCUUGUGCUCAACUUCGUUUUUGGGAAUAAUGAUACUUAUGAAUCAUGGUCAUAUUUUAUUAUGAUUUAUUAUUGUUGGUUUAUUUAUUAUGCAGGAUAAGGCCACCGUGUUUAAUUGGAACAUGGAGAACCAACCGAGAAAACAAUGUGACCACAAUUACUUUUAUGGCUCUGGUCUUAGCUAAUUGAUUACGAAAGUUGGUGUGUAAGAACCUUCCUCGACAUGGGCAAGCAGGGAGGAGUUGCUCAAGUAUAGGGAGGUUCUUAGGUUGAUCUGCUUUGUGGAAGCUUUUCAGACGAGGGGUUCAUAUACCACCUCUAUUUGAAACCGUAGCGGGUUUUCUCAUGCUAGUGGAAAUUUACAAAGUCCUUGUAGUGAAUCCUGCCUCACCUCCAAAGAAGAGAUUUAUGUGAGUAUUGAGCCCUUGGCAAAUGGGUAACAUGACUAUGGGUUAAGAUGUGCAACCUCUGCAAAGUGUAAAACUAAUAUAUCAGUCGUGCUCACGGUCACAAGCGGCUCGGACCCUCACAUGAUUAAAUUAUAAAAUUAAAAUAAAUCAGACGUGCAUUUUAUUAGGGGUGAAAAUAGGUCGGGUACAUCUAUCGGGUACUGAAUACUUUACUAUUUUCAUAUGGGGACUUAAGGUUAUCUUCAUGUGGGGACUUAAAGUUAUCUUUUUAUAGACUAUUUGUUGUUCUUGGUAACUUAUUUGUAAUUUUUGGCCGACAUUAAAAUAUUUUAUGAAUUUAAUUGUAUUAUGAUGAUUUUCUAUAAAAAAGGAAUUAAUAUUACACAAAUAGCCUAAAAAUUAUGAAAUUUUGUGGAGGCCCAACAUAUGUUCAUAUAUGAUCAUAAAAAAUAUUUGGUAUAUAAAAUUCAUAAGAUGUCAACGUUUCUUCCAUUUCAGUUACAAUUAUUGCGUGAGUUACACGUGAAAUCAUUCUUGAAAGGGAAAUAGGGUUAACCAUUUUCUAUAAUCAAUUUUGGUGGUUGAUGUAUAACAUAAAUCAUAUGGACUAACUAGUUUGUAUAGAUAUCAUUCAUCACAGGUGCAUAAGGUUCAACACAAACCAAGAAACAAAUACAGUUAAGGACUUAAUCAAAAAUUGGAGCAAGACUUAGAGUGUGCUGAUUUUUGGCGCACCGGACAGUGUCCGCCAAGCCAGCCAUCAUCCAAAAUAGCCACUCUCGGGUUUCUGUUGGGCAUGCUCCACUACAAUUCACCGGACUGUCUGGUGCACCAGCGGAUUAACGACUCCCUGCGCGCCAACGAUCGUUUCGUCAGAUGAACAGUGAUGAACAGUGUCACGAUAGAAGUCAGAGUGCAGAAGUCAGAGGUCACCGGACUGUCCGGUGCAGCAAGACGACAAGGCGCUCCAACGGUCAACUGCUCCAAACCCUAAUGGACACGCUGACGUGGCGCGCACCGGACAGUGAACAGUGACUGUCCAGUGCGCGCACCGGACUGUCCGGUGCAUCCGUCGCCAGCAGACUUCACCAAUGGCUAGGAAGUGAUUGAGGGCUAUAAAUACCCCCCAACCACCUCAUUCAAAGCCAUCUCUGCCUUGUUGUUGAAUUCCCUACCAUCCCAGUCUACUGCAUCGGGGGCGACAGCGUAGUGGUCGAAGGUGUAGACUGGGCCCGUCACUCUGGCGUAAUCAACCAGUCCAAGGAAGUGUUCCCUGCAUAGAAGGCCGAGGAUGCCAUUGGGGUUGUGACCAUGACCCCCUGCAUUCUCCACAACCUUCCAAGACCUGUCCAAGUGAUAAAAAAGUAUUAGUUUAUAUUAUGAAUUUGAGCACAUAAUAUGAUCAAGCAGCGAAAACAUCAAGUUACAUGACUCUCCCCAUCCGGCCGAAUCAGCGGCCACCUGUCUUGAAGUAUGGGACGCUGAAGGAGACUCGCGGGACCUUGCAGGUAGACGUUCUUUGAACCUGAGGCGCUAGAACCUGAGGCGUCCUGCUGACCGUUGUCGUCGUCCUGCUACGCCGCGUCAACAGCGGCUGCUCCACCUACUGCUGGACGUCGUCGUCCUGCUGUGCUUCCUCCGCCGUCCUACGAGUGCUCCUCCUCCCCAUCCUUGUCCUCAUCCCACUGCCCACCAUCUUUGUCCAACAAUCUGCAAUUAAGAGUAAGCAAAUAAGCACAUAUAAAAAACAUGUAUUUAGAAACAAGUGCGAAAUAACAAAUAAUAUAGCAUUACAUCGAUUAAAAAUAAUCUUCAUAUGUGUCGGGGUUAGCCAAAUCAUAAGUCAUAUCAUCACUAUCAACCAUUUCAUAGUAAACACCAUCUGAAGGCGCAAGUUCGUCAUUAAUGUCAUUGUCUUCAAGUAUUACUAAGUCAUUCUCAUUUUGGACCUCAUCAUCCUCCUCCUCAAAAACCAUUUCAAUAUCUACUUUCAUUCCGAUAGCUUCGGUUAAGUCUAUCUCAAAUCGCCCUUCUAGCCCAUCUUCUUGGAAGAACUCUCCAUCAUAUGUGUCAGGGUCUAAGUUAUAAUCUUCAUCGUUUGGAACAGGUAAUUUACUGUGCGACGAUGCCUUAUACACAACAUCCCAACCCUUAAGAUGUUCUUUUGUUUAGCACGCAUAUGAGAGAUAAUACACUCGGGUUAGUUGCAUACCCGUCAUGGAACAUCAACAUCUUGAUCCACUGUAGUACUUCCUUCCUUUGGGCCCUGCUGAGGAUGAAAUCGGCCUUAGGCCUUCUCCAUGUCUUUCCACCACUAGGUGGCUUCAUCUCUUGGUUUGGUCUAUCAUAUAACGUUGCCAGAUCCACUCUUGCCUUUAUAUUAUCCUUUGACUUAUCAGGAAUGUCCAUAAUUGUUGCCGAAAGUGCCUCGGUGACAUUCUUUUCAGUGUGCAUCACGUCAAUGUUGUGUGGAAGUAGCAAGUCGUCAUAAUAGGGGAGUGGAGUCAAGCCCGACUUAUGUGUCCACAUAUGCUGCUCACCAUAUCCCACAAAACCACCAUCUGGAUUGGCCACGAGCUCAUCUAUCUAUUGACGAAUUUAGGCACUAGUCAUCAUUGUAGGUGGGUAAUCUGUCACUACGACACCUUUCAUAAAGUUCUUGAUGUCUAGGUGGAAUGGAUGGUCAGGAGGGAGAAAUUGUCGAUGUUUAUCGAACGAUGGAUAUUUGCCACCCUUCUUCAACCAAAUGAACCUAAGAGCUUCCUUGCAAACUGGGCAUGGGAACUUACCAUGAACACACCAGGUGCAGAAUAGCCCAUAAUCCAGUAAGUCAUGCAUGGAGUACUGGUACCAAACAUGCAUUUUGAAGUUUGUCUUCGUUGCUCGGUCAUACGUUUAUACCCCUUCUUCCCAAGCAUGUAUCAAUUCAUCAAUCAAAGGCUCCAUGUACACGCCCAUUUUAUUCCCUGGGUGUUUGGGAAUUAUCCACGACACGAAUAUGUUCUGUUUUUGAAAGCAUACAUCGGGAGUAGAUUGAUUGGGACAACAAACACGGUACAACAUGUGUAUGGGGCAGUGCUCAUUCCAUAAGGAUUGAACCCAUCUGUGGCCAGCGCAACACGUACAUUACGAGCCUCUUCGGCUUUUUCACGGUGAAUAGCAUCAAAAUGUUUUCGUGCUUCACCAUCGAAUGUGUGCACCAUCUUGUCAGGAUUGUAUCGUUUGCCAUUUUUGUGUCAAGUCAUCUGUUUCGCGGAUUCCUCGGUCAUUGUCACACCCGGAUUUAAGGGACAAAACUGGGUGCAUCUCAUACAUGCGCCAAAGAAGACAACAUAUAUAAUAACAGAGUGUAUAAAGAUAAAUGUCACAAUAAUCAGAGUAUUUAUUACAUAGCGGAAGUCUUACAAAAUAAAAGAUAAAUAUAAAAGGAUCUAAAAUCCAUCCUUGGCGCCAGAAAGUGAACUGGGAGAUGCCACCUAGAUCGAAUCGAACUCCUCGAUGUGUGGCUCCACUUGAACCACCUGUUCUUCUCCUGUGGGGGGGUGUGAGACAGCAAGGGUGAGCUCAAACAUGUUCAUCGCUCAACAAGUUGUGGGGAAUAAUGUGCAUGAACUCGCCAAGGUGGGAGCUCAUGAAGUGUAAGGCUGAUCAACAAUAGGGGUUAAAGCUGAGCAUUGCUUUUAAUAAGUUGGUCAAAUUUUAUAGCAAUUACUAAAUGUAAGUAAAUACGAAACCAUAAUAAAUAAUCAAACAAAAUUAAUACAAAUCCCAUGCAAUGCAAAUGACAAAUUGAGUUUAGGUUCCAUAAUUUAAUCAUGCGAGAGUCCUGAGCUGCUCUUGACCGUGAGCUCGGCUAGUAUACCAGUUUUACACUCUGCAGAGGUUGUACCCUUUACCCACAAGUCGUGUUUCCCAUGUCGCCAGGGUUUACAAGGCCCUUAGACACUAUCGAGAUGAAUGGCUAGGGAUCCACUACGAGGCCUUUACAAAGUUCCACUAGCUUCCGGAAACCCGCUACAGUUAUGGGAAGAGCACUUGCAAGAAUCCCCCGUCUAACCGCCAUCGCAGCAAAAUCAACCCGAGAACCUCCUUGCAUGCAACUCCCCUACUGCUUUUGCCCCUUUCAGGUAAGGUAAUCUUCCACUAGAUUUCCUAAUUAGUUAGCCAAGGGGUCCCAUUCCUCCCUUGUGGUGGCACACGUUUCUCAAGUUAAGCUCCAUGUUCCAAUUAACAAUAAUAUAAUGAUCUUAACAUGAACAUAAAUAGCAUAACAGAAUAAUUAGAACAUGGAUAUAAUGAAAUAUUAAUCCCAAAACCAUAUAGAGCAAUAGCAAAACUACCCAAAUGAUUCAGGGAUAAAACAAGGUAAAAAUGAUAACCAGACUAGGGUGACCUAUUGGGUCCCAUCAAAAUUAAACCAUUCAAUAGUGAUAAUAAAGAAUAUUAUUGGGUAACAAAAGUGGAUCAAGGGCACAACUUGCCUGGGACUUGAGAUUCUAGGUACCAACUUGCUCUUCAAGUAACUUGUAACCUCGCUGUUAGUCGUAGCAAUACAAACAAAUAUGGUAUAGACAAAAUUAACAUCACACCAGACAUAAGAACAAAAUAAUAAUCUACGCAAUGCAACGAGGUUGUGGGAACGAGAACUACUAAAGUCGGAGUUACGGUUAAGGAGUUAUGAUUUUAUAGAGGAUUUAUGUGAUUAAAAUAUCAAACUAUAUUAUAAAUUGGUUGGUACAUACCAUAUAAGAUAUUAUUCCAUAAAUAAUUAAUUCAACUUAAAUUUUAAUCAUAACUUGGCUAGAGAUCAUGCUUUAAUCCUAUUAUAAUUAUGGACAUGUUAAAUUUGAUUCAGAAGAGGUAUUCUAGUAGACAUAGGUUAAAUAAUAUCAAACUAUAAAAUUAUGAAACAUGGUAUUAUUAAUACUGUUACUGUGUAGGUAAUAUUUAUAUGAAUCUAAUGCAACUUGAACGAGUCAAUUCAGAGUUAAAAUGGAGGAGUUCUGAAUUUCCUAAGGUUUUAUGUAUUUGAUAUAAGAUUAAUUAGGAAAUAAAUUUUAAAGUGGCUUUCAUGUUAAAACAAUCAGAAUGAAUUAAUUUGGACUAAGUAUGCAUUUUCUAUGCAUUAAACAAAUUCUAGCAUUCAUUUUUCUUUAAAAAUCAUUUUCUAAUUCCUUUUUCUAGAUUUUAUAAUUCUCUGGACUGGGCCUCAAUUACAGGAAAGUCCAGGGGUUAAUGCGCGAAAAGUCCCAAGACACAGAUCUACCCCGCGGUGGAUGGCGGGUUAAAUAACCAAGACUCCGAGGGCUCAUUUGCAUUUAUUCCUGGCCGAAGGGGUAUCGGCCGCUCUCAUACGUCCGAUCAUCCGCGAACGAUCCAGAUUAUAUUUCCUAUAAAGCGAAACCGGUAUGUCAUACGAGCCGUUAGAUGCCAGAUCCACGGCCCACAUGAGCGCACACUCUUUUACCCCCUUUCCCCUUGGAUCAUUAAUCAACAGUCUAGAUUGGUCGGAUCGAAAUGUUACGCUCAAGCGAUCCCAACCGUUCACCAGGGAUGGACGGCGCACACAUCAUCUUCCUCCACUGGUUCCAUCGCAAUUUUCUCCCCAGCCAACCCUUCGUGGUCGAGCGCCAUAGUCAUGGCAGCAUGCUGGUCAGUGCUCGCCAUCCGAGCCCGAAAUACAGCCCGGACGCCACUACUCAAAUCUUACACGGCCACGAUCAAUAGGUAGGAACACUCACCGGGUAAAGUUGUACACCAAGCCGACCUUGACUUCUACUCGCCGAGGGAGCCCACGUCGAGACCCACUUCUCCUCCCACCGAUGACACUGCAAGCUUCAAGGCCUGCCGCCGAUCCCGCAUGCCACUGCCGAGCCCCCAGCGCAGUCGUUUUACGAACGGUCGACGGUGCGGACCGGAGUUCAUAGGCCACCAGGCAAUUCUCUCUCUCUCUCCUGAUUCCUCGAGUGCUCAGAGGUUUCGCAAUGUACUUGGAUGGCCAGGGUGAGGCGGUAGCAACUUCUUAUAUACUGUCGGCAGGGAAAGCCUGCUCUAGCCGCGCAAGCCAGCGGAUCCCAAGCGAAUCACCCAGAAAUUUUGAGUUCGUUGCGCGGUUAGUUGCCAGGGCUUUCGCCAGUAACGAUGAACGCGCGAGUCCGCUGUUAGACCAUGCCGCAGAGAAAGGAUGCCAGUGCUGCAGCUAGCGACCACCCAGGCGAGCCAAGUGUAGAGGAUAGGCUACGUGCGUGACCCCGCGGCAUCCGAUUUCCGUGCUCCACGUUCAAGAAGAUGGUCUGCGCGCCGGGGCUCGGUUUUAUUCCCAAGGAUGUGCCAACCACUCGACCCAGACCCAUGGAGAUCCCCAACCGGAAUCCAGCUGUUUCAGUUAGUGCGGCCCGAUUCAACAGCCGAGUUACGCGGACGCGCAGCCAGCGAGCUUGAUGGGGGUUUGCUCAGAUCCAGUCAUAGGGAAGAAGGAAUGGCUGACAGCACGGUCCCAUUUGUCAGUGUCCGGGAGCGGAACAACGAGCCCGGGCUUCCGGCUGAUGCGCGUGCUGGCGAACGGGUCCGGCCCGUCAGCGAGGGUCGCAAACGUUAGAGCACUGGCAACGUGGGUUCCUCUAUCAGUGACGAGAAAGCCAGCAUGGGCGCGCACGGUGUGUGUCGACCGAGGGGGCCCACUCGUCAGUGACGCCAGGGCGCGCGGGUGAGUUACUUGGGCAGCGCGGUGGGGGAAAAGAUAGGGUUAGUUGGGCCGCAGGUUUAAGGUUUUGGCCCAAAGUCUGUUUUCCUUUUCUUUUUUUCUUUUCUAUUUCAAAUUCCAAAUAUUGAAAUCCACAUCCUAAUUCCCGUUUUGAAUUCAAAUCUCAAAUAUAAUCCAAAUGUGAGUAUAAAUCCUACUAUUAUUAUUAUUUAUCCUCCUUCCUAUUAUUUAAUUAUGGAAGCAAGAAAUGACUUUAUUACAAUUUUUGUUUUAUAUUUUCCAUUUAUCAUUUGAGGUCAAAUUAAAUCUUGAUUCCUUUAUUCCAACAAAAUGCAUCACAACAAAAUCAUUGGCAUGAGGUGCACAUUUCUUUAUUCAUUUAUUUGUUAGUUGAAUAAUUUAAUACCACUAACUGAGUAUGCACAAAGAAAAGAAAGUCAAACAAUUGCUAGAACACUAUCAUAUAGGUAUACUUAUUUAUUUAUCUUAUAUAUAUUUUUUCUCUUAUAUAAAUUUCGGGCUUUACAAAUCCUACCCCCUUAACAGAAAUCUCGUCCUCGAGAUUUGUAAGAAAAGGAAUGCAAAAUGAUUAGUUUGUAAUUUAGCUUUCAGUUUAUAAUUGGUUCAAAAAUCCAGAGUCUCAAUUUUUUUGUCCAUAGUGGUUGAUUAGGAGAGCAUAGGUAUUCAGCCACUUAUUAUGUAGGAUAAAAGCUGGACAGGUUGAAGUAAGAAAGAUUAUGGCAAGGAAAAGACUUUAUCUGGAAUGUUUAAAUCUUGAUUCAUCUCGAGAUUUGCUUUGACUGUUAUAUCCUUCCUUGUCGAUGUUGAGCUUUUUGUCUCCGGUCUUGGUCUCAUUAAUUUGAGGUUAAUGUAUAUCAUCGGGGUUGGGAUAACCAUUGCAGUUACAUAGGGUAGGUGGAGUAAACAGAGUUUUACUUUGCUUUUGGGAUGAUUGGGUUGGACAACCUAUAACAUAGGCUGGGUUGUGGUUUCACGGACAAGUUGGUCUAAGACACCAAUUUUAGGUUUAAAACUCAUUUAUAGGAAUAUGGUUUAGUUAAUACUUGUAACAUAGAUUAGACCAUAUUAGAUUAAGUAGGGUCUAGAUUAGAUUGGAUAUAACUAGAUUAGACUAGUUUAAGUUAGGCAGAUCUACCAGGGUAGAAUAUGUAUUAUUAAUAUAUGCUAGAAUCCUUUGAGAUAGGAUGAAUUAUAUAGUGUAGGUAGGUCAGAAUCUCUGUCGGUUAAAAUAGAGGGGUUAUGCAACCAUCGGAUGGUUAAGGUAGUUGCAUAUGGCCAGGUUGGACUAAGACUCCAAUUUAGGUUAAAACGUAUUUAUAAGAGUAGGAGCUGAUCUUAUUUUACCAAAAAUUAUCUAACAUGUUUGUCCAUUAGGUUAGAUAUGAUCAGAUUAGAUGGGAUCAGAAUUAAAUUGGUAUAAUCAGAUUAGACUAGAUAAGAUCUACUUAUUUUAUUUUGGAAUAGAUCAUGUUUGUUACACUGUUAUGAGAUAAGCAAAGUGAUGGGGAUAAGUAUGCUUAUUAGGACAAGAUGAGUCUCUAAGAAUAAGAUAGAAUCUUUUGAGAUUAGUUAGAUUUAUUAGGCUAAGAUAAAAAUCCUUUCGAGAUGAGAUGAGUUUAUUAAGGUAAUAGAGUAUCUUUUAAGAUAAUAUGGAUCAUUUAAGAUAAGAGAGAGUCUUUUAAGAUGAUAGGGAUCUCUAUGAAAUAUUCAAGUGGGGGUACUUUUAGUUGGUCUAGUUUAUCUCAUAACAAUUUAAGAGGAUAAAAUUUUUUAACAUAAGAUGAUCCUAUUAGGAUAAGGUAGAUUCCCUUAAGUUAAGAGGGAUCCAUUAAAGUAAGAAAGAAUCUUUUAAGGUAAGAAGGAUCCAUUUAAAAUAGAUACACUUUAAUGGAGGAUAAUCUAAGUUGUUUAGUUAUCUCAUGAAUUUUAUUUAUUUAUAUCUAUAUGUAUAUGUAGAUGUAAUUGUGGACAUUACUCCACAAUUAAUCACACUCAAUCAAAGAUCCAAAUCAGACAAGUAUCAUAAGAACAAACACUCAAGCGUAUAGAUACCUAUAAAAAUAGUUUAUUUUUUUGUUCCUAAAAGUAGGUCUCUUAUUCCUAAAGAUCACUUUAGGCACAGGAUUUCAAAGUGUGGAAUCCACAUUUGUCUUUAGAAAGAAAAGGUAAUAAUAAUCAGAGUAAAGCAGAAAUAGAUGAGAAAAGAUUAAGAAAAGUUUAGGAAGGGAUCAGAGUAGCAAAGGUAAGGUUAAUCAGAGUAGAACAGUAGAAGAUGAGAUUGGAUCAAGAAAAGUAUAGAAAGAAUCAGAGUAAGGUAAGUAGGUAAUGGUUGUUUAGUUCUAUCUAGGUUUCGUCCUACAGUCAACAUACCUCUGAUACCACUUCUGUCACACCAGGAUUUAAGGGACAAAACCGGGUGCAUCUCAUACAUGUGUCAAAGAAGACAACAUAUAUAAUAAUAGAGUGUAUAGAGAUAAAUGUCAUAAUAACAUAGCUGAAGUCUUACUAAAUAAAAGAUAAAUAUAAAAGGAUCUAAAAUCCAUCCUCGGCGCCAGAAAGUCAACUAGGAGACGCCACCUAGAUCGAAUCGAACUCCUUGAUGUGUGGCUCCACUUGAACCACAUGUUCUUCUCCUGUGAGGGGGUGUGAGACAGCAAGGGUGAGCUCACACAUGUUCAUCGCUCAACAAGUUGUGGGGAAUAAUGUGCAUGAACUCACCAAAGGUGGGGGCUCAUGAAGUGUAAGGUUGAUCAAUAAUAGGGGUUAAAGCUGAGCAUUGUUUUUAAUAAAUUGGUCAAAUUUAAUUAGCAAUUACUAAAUGUAAGUAAAUACCAAACCAUAAUAAAUAAUAGAACAAAAUUAAUACAAAUCCCAUGCAAUGCAAAUGACAAAUUGAGUUUAGGUUCUAUAAUUUAAUCAUGCGAGAGUCCUGAGCAGCUCUUGACCGUGAGCUCGGCUAGUAUACCAGUUUUACACUCUGGAGAGGUUGUACCCUUUACCCACAAGUCGUGUUUCCCAUGUCGCCAGGGUUUGCAACGCCCUUAAACACUACCGAGGUGAAUGGCUAGGGACCAACUACGAGGCCUUUACAAAGUUCCACUAGCUUCCGAAAAUCCGCUACAGUUUAUGGGAAGAGCACUUGCAAGAAUCCCCCGUCUGACCGCCAUCGCAGCAAAAUCAACCCGAGAACCUCCUUGCAUGCAACUCCCUACUGCCCUUGCCCUUUUGGGGUAAGGUAGUCUUCCACUAGCUUUCCAAAUUAGUUAGCCAAGGGGUCCCAUUCCUCCCUUGUGGUGGCAUGUGUUUCUCAAGUUAAGCUCCAUGUUCCAAUUAAUAAUAAUAUAAUGGUCUUGACAUGAACAUAAAUAACAUAACAGAAUAAUUGGAACAUGGAUAUAAUGAAAUAUUAAUCCCAAAACCAUAUAGAGUAAUAGCAAAACUACCCAAAUAAUUCAGGGGUAAAACAAGGUAAAAAGGAUAACCAGACUAGGGUGACCUAUUUGGUCCCAUCAAAAUUAAACCUAUGCAUUGAAUAGUGAUAAUAAAGAAUAUUAUUGGGUAACAAAAGUGGAUCAAGGGCACAACUUGCCUAGGACUUGAGAUUCCAGGUACCAACUUGCUCUUCAAGUAACUCGUAACCUCGCUGCUAGUCGUAGCAAUACAAACAAACAUGGUAUAGACAAAAUUAAUAUCACACCAGACAUAAGAACAAAAUAAUAAUCUACGCAUCGCAACGAGGUCGUGGGAACGAGAACCACUAAAAUCGGAGUUACGGUUAAGGAGUUAUGAUUUUAUAGAGGAUUUAUGUGAUUAAAAUAUCAAACUAUAUUAUAAACUGGUUGGUACAUACCAUAUAAGAGAUUAUUCCAUAAAUAAUUAAUUCAACUUAAAUUUUAAUCAUAACUUGGCUAGAGAUCAUGCUUUAAUCCUAUUAUAAUUAUGGACAGGUUAAAUUUGAUUCAGAAGAGGUAUUAUAGUAGACAUAGGUUAAAUAAUAUCUAACUAUAAUAUUAUGAAACAUGGUAUGAUCAAUACUGUUACUGUGUAGGUAAUAUUUAUAUGAAUCUAACGCAACUUGAACGAGUCAAUUCGGAGUUAAAAUGGAGGAGUUAUGAAUUUCCUAAGGUUUUAUGUAUUUGAUAUAAGAUUAAUUAGGAAAUAAAUUUUAAAGUGGCUUUCAUGUCAAAAUAGUGGUACUAACUGAUAAACAAUAAUAUUACAAAAUUAUAGGAAUUGGAAUGAAUUAAUUUUGACUAAGUAUGCAUUUUCUAUGCAUUAAAUAAAUUCUAGCAUUCCUUUUUCAUUAAAAAUCAUUUUCUAAUUCCUUUUUCUUGAUUUUAUAAUUCUCUGGACUGGGCCUCAAUGACAGGAAAGUCUAAGGGUUAAUGCGCGAAAAGUCCCAGGACACAAAUCUACCCCGCGGUGGAUGGCGGGUUAAAUAACCAAGACUCCGAGGGCUCAUUUACAUUUAUUCCUGGCCGAAGGGGUAUCGGCCGCUCCCAUACGUCCGAUCAUCCGCGAACGAUCUACAUUAGAUUUCCUAUAGAGCGAACCGGUACGUCAUACGAGCCGUUAGAUGCCAGAUCCACGGCCCACACGAGCGCACACUCUUUUACCCCUUUCCCCUCGGAUCAUUAAUCAACGGUCUAGAUUGGCCGGAUCGAAACGUGACGCUCAAGCGAUCCCAACCGUUCACCAGGGAUGGACAGCGCACACAUCGUCUUCCUCCACUGGUUCCGUCGCUAUUUUCUCCCCAGCCAACCCUCCGCGACCGAGCGCCAUAGCCGCGUCAGCAUGCUGGUCAGUGCUCGCCAUCCGAGCCUGAAAUACAGUCCGAACGCCACUACUCAAAUCCUACACGGCCACGAUCAAUAGGUAGGAACACUCACCCAUGGUAAAGUUGUACACCAAGCAGACCUCGACUUCUGCUCAUCGAGGGACCCCACGUCUAGACCCCAAUCUGGACUGGCACACCCACUUCUCCUCCCACCGAUGACACCACAAGCUUCAAGGCCCGCCGCCGAUCCCGCAUGCCACUGCUGAGCCCCCAGCGCAGUCGUUUUACGAACGGUCGACGACGCAGAUCGGAGUUCACGCGCCACAGGGCGAUUCUCUCUCUCUCCUGAUUCCCUGAGUGCUCAGAGGUUUCGCAAUGUGCUUGGAUGGCUAGGGUGAGGCGGCAGCAACUUCUUAUAUACUGUCCGCAGGGAAAGCCUGCUCCAGCCGCGCAAGCCAGCGGAUCCCGAGCGAAUCGCCCAGAAAUUCGGAGUCCAUUGCGUGGUUAGUUGCUAGGGCUUUCGCCGGUAAAGAUUAACGUGCGAGUCCACUGUUAGACCAUGCCGCAAAGAAAGGAUGCCAGCACAACAGCUAGCGACCACCUAGGCGAGCCAAGCGUAGAGGAUAGGCUACGUGCAUGACCCCACGACGUCCGAUUUCCGCGCUCCGCAUUCAAGAAGAUGGUCUGCGCGCCGGGGCUCGGUUUUAUUCCCAAGGCUGUGCCAACCACUCGUCCCAGACCCACAGAGAUCCCCAACCGGAAUCCGACUGUUUCAGUUAGUGCGGCUCGAUUCAACAGCCGAGUUACGCGGAGCGCGGCCAGCAAGCUCGACAGGGGUUUGCUCAGAUCUAGUCGUAGGGAAGAAGGAACGACUGAUAGCAUGGUCCCAUUUGUCAGUGUCCGGGAGCGGAACAACGAGCCCAGGCUUCUGGCUGAUGCGCAUGCUGGUGAACGGGUCCGGCCCGUUAGUGAGGGUCGCAAAUGUUAGAGCACUGGCAACGUGGGUUCCUCUGUCAGUGACGAGAAAGCCAGCUUGGGCACGCACGGUGUGUGUCGGCCGAGGGGGCCCACUCGUCAGUGAUGCCAGGGCGUGCGGGUGAGUUACUUGGGCUGCGCGGUGGGGGAAAAGAUAGGGUUAGUUGGGCCGCAGGUUUAGGGUUUUGGCCCAAAGUCUGUUUUCCUUUUCUUUUUUUCUUUUCUAUUUCAAAUUCCAAAUAUUCAAAUCCACAUCCUAAUUCCUGUUUUGAAUUCAAAUCUCAAAUAUAAUCCAAAUGUGAGUAUAAAUCCUACUAUUAUUAUUAUUAUUAUUUAUCCUCCUUCCUAUUAUUUAAUUAUGGAAGCAAGAAAUGACUAUUACAAUUUUUGUUUUAUAUUUUCCUUUUAUCAUUUGAGUUCAAAUUAAAUCUUGAUUCCUUUAUUCCAACAAAAUGCAUCACAACAAAAUCAUCGACAUGAGGUGCACAUUUCUUUAUUCAUUUAUUUGUUAGUUGAAUAAUUUAAUACCCCUAAUUGAGUAUGCACAAAGAAAAGAAAGUCAAACAAUAGCCAGAACACUAACAUAUAGGUAUACUUAUUUAUUUAUCUUAUAUAUAUAUUUCUCUUAUACAAAUUUCAGGCUUUACAGUCAUGUAUAGACGCUGGAUCCUCGGUAUAAAUGGAAGGUGGUGUAGGAUUGUCACGGGGAUGUCGAGCUGACUCUUCUGUCCAUCACCAGAGUCUACCUCCAUGAACCUAGAUGAUUUACACUUUAGAUAGUACUUUGCCUUCGUGUUUUCUUUCCUAAAUAGCACAUAGCCCUUCGGACAAGCAUGUAUCUGCUCAUACGUCAUCUUAAAUGCACGAAGGAGUUUUUAUGCCUCGUACAUGCUCUUUGGCAGAACGUGAUCCUCUAGAAGCAGGCUGCCAAUAACUAUCAACAAGCCAUCGAAUGCGUCUUGACUCAUCCUGUACUGCGACUUGAACGCCAUUACACGCCCAAUGGCUUCCAGUUGAGAAACCUUUGUCUGGCCGUGAAGGGCUUCUGUGCCAUGUCAAACAUGUUGUAGAACGCCUUGCGGUUGGCUCUGCUCGUCCUCUGUCACACCCGGGUUCUAGGGGCGACCAAAACCCGGGCAUGCAAAAUAAUCACCAAGUGUGCUGGGACCAAGUCUCACACAUAUGAUGACUCAUGGUAUAGAAACAAAUGUCACAUCUUUACUAUAUAAUAGGAGUUCUGUAUAAAAUAACUAAAUAUUUAUAUAAUAUGCGGGCAACGAUCCAGCAACCAUAGUUGACUAGGAGACGACGACCUAGACCACUCACGAAGUCAUCACAGCAUCCUUCGUGCGCCUCCUUCUGUGGUACCUGUUUUUGGCCUGGGGGGAUGUGAGUACAGCAAGGGUGAGCUUACAUACAUUCAUCAUUCAACAAGUUGUGGGGAAUAAUGUGCAUGAACUCACCAAAGGUGGGAGCUCAUGUGAAGUGUAAGGCUUACCAAAGGAGAUGGUUGAAGCUGAGCAUUGCUUUUAGAGUUGGUCAAAAUUUUAUUAGCAGUUACUAAGUAUAAGUAGAUACCAACCCAAAUAAGUAAGAGAUUAAAAUUGAUAAUAACACCCGUGAUGCAAUGCAUAUGACAAAUUAAGUUUAGUUCCAUAGAUUAAUCAUGCGAGAGUAAUGAGCUGCUCAUGACCGCGAGCACGACUGAUAUACUAGUUUUACACUCUGUAGAGGUUGCGCCCUUACCCACAAGUCGUGUAUCCCGUCUAGCCAGGGUUAGCUAGACCCUUAGACACUUUCGAGGUGAAUGGCUAGAGAUCCACUACGAGGCCUUUACAAAGUUCCACUAGCUUUAGAAAACCCGAUACAAUUUCUAGGAAGGGCAAUAUAGGAAUCCCUCGUCCGAAAAGCCAUCACAGCAUGAUCGACCCGAGAACCUCCCUAUACACAACUCCCCUACUGCCCUGGCCCCUUUCGGGUAAGGUAGUCCUCCACUGGCUUUUAAGCUCCAUGUUCCAAUUAACACAAUGAUCUUGUCAUGAACAACAAUUAAAACAACAGUAUAAUUGGAACAUGAUCAUAAUGUAAUAUUAUUCCCAAAACCAGAUAGAGCAAUAUCAUAACUACCCAAAAGUUUAGUGGUAAACAAGGUGUGAGAUAAACAUUAUUAGGUAAAAAAGUGAUCAAGGGCUCAACUUGCUUGAGACUCGAGAUUCCAGGUACCAGGAUGAUCAUCAGAUGACUCGUGACCUCACUGCUAAUCAUAGCAAUACAAACAAACAUGGUAUAGGCAAAAUUAACAUCACAUCAAACAUAAGAACAAACUGUAUAAUAAUAAUCUACACGUCGUUAUGAGAUCGUAGGUUCGAGAAUCACUAAAUUUGUAGUUAAGAUUAUAGAGAUAUGAUUUUCGGAAGCCCUUUAUGGUUAAAUAAUAGCAACUAUAUUCUAUGUUGAUUAGCAUAAAUCAUAUGAGAAAAGAUAUUAAAUAAAUAAUUAAUUUAACUUUAAUCUAGGUUAUAAUCUUGAUUAGAGAUCUUGUUUUAGUCAAACUAUAAUUAUAGAUAGGUUGACUUGACUAGAUUGAUUAAUCAACUAACACAAGCUAAAUAAAUAUCCAAUUAUAAAAGUAUGUGGACUGAUAAAAAAAUAAUGUUUUUAAGGUGUAAACAAUUUUAUUACGAAGCUAAUGCAAUUUGAACAGAGCAAAAUAGAGUUAAGACGUGAGAGAUAUGCAAUAAAUAAGAUUUUAGGUUUGUUUUUAUAUUUAUUUUUAUGCCAAAACAACUAUCAAGGACAUGAACGUAAAUACCAGGGACUGGUUUGCAAAUUUCAAGGACUUAUUUGUUAUUCCUUCAGCUUUAACAUGGAUGGCGGGCUUAAUACAUAUAGCCUUGAGGGCUCAUAUGCGAAACUCACUGCCGAAGGGGUAACAUUGCGUCAUAGCCAUCAGAUCUAAACCUGAUGGCACAGAUUAAAAGGGAUGAAGGGUUACUCUGGGUUCUAAUAUGCACCGAACAUAAGCGAUCUAAUAGUCACAAUCUACAUUGCCCCACCCCCAAUCUUGGCCGCACAUCCGAGAUCCCACGGUUUGGUUACACACAAGCGACCGCUGACCACUGACCAUUGGAUUGUCAUCCAACGACCCAAGUUCGACCCCGAAGUGGUAUCAUCAACACCCGAUCACAGUCGCAUGAUGGCCAUCCAACGACCACUUCCUUUCCCCAGCUACACCCCUCCAAGUAGCCCGCGCGCGGCGGCGUUGCCUAGCCCAUGGUGAUGGAGUUCGCUGGAGAUGCACGAUCUCCCUCUCUGGUUCCCAAAACCUGGAUCUGAAGGGUGCUAAGCAGAGGGGGCAUUAAUGUGAAUAAGGUGGGGAGAAUUUUACCAUCGGUCGAAGUCACUAAGCUACGGGUCCACAGCACAGCACGGAGCAUCGCCAUUUUCUGAAAAUCAGUGAGGAAUUACGGCGGUGUCCGGCCGUCCACACGUCGGGCAAAUCUACGGCUAGUCUCCACGCACACAGGCGGUACACCUCCUUCACAACUCAAGGUCCGAAUGAUGGUGAUGCUGGUUCUGCAGCACGACGGCAUGCGCACUACUUUCUUUCUCUCCCCGAACUGCUCACUUUGCUCUAUGUAUUGGUGGCGAGGCGCUUGUGUUGAGGUGGUGACCUAGGAUAGCGAGAUGGGAGGAGGGGGUAGCUAAGAGCUCGCCUCAUAUAGCCUCAACUAACAACAACUAGACCCGAUGCUCACGCAGGUUUGUUAGGCGUUUGCCGGCCGUGGAGGAUCGUAACAACUGGGGAAGAUGGAUCUGGGUGAUGGGCCCCACAAGUCAGUCGGGUAAGGGAAUGGCUGGCAGCAAAACGGUAAUCGUGUACAGCUAGUCUCGCUGGCGCGAGGGGCCCAAGCGUUAGCGUAGUGUGUUCGAGGCGCACGCAGGCAGCCAGCCGACACAACGGACCCACCGGUCGGCGACACACCAGUAUCCAUGGGCCGCAGGCGCGAGAAAAACAAAUGAGCCAAGGGGAGGAAGCGAGAGUGGGCCAACCAGGAUAAUUCGGCCCAUGUAGCAGGUGGUUUUCCCUUUUUUUUAUUUUCCUAUUUACUUUCUAUUUUUUAAUUCCAAUUUGAAUCCCAACUCAAAUCAGGUCUUUGGAUUUCAAAAUUUAUUUAAAAUGAACAAACAAAGAAAUUUACCAGCAAGCAAUGCAAGGUUCAUUUUAUUCCUUUGAUUAAUAGUUUAAUUUCGAAUGCAUAGUUCACGCUUCCUAAAAUUCAAAUAACUUUUCUAUUUUUGAAACCACCUAAUCUCCCAUACAAUUUCUGAAAAGAAUAAUUCAUGUAAACUACUUCAUCCUAUAACUUAUGUUUAAAAUGAUUUAAACACAUAACUAAUAUUUUAUUUUCCCCCAUUUAUUUGGUUUUAGGAAAAUAGUUUCAAGGACAAACCAUCUUUAAUCCAAAUAUUUCAUAGAAAUUUUCUAAUCACCACAGCAAGAUUUUGAGGUGUUACAAAUCCUACCCCCCCUUAAAACUAAUCUCGUCCUCGAGAUUAAUUAGAAAAGGGAUAGAAAUAUUGGUUUGUGAUUUUAGCUUUUAAUUUCUAAUUGUUUUGAAACUGAAGAGUCUUUUUUUACAAUCAUUAGUGGGCGAUUGGGAGAGCAUAUGUAGAUCGAGGUAAGGAAGAUUAAGACACAGAAAGCUUCCAUCACGGAUGGUGGAUCUUGACUCAUCUAGUGAUCUAGCUUGGCUUUUGAAGACCUAAGUUGGUGCUCAUCCUUUCUUGACGAGGUCGAUCUAUUUCUUCUCUAGGCUUGGUGUCUCCAUCUGAGCUAGGGACAUAUGGCUAAGAAAGCUGUGAGUAGGAUAGACUACAUUAAGUAGGUCUAGCUCUGGUUUGAUGUUAAGUUGGAAUGGAUGGUUAUCAUAAACAUGUUGGUUAGUUUGUUUGUUCAUGGCCAAGUUGGUCUAAUGCACCAAUUUAGUUUAAAAUGGGUUUAUAGGAGUAAGGUCUAAUUUAUUUCACCACUAUUAACUUGUUAAGUGACUAACAUUCAAUUAGGUCGUAUUUAGAUUUGAUGGGUCUAGAUUAGAUUGGUAUGACUAGAUUAGACUAGAUAAGAUCUAAUUAAUUUCGGUUAGAUCAUAGUUGUUACACUAGGAUGGGAUUAUCAAAGUGGUUAGGACAAGACGAGAUAAGAUAGAUUCUUUUAAGGUGAGAUGAAUCUAUUAAGUUAGAUACAUUUUAAUGGGGAUAAUCUAGGUUGUCUAAUCACCUUAUAAAUUUUUUUAUGCCUACAUGUAUAUGCAGAUGCAAUUGUGGACAUUACUCCACAACCCAUCACACUCAAUCAAAGAAUCGAAUCAAGCAGUUAUCAUAAGGACAAACACUCAAGCAUAUAAAUAUUUAAAUAUUUACAAAAAUAGUUUUGAUUUGGUUCCUAGGAUUAGGUUUUCUAUUCCUAAAGGUCACUUUAGGUACAUGAUCUCAAAGUUUGAAAUCCACCUUUGUCUUUAGAAGUGAAAAGGUAAGAGUAAUUAGAGUAAAGCAACAAUAGUUAAGAAAAGAUUAAGAAAAGUUUAUAAAGAAUCAGAGUAAAGGUAAGUAGAUAAGGUUGUCCAGUUCUAUCUAGGUUACGUCCUACAGUCAACAUUCCUUCGAUACCACUUUUGUCACACUCGGGUUCUAGGGGCGACCAAGACUCGGGCGUGCAAAAUAAUCACCAAGUGUGCUGGGACCAAGUCUCACACAAAUGAUGACUCAUGGUAUACAAAUGAAUGUCACAUCUUUACUAUAUAAUAGGAGUUCUGUACAAAAUAGCUAAAUAAUUACAUCAUAUGCAGGCAACGAUCCAGCAAUCAUAGUUGACUGGGAGACGAUGGCCUAGACCACUCACGAACUUAUCACAGUAUCCUUCAUGUGCCUCCUCUUGCGGUACCUGUUCUUGACCUAGGGGCAUGUGAGUACAGCAAGGGUGAGCUCACAUACGUUCAUCGCUCAACAAGUUGUGGGGAAUAAUGUGCAUAAACUCACCAAAGGUGGGAGCUGAUGUGAAGUGUAGGGCUUACCAAAGGAGUUGGUCAAAAUUUUAUUAGCAGUUACUAAGUAUAAGUAGAUACCAACCCAAAUAAGUAAGAGAUCAAAAUUGAUAAUAACACCCGCGAUUCAAUGCAUAUAACAAAUUAAGUUUAGUUCCAUAGAUUAAUCAUGAGAGAGUCCUGAGCUGCUCAUGACCACGAGCAUGGCUUAUAUACCGGUUUUACACUCUGCAGAGGUUGCGCCCUUUACCCACAAGUCGUGUAUCCCAUCUAGCCAGGGUUAGCUAGACCCUUAGACACUUCCGAGGUGAAUGUCUAGGGAUCCACUAUGAGGCCUUUACAAAGUUCCACUAGCUUCAGAAAACCUGCUAUAGUUUCUAGGAAGGGCAAUAUAGGAAUCCCUCGUCCAAAAAGCCAUCGCAGCAUGAUUGACACGAGGAACUCCCUAUAUGCAACUCCCCUACUGCCCUUGCCCCUUUCGGGUAAUGUAGUCCUCCACUAGCUUUCCUAAUUAGUUAGCCAAGGGCGUCCCAUUCCACCCUUAUGGUAGCACGGAUAUCUCAAGUUAAGCUGCAUGUUCCAAUUAACACAAUGAUCUUGUCAUGAACAAUAAUUAAAACAACAGUAUAAUUGGAAUAUGAUCAUAAUGUAAUAUUAAUCCCAAAACCAGAUAGAACAAUAGCAUAACUACCCAAAAGUUCAGUGGUAAACAAGGUGUGAGAUAAACAAGUCUAGGGAAACCUAUUAGGUCCCAUCAGAUUAACAUGAGCAUAUCAUAGUGAUUAACAGUAACAUUAUUAGGUAAAGAAAAGUGAUGAAGGGCACAACUUGCCUAAGACUCGAGAUUCCAGGUACCAGGAUGAUCUUCAGAUGACUCGUGACCUCACUGCUAAUCGUAGCAAUACAAACAAACAUGGUAUAGGCAAAAUUAACAUCGCACCAAACAUAAGAACAAACUGCAUAAUAACAAUCUACGUGUCGUAACGAGAUCGUAGGUUCGAGAAUAACUAAAUUCGGAGUUACAGUUAAAGAGAUACGAUUUUCGGAAGCUAGCAACUUUAUUCUAUGUUGAUUAGCGUAAAUCAUAUGAGAAAAGAUAUUAAAUAAAUAAUUAAUUCAACUUUAAUCUAGGUUAUAAUCUUGAUUAGAGAUCUUAUUUUAGUCAAACUAUAAUUAUAGAUAGGUUGACUUGAUUAGAUUGAUUAAUAAACUAACACAAGCUAAAUUAAUAUCCAAUUAUAAAAAUAUGCGGACUGAUAAAAAUAAUGUUUUUAAGAUGUAAAAAAUUUUAUUAGGAAACUAUUGCAAUUUGAACGGAGCAAAACGGAGUUAAGACGUGAGAGAUAUGCAAUAAAUAAGAUUUUGGGUUUGUUUUUAUAUUUAUUUUAUGCCAAAAUAGCUAUCAAGGGUAUGAACGUAAAUACCAGGGACUGGUUUGCAAAUUCUGAGGACUUAUUUGUUAUUCCUUCAGCUUUAACAUGGAUGGCGGGUUUAAUACAUAAAACCCUACGAGCUCAUAUGCGAAACUCACUGGCUGAAAGGGUAACAUUGCGUGUCAGCCAUCAGAUCUAAACCUGACGGCACAAAUUAAAAGGGAUGAAGGGUUACUCUGGGUUCUAAUCCGCACCGCACAUAAGCAAUCUAAUAGUCACGAUCUACAUUGCCCCACCCCCAAUCUUGGCCGCACCUCCGAGAUCCCAUGGUUUGGUUACACACAAGCAACCACUGACCACUGACCAUUGGAUUGUCAUCCAACGACCCAAGUUCGACGCCGAAGCGGUAUCAUCAACACCCGAUCGCAGCCGUAUGAUGGCCAUCCAAUGGCCACUAUUCCUUUCCCAGCUACACCCCUCCAAGCAGCCCGCGCGCGGCGACGCCGCCCAGCCCAUGGUGAUGGAGUUCGUCGGAGAUGCACGAUCUCCCUCUCUGGUUUCCAAAACCUGGAUCUAAAGGGUGCUACGCAGUGGGGGCGUUAAUGCAAACAAGGUGGGGAGAAUUUUACCAUCGGUCGAAGUCACUAAGCUGCGGGUCCACGACACACCAUGGAGCACCGCCAUUUUCUAAAAAUCAGUGAGGAAUUGCGACGGUGUCUGGCCGUCCACACGCCGGGAAAAUCUAUGGCUAGUCUCCACACACAUAGGCGGUACUCCUCCUUCACAACCCGAGGUCCGAAUGACGAUGAUGCUGGUUCUAUGGCGCGACGGCAUGCGCACCCCUUUCUUUCUCUCCCCGAGUUGCUCACUUUUCUCUAUGUAUUGUUUGUGAUGUGCUUGCGUUGCGGCGGUGACCUAGUCAAGCGAGAUGGGAGGAAGGUGGGGGGUAGCCGAGAGCUCACCUCAUAUAGCCUCAGCUGACAACAACUGCACCCGAUGCUCACGCAGGUUUGUUAGGCGUUUGUCGACCGCGGAGGAUCAUAACAACCAAGGAAGAUGGAUCUGGGUGAUGUGCCCCACAAGUCAGUUGCGUAAGGGAAUGGCUGGCAGCGAAACGACAACCGCGCACAGCUAGUCUCACUAGCACGAGGGGCCCAGGCGUCAGCACAGUGUGUUCGAGGCGCACGCAGGCGGCCAUCCGACACAGCGGACCCACCGUCAGUGACACACCAUUAUCCAUGAGCCGUAGGCACGAGAAAAACAAAUGUGCUGCGGGGAGGAAGCGAGAGUGGGUCAACCAGGACAAUUUGGCCCAUAUGGCAGGUGGGCUUCCCUUUUUAUUUUCCUAUUUCCUUUCUAUUUUUUAAUUCCAAUUUGUGUCCCAAUUCAAAUCAGGUCUUUGGAUUUCAAAAUUUAUUUAAAAUGAACAAACAAAGAAAUUUACCAGCAUGCAAUGCAAGGUUCAUUUUAUUCCUUUGAUUAAUAGUUUAAUUUCGAAUGCAUAGUUCACGCUUCCUAAAAUUCAAAUAACUUUUCUAUUUUUGAAACCACCUAAUCUCCCAUACAAUUUCUGAGAAGAAUAAUUCAUGUAAACUACUUCAUCUUAUAACUUAUGUUUAAAAUGAUUUAAACACAUAACUAAUAUUUUAUUUUCCCCCAUGUAUUUGGUUUUAGGAAAAUACUUUCAAGGACAAACCCUCUUUAAUCCAAAUAUUUCAUAGAAAUUUUCUAAUCACCACACUAAGAUUUUGAGGUGUUACAUCCUCCGUACAUCCUCCAGCGAAAUAUACCUCGGGAUAGUCGUUCAACAUAUCCACUACCCCCGCAUCAGUAUCAUAAUCCUCGACGCGUUGUCUCACCACAUCCUCUCUCAUAUGAUGCGCUUCACCACGGAAGAUCCACCGAGUAUAGUCCGGCGUAAAUCCAUUAUUCCAAAUAUGUUCUACCAUGACUUUCUUUGAUUUUUUUCUAGUUGGCACAUUAGCUGCAUGGGCAUGGGACUAGACUCGCUCCUUUAGCAGCUUCGCCAUAUGCCCAUUCAACGAAAUCAUUGGUCUUUCUAAUCCAUUCAGGGGUGACAUCAUUCCUUCCUACAUGGCCCGUGUACAUCCACUCACGGUCCUCCAUCCUCUAACAUAUAUAACUGAGUAUAGUUUAAUAUAACAUGUAAGGCCUCUGCAAAAAAAUAACUCAAGCCUAUCAACAAAAAAAUUCGGCAGCACCUCUUCUGCACGGGGAGGUUUCCAAAACCUGCAAAUAAAACUAGCAGCACGAUGGCUGACAUCCACACAUAUAUCUAUGGCACGAUAGACGACAAUCACAUCAAUCAGCGUCCAUAUCCAACAUCACAUUAUAUAGAAUUGACACACAUAGUAUAAACUCACUAAACACCCAUACUAAAGUAAUUAAACUUAGUAAACUCACUAAAUUCACUAAACACACAUAAUAAACUCACUAAACCCACUAAAUUCACUCAGUGGCGGAUCUAGGAAUUUAUCUCUGGGUAUGCCGAACCAAUAAUUUGGUGGUACCAUAUAGAAAUAAUAAAAUUUGCCUAACUAAAUAGUUACAAAUAUAUAUAAUUGGUCCCAAUAUAAUAUUUUUAUAAUCAUGAUAAUAUAUUAAUUUAGUUCAAUAUAUGCAUAAAUUUCACUUACUCAUGGGAGUAUGUACUAGAAGAUUACUUGUUUUUCUUUGGCCUGCGGUUUCUGAUGGUAAAAAAGUCUUGAUUACAUCUUCUUCAUCCAGUUGAAAGAAAACAUCUCGCUCAAUAUAUGUGAGUAGACAGUCAUCCAAAAGGCUAUCACCCAUCUUAUUUCUCAACUUACUUUUGAUGAAUGUCAUCGCAGAAAAUGCCCUCUCAACACCUACUGUUGCCACAGGUAGAAGUAAUACUAAUUUGAGAAGCGUGAAUACUAAGUCAUAAACUUUAUGCCUCUUCGUUUGAACAAGCUUCAAUGAGAGAUCAACAAGAUUUUCUAGGCCUUCAAAUAAAACAUCUUUUUUAUGUCAGCAAUAAAGUUACCCAACUGCAAUUCAAGCUUUAGUAAAUCGGUACCAAAUAUGUCCUUUGGAUAAAAAUAAGCAACUCUGCAUAACUUCUGUGCAUCAAAAGAAGCAAAUGAGUCUUUAGGACUGAAUGCCAAAAUACAAGAAAGUAACUCCAUAUUAACUUCAUCAAAGCGACUGUCAAGUUCUUGACUAAUUUGAUCAAUAACCCCAAUAUAUACUUCUCUUCUGAAGUGAUCAUCAUUUGUUUGGUUUUUGGCAAACCGAGCUGAUCUUCCAUAAGGCACAUAAUUAUUCUCCAUGAUAGGAACAUGGACAUCAUGUUUGUUGCAAAAUAAAGUGACCUUUUCAAGGAAUUGACUCCAUCCACUAGACCUUAAUUCUUGCAUUCUAUCCUUUGGCACUCUAAUAAGUGAGAUUGCAUUUAUAAUAUCUUGCUCCCUUCUUUGCAAGCACUCUGAUAAUUCAUUAGUGUAUCCCAAAAUGAUAAACAUCAAGUGUGCACUAAAAAUAUAAUCAAAUGACUCCAAUACUCCAACCAUAGUAUGUAUUUUUGGCCAAUCACUCUUUUGUGAAGUAUCAUUACCAAGAGAGAUGAGUACAUCACGUAUUGUGGGAUACAUACCAAUAAUGUUGACAACAGUUUUGUAGUGAGAUCCCCAACGAGUCUCGCCUGGCCUAGGCAAUCCCAUCUCUUGAUUUAAUCCACUUCCAGUUUGAAGUUCACCACAAUAAAUUGCUUUCAUGACAUUAUCAAGUCUUGCAUCUCGAAUCAUGCCAUGACGUUUACAAGAAACACCAACAAUAUUCAGCAAAAGAGACAUUUGGUCAAAAAACCAAACACAGUCACUAUUCCCCUUGGCAACAACAACAAGAACUAAUUGAAGUUGAUGAGCAAAACAAAGAAUAUAAUAAGCAGAUGGUGACUCUUGCAUGAUCAAUGUUUUGAGCCCUUUAACCUCUCCCUUCAUGUUGCUAGCACCAUCGUAACCUUGCCCAUGAAUUAUUCACUAAACACACAUAAUAUAAUAUGAAAAUCACUAAACUCACAUAGUACAAUAUGAAACUCACUGAAUCUGGGACGGGGUCGGUGUUGAAGAUGGGGUGGCGGCGGGCGAGAGUGUGGGCAGCGGCGGGCGAGGGCGUGACCAGCGGUGGGCGGAAGUGGUGGUGGCGGGCGAGGCCGGCGGUGGGCGGGCUGCCGUGGUGGGGCGGCGUGGCCGAAGGAAGGCACGGCGGUGCGGCGGCGCGGAUGAGGGAAGGGAGGGUAAGAGUGAAUGUGGGCGAGAGAGAAUGGGGGCCAACAAAGUAAAAGUUCUUUACCGAGUGCCCGUGAUCUGGAACUUGGCAAAGAUUUUUUUAAAAUUUUAAAAUAUACUUUACCGAGUGCCCGCGGUCUGGCACUCGACAAAGCCUUCUUUGCCGAGUGUCCUACGGCUGACAUUCGGCAAAGAUUACUUUAUUUUUUUAAAAUAAAGUUUACCGAACGCCCUGUCGGCGUUCCAAGACCGGGGGGUCCCUGGGCCGACGAGUGAAUGUCGCCGCGUGCCCCAGCCCAGAUGGGUCGAGCGCGAGGGCGAGCGCAAAGGGGGGAGAGCGAGGCGGCCGGAGAUCGGCGUGAGAGAGGUGGGAAUCCCGCGGCCUUCGUGUUCGUCCCGCGCCCAGGUCGGGUGCGCUUGCAGUAGGGGGUUACAAGCGUCCACGCGGGAGAGGGAGCGAGCGGCUCCAGGCGAGCGCCUGUUCUCGUCCUCGUCCCCGCGCGGCCAACCUUCUCUAAGAGGGCCCUGGUCCUCCCUUUUAUAGAGUAAGCAGAGGAUCUAGGUGUACAAUGGGGGGUGUAGCAGGGUGCUACGUGUCUAGCGGAGGUGAGCUAGCGCCCUAGGUACAUGCCGUUGUGGCAGCCGGAGAGAUCUUGGCACCCAGCUGGUGUGAUGUCGUGGCCGUCGAAGGAGCGAUGGAGCUUGGCGGAGGGACAGCUGUCGGAGCGGUUGAGCCCUUGCUGACGUCCUCUUGCUUCCGUAAGGGGGCGGAGAGCCGCCGUCGUCACAGAGCAUGCGGGGCGCCAUCAUUGCCUAUCUGGCGGCGCAAGCCAGAUGGGACGCCGGUCUUGUUCCCUGCGGCCCGAGUCAGCUCGGGGUAGGGUGAUGAUGGCGCCUCCUGUCGACGUGGCUGGUCUACGCCCUAGGUUGGGCGAUGUGGAAGCUCCUCCGAAGCCGAGGUUGAGUCCGAGCCCCCGGGUCGGGCGAGGCGGAGAUCGUCGUCUUCUGGGGCCGAGCCCAAGUCCGAGCCCUGGGUCGAGCGAGGCGGAGAUCGUCGUCUUCUGGGACUUAGCCCGAGUCCGAGCCCUGGGUCGGGCAGAGCGGAGUUCGCCGUCUUCCGGGACUUAGCCCGAGUCCGAGCCCUGGGUCGGGCGGAGUUCACCGUCUUCCGGGACUUAGCCCGAGUCCGAGCCCUGGGUCGGGCGGAGCGGAGUUCGCCGUCUUCCAGGACUUAGCCCGAGUCCGAGCCCUGGGUCGGGCGGAGUUCGCCGUCUUCCGGGACUUAGCCCGAGUCUGAGCCCUGGGUCGGGCGGAGCGGAGUUCGCCGUCUUCCGGGACUUGGCCCGAGUCCGAGCCCUGGGUCGGACGGAGUUCGCCGUCUUCCGGGACUUAGCCCGAGUCCGAGCCCUGGGUCGGGCGGAGUUCGCCGUCUUCCGGGACUUAGCCCGAGUCCGAGCCCUGGGUCGGGCGGAGCGGAGUUCGCCGUCUUCCGGGACUUAGCCCGAGUCCGAGCCCUGGGUCGGGCGAAGCGGAGCUUCCUAUGGUGCCUCUGGCAGGGCCUGACCGCUUGCCAGUCUUACUCUGUCCAGUGGCAGUGUAGUCGGUGUGGCGUAGGCGGCGCUGUCCUUUCGUCAGGCCGGUCAGUGGAGCGGCGAAGUGACGGCGGUCACUUCGGCUCUGCCGACGGGGGUGCGUGCCAGGAUAAGGGUGUCAGGCCACCUUUGCAUUAAAUGCUCCUGCGACUUGGUCGGUCGGUGCGGCGAUUUGGUCAGGGUUGCUUCUUAGCGAAGGCAGGGCCUCGGGCGAGCCGGGAAUAUGUUCGCCGCUAAAAGGGGGGCCUCGGGCGAGACGGAAAUCCUCCGGGGUCGGUUGCCCUUGUCUGAGGCUAGGCUCGUGUGAGGCGUGAUCGUGUCCCUCGAAUGGACUGAUCCCUGACUUAAUCGCACCCAUCAGGCCUUUGCAGCUUCAUGCUGAUGGGGGUUACCAGCUGAGAAUUAGGAGCCUUGAGGGUACCCCUAAUUAUGGUCCCCGACAGUAGCCCCCGAGCCUCGAAGGGAGUGUUUGCACUCGCUUGGAGGCUUUCGUCGCACCUUUUUGCAAGGGGACCAACCUUUCUCGGUUGCGUUUUGUUCCGGUGGGUGCGCGCGAGCGCACCCGCCGGGUGUAGCCCCCGAGGCCUCGGAGGAGUGGUUUCACUCCUUCGAGGUCUUACUGCCUCACGUAGUGCUUCGGCUGGUCUGGUCGUUCCCUCAUGCGAACUGGCCGUAGCCCAGGUGUACGGUCGGGUCCCAAGUUCUCGGGCUGGUAUGUUGACGCUGUCAACGGUUCGGCCGGAGUCGGGUUUGCGAUAGCAGCCCCCGAGCCUCUGCACAGAGCGAGAGGGCGGUCAGGGGUAGACUCGGCUUUUUUACAUACGCUCCUGCAUCGCCUUUCCGCAAGGAGGAGGGGGGGAAAGCGCCAUGUUGCCCUCGAUGGGCGUCGAACAUGGUGUCUCCGACGAGCUGCAAGCGGGUAAUCCGAGUGGACGUCCGUGCCCCGUUCGGUAGGGGUCGGCUAGGGGCCCAGAGGCACGCCCAAAAGUACCUGCGGGUGAUCUGCCAGACUCGGUCCCCUGGCGACGGGGUCCGAGGGCUCGAUGCCUCCCUCUGGUGGGAUUCUGUUACAAGAUUGUUCCCGCCGGUCUCGGAAAUGUCCUAGGGUACCUCGGGAGCGCAGCCCGAGCCUUGAUUGUGUAUCGAACGUACCCAUGGUCAUCCCUCGCUCGGCGUCUGAGGUGGCUGUGAACCCUUCGGGGGCCAGCCUUCGAACCCCUGAUUAGUAUUGGGCACGGAGCCCGAGUAGCCUGAGGCGGUCGUUGAACCCUUUCGAGGGGCCGGCCUUCGAACCUCUGACCAGUAGUGGGUGUUGGGCCCACGCGAUCUGAGGCGGCUGUUGAACCCUUCUGGGGGGCCAGCCUUCGAACCUCUGAUCAGUAGGGGGGCUCGGAGCCUGGUUCCUUCUCGGGGAAGGAUCCUUUUCGGGGUAUCCCCCUUUCUCGGUCCCUGUUGCAAGAGAGAGAAAGAGGAAAAACGGAAAAGGAUACGAAAUCGAACGACGCGGCGUACCUUUUUGGACGCGUUCAUUUUGGCGAAGGGGAAGCGUCGCCCGCUUCUCCUGCCAGAGGCGCCGCGUGUCCCGUCGCGGAGUUACUGUGACGGGGCGAGUGGUUGGAGAGGCGACCGUUGCGCAUGCGCGAGCCGUUCGAGGAACGGAUCACGGGCGCGUCGUCUUCACGCCGUGGGAGAGGGUUCUCUCGCUGCCCCCGGAUGGGACGUAAGCUUGGCUGACGACGCGGCCGCUGCGCCUGCUCGCCUGCCACCGCCAUUACUGCCGGCCCACUUCUGGCCAUGUUGACCAUCGCGCCAGGCUGGUGCUGCUGGGUCGCGCGCCGGGUCGCCUCGAGUCGCGGUAUUGGUUCCGCAGUCGAGGAGGUGCGGUGGUGGUGCGGGUGGCGAUGCAGUUACUCACACGUAGCAAACGGCGCACCGGUUGCACGACGCGUGGGCCUGGGCCUCUAUGCUGGGCAUGUUGGGAGUCGGAGGAGCGCGCCCACUUGGCGCGGUUGCAUGCCGCCUGCAUGGCUGCCCACCCUUUCACCCGUUGGUCUGGGCAAAAGUGGAGGGUCGCUUGUAACCGUUGGGCGGUUGUGUGCACCGCGCGUGGCGGUUUGGCUUCUUCUGCCCUGAGUUGGCUUGCAUGACGUGUGGGACCCAGCCCCCGCGCCGUAGGGGAGGACCUUGGAGUGUGUUGGAGAAGACUCAGCCCGUGACGGCUGGGGGCGCGAGUAGGGAGAACCGUCCUUAAAAAGAGGGUGACCCCUUUGGAAGGCGACCAUGUCUUCGCGCUCCCUUAUGCAUCGUGUCUUUCCACCUUCCAGGCCCCCGGAUGGGGGAGAUCCGCCGUCUUUCCGCCUCGUCGUUGGGGGAACGCAACUCCGCGGGAGUUGGUACCUUUCAGCUAUCGUUUGGCUUCAAGGAUUUUCAUCAUGCAGCCCGGCUGCACCCCUCCACCGGUGGUCACCCAAGACGGUGACCACCAGCCCCUGGAUGGAGAGGAGCAAGCUAGGUUGUGGUCUUUGUCCCGCCCCCAGCUGGUCUUCAUCAUCCCCGCUGGGACGGGGCCCGGGCCAAGCCGGUGCUCUGCCUCCUGCGCGGGUCGGCCGACCGCCUCCUCUUCCAGCUUCUGGUGGUGGAGACCAUCCUCCAGUUCUGUGGAGGAGACGUCCUCCAGUCAUGCUGGGGGAGGCGGGCUGUUGUUGCCCAGCUAGGAUGCAACAUUCCAUCCUCUUCCUCGCUUGCGUGGCGAGGACAGGAGUGAGGACCUGCCGAUGCGCCUUGGGGUGACCCGCGUUUGCUGGUGAUUCGCCCAGAGCUUGUCGCUCCACGGGCUUCCCCGUCGUGGGGGUUGUCCAUACCCGCGGGGACGGAACCGGAGUUCCGUUUGUAAUGGCGCCUUGAGUGCUAGUGUUUUUGUUCAUUGUGGCUGUCGGGGCCUGAACAUGUAUGUAGUUUCGGCACGGAGCCGUGUAUUUUCCUCCUUUUCGAGCACUGAAACUCGCCUAUUGGUUGUCUGAACCGCUUCACCAAGCGUGAGUUGCCCCGUGUACAGGUGACGAGUGAGGUAUCCGUAUCCCGGAGGCGUAGGAGUUCCUCGGCUCGGUCGGCCUUGUUGUCCGAGGCUUCUCUAACUUAGUUAAAGGAACCCCUCGGCCGCUCUUCGAUGAGCCGAGGCCGGGGGUAGCGGUGUCAACAUGGGCAGAGGCAGAGUUGUCUUGAAAAGGAAACCUGGUUGGCCGGAGCCUGGCCGGGUCGUCCGUUAGCGGGACCGACGCCGGAAUUGACCAGCCGAGGCCUCGGGUCGGGCUGACGUCCUCGGAGGGAAGCUGGCCGAGGCCCCAGGGUGACCGACCGAGCCGCCUGCUCGGGACGGAUUGACGUCCUUGGAAGGUAACUGGCCGAAGCCCCGGGGCGACCGGCCGAGCCGCCUGCUCAGGCCGGAUUCCCGGAGAAGACCCUAGCGGCGAUGGCCCGGGCGUGGUGAUGACGUCGUCCUCCAGAGUGGAGAUCCUCGGACCGCGUCACCGUCCGAGGCUAGGUCGGCCCUCGCCGAAGGUGUCGUCGAUGCCAAGGGUGCUGCUGCUCCCUUCAGCCGUCAAGAUCCGAGCCUGCAGGAUCGGAUUGUCUUGUAGCGUGUGUUUCCUGCGGCCGCCGAGGCCUGAACACACCCUCGCCGUGUUGUAAAGCUGCGUCUCUUUUCCUUUUAUUUCGAGUAUCUGGACUUUUUUGUUGGUAACAGAAAUGUUUGUGCGAGCAAGAGUUGCUUCUCGCGGAAGGUGACAAGUGAGGUAUCUGUAUCCCGGAGGCGUAGGAGUCCCUCGGCUCGGUCGGCCUUGCCGCUUACGUGCACUCUUACCCGUCCAUGGGGCUCUGUCACCGACGCAGUCGAGAAGGCUCGGAGGAUCGCUUCGGCAUAAGAGCUUUCGGGCGUGAAGACUUGUUCGGUCUGCAGAAUCACUUAUCCGAACGUGAGUUACUUAUCGCAGAAGGUGAUGAGUGAGGUAUCCGUAUCCCGGAGGCGUAGGAGUCCCUCGGCUCGGUCAGCCUUGGCUGCUUACGUGUACUCCGUCGUUUUCAGGAUCCACUUUCGAAGUAGCCAAAAAGCGCGAAAGACAUUCUGGCAGAAAAGAUCUUUUUCCGAGGAAAAUUUCGACGCAGAGGGGGUUCCCCCCCCCUUUUAGCCCCCGAGGGAGGGUCGGGCUUUGCCGAGGCGAAGCCGACCCUUCCUUGAUGACUAAACUUUGCGUGGGUGCGAGGUAUAUGAUCAACUUGAAAAAAUCUUAAGGGUAGAAGCGACGUAGCUGUUGGAUGUUCCAGGCGUUGUCGUAGACCUCGCCUUGGCUGUUGGCCAGCUUGUAUGUUCCGGGCUUCAGAACCUUGGCGAUGACGAAUGGCCCCUCCUAGGGAGGCGCGAGCUUGUGCUGCCCUCGGGCGUCUUGUCGCAGCCGAAGCACCAGGUCGCCCACCUGGAGGUCUCGGGACCGGACCCCUCGGGCGUGGUAGCGUCGCAGGGACUGCUGGUACCGCGCCGAGUGUAGCAAGGCCUGGUCCCGAGCCUCCUCCAGCUGGUUCAGCGAGUUUUCUCGGCUGACUUAGUUGCUUUGGUCGGUGUAGGCCCUCGUCUUCGGGGAGCCGUAUUCUAAGUCUGUGGGCAAGAUGGCUUCGGCCCCAUAGACUAGAAAGAAUGGCGUGAAGCCCGUGGCUCGGCUCGGCGUUGUCCUCAGACUCCAGACCACCGAGGGGAGUUCCUUCAUCCAUCGCUUGCCAAACUUGUUGAGGUCGUUGUAGAUCCAAGGCUUGAGCCCUUGUAGAAUCAUGUCGUUGGCACGCUCCACCUGCCCAUUCGUCAUGGGAUGAGCCACGGCGGCCCAGUCCACCCGGAUGUGGUGAUCCUCGCAGAAGUCCAGGAACUUUCUGCCGGUGAACUGGGUGCCGUUGUCGGUAAUGAUGGAGUUCGGGACCCCGAAGCGAUGGAUGAUGUUGGUGAAGAACGCCACCGCCUGCUCGGACCUGAUGCUGUUCAGGGGUCGAACCUCGAUCCACUUGGAGAAUUUGUCGAUGGCGACCAGCAGGUGCGUGUAGCCCCCGGGUGCCUUCUGCAAGGGGCCGACGAGGUCCAGACCCCACACCGCAAAAGGCCAGGUGAUGGGUAUUGUCUGCAGAGCCUGAGCGGGCAGAUGGGUCUGCCUCGCGUAGAAUUGGCACCCUUCGCAGGUGCGGACGAUUCUGGUAGCGUCGGCCACCACCGUCGGCCAGUAGAAGCCUUGCCGGAAAGCGUUCCCGACAAGGGCUCGAGGCGCUGCAUGAUGGCCGCAAGCCCCCGAGUGUAUCUCUCGCAGGAGUUCCUGACCUUCGGCGAUGGAGAUGCAUCGCUGGAGGAUGCCUGAGGGGCUGCGGUGGUAGAGCUCCUUCUCAUCUCCCAGCAAGACGAACAACUUGGCGCGCCGCGCCACCCGCCGAGCCUCGGCUCGGUCGAGGGACAGCUCUCCUCGGUGGAGAUAUUGCAGGUACGGGGUCUGCCAAUUUUGAUUAGGCGCGACCCCGCUUUUCUCCUCCUCGACGUGCAGUGCCUCACCCUCGGGGGCCGAGGGUACCUCGGACUGAACCGAGGGCGCCUCGGGUCGAGCUGAGGGUGCCUCGGACUGAGCCGAGGGCACCUCGGGUUGAGUCGUGGGCGCCUCGGACUGGGCCGAGGGUACCUCGGGCUCGGACGUGUCGUCGAUCUUGACGGAAGGUUGAUGCAGGUCUCGGGAGAAGAUGUCCGGGGGAACCGUUGUUCGCCCCAAGGCUAUUUUAGCCAGCUCGUCCGCAGUCUCGUUGUAGCGCCGAGCGAUGUGGUUGAGCUCGAGCCCGUAGAACUUGUCUUCCAGGCGCCGAACCUCAUCGCAGUAGGCCUCCAUCUUCAGGUCGCGGCAAUGGGAGUUCUUCAUGACUUGGUCGAUGACGAGCCACGAGUCACCACGAGCAUCGAGGCGUCGGACCCCUAGCUCGAUGGCGAUCCGCAACCCAUUGACCAGGGCCUCAUAUUCGGCCACAUUGUUGGACGCCGGGAAGUGGAGGUGUAGCACGUAGCGUAGAUGCUUUCCGAGGGGUGAGAUGAAGAGUAGGCCUGCGCCGGCUCCUGUCUUCAUCAGCGACCCGUCGAAGAACAUGGUCUAGAGCUCCGGUUGGAUCGGAGCCGUCGGUAGCUGGGUGUCGACCCAUUCAGCCACGAAGUCCGCCAAGACCUGGGACUUAAUGGCUUUCCGAGGAGCGAACGAGAUUGUCUCGCCCAUGAUCUCCACCGCCCACUUUGCAAUCCUACCCGAGGCCUCUCGGCAUUGGAUGAUCUCCCCCAGGGGGAAGGAUGACACCACAGUUACUGGAUGAGACUCGAAGUAGUGUCGCAGCUUCUGUCGCGUUAGGAUCACCGCGUACAGCAGCUUCUGGACUUGUGGGUAGCGGAUCUUGGUUUCGGACAGUACCUCGCUGACGAAGUAGACUAGCCUCUGAACGGGCAGUGCAUGCCCCUCUUCUUGCCUCUCGACCACAAUCGCGGCGCUAACCACCUGGGUGGUCGCAGCGACGUAGACCAGGAGGGCUUCUCCGGCAGCUGGGGGCACCAAGAUAGGCGCCUUUGUGAGGAGCGCCUUCAGGUUCCCGAGGGCUUCCUCGGCCUCAGGGGUCCAAGUGAAGCACUCGUCUUUCCUUAAGAGGCGGUACAGCGGUAGACCUCUUUCGCCGAGGCGUGAGAUGAAACGGCUCAGAGCCGCGAGGCAUCCCAUGACCCUCUGUACGCCUUUCAAGUCCUUGAUGGGCCCCAUGCUGGUAAUGGCUGCGAUUUUUUCCGGGUUGGCUUCGAUGCCCCGCUCGGAGACGAUGAACCCCAACAGCAUGCCUCGGGGCACCCCGAAGACACACUUUUCGGGAUUGAGCUUGACGCCUUUGGCCUUGAGACAUCGGAAUGUCGUUUCAAGGUCGGAAAGGAGGUCAGAGGUUUUCCUCGUCUUGACUACGAUGUCAUCGACGUAGGCCUCGACCGUGCGGCCAAUGUGUUCGCCGAACACAUGGUUCAUGCACCGCUGGUACGUCGCGCCCGCAUUCCUCAAACCGAACGGCAUGGUGACAUAGCAGUACAUGUCGAAGGGUGUGAUGAAAGAAGUCGCGAGCUGAUCGGACUCUUUCAUCUUGAUUUGAUGAUACCCCAAGUAGGCAUCGAGGAAAGACAGGGUUUCGCACCCAGCAGUGGAAUCCACGAUCUGGUCGAUGCGAGGCAGAGGGUAGGGAACCUUCGGACAUGCUUUGUUGAGACCAAUGUAGUCUACACACAUCCGCCAUUUCCCCCCUUUCUCUCUCACAAGCACAGGGUUGGCAAGCCAUUCGGGAUGGAAUACCUCUUUGAUGAACCCUACCGCCAUUAGCUUGUGAAUCUCCUCGCCUAUAGCUCUGCGCUUCUCCUCGUCGAAUCGACGCAGCGGCUGCUUGACGGGUCGGGCUCCGGCUCGGAUGUCCAGCGAGUGCUCGGCGACAUCCCUCGGUACGCCGGGCAUGUCUGAGGGACUCCACGCGAAGACGUCGGCGUUCGCGCGGAGAAAGUCGACGAGCACUGCUUCCUAUUUGGGAUCGAACCCGGAGCCGAUCCGGAUCUGCUUGGAGGUGUCGCCGCUGGGGUCGAGGGGGACGGACUUAACCGUCUCCGCUGGCUCGAAGUUGCCAGCGUGACGCUUCACGUCCGGCACCUCCUUAGAGAGGCUCUCCAGGUCGGCGAUGAGGGCCUCGGACUCGGCGAGGGCCUCGGCGUACACCACGCACUCCACGUCGCAUUCGAACGCGUGUUUGUACGUAGGGCCGACGGUGAUGACCCUGUUGGGGCCCGGCAUCUUGAGCUUCAGGUAGGUGUAGUUGGGGACGGCCAUGAACUUCGCGUAGCAUGGCCUCCCCAGUACCGCGUGGUAGGUUCCUCGGAACUCGACCACCUCGAACGUCAGGGUCUCCCUUCAGAAGUUGGAGGGUGUUCCGAAGCAGACGGGAAGGUCGAGCUGUCCGAGGGGUUGGACGCGCUUCCCGGGGAUGAUCCCAUGGAAGGGCGCAGCGCCUGCCCGGACAGAGGAUAGAUCAACACGCAGGAGCCCGAGGGUCUCGGUGUAGAUGAUGUUGAGGCUGCUGCCUCCGUCCAUGAGGACCUUGGUGAGCCUGACGUCGCCGAUGACGGGGUCGACGACGAGCGGGUAUUUCCCCGGGCUCGGCACAUGGUCGGGGUGGUCGUCUCGGUCGAAGGUGAUGGGCUUGUCGGACCAGUCUAGAUAGACUGGCGCCGCCACCUUGACCGAGCAGACCUCUUGGCGCUCUUGCUUGCGGUGCCGAGCCGAGGCGUUCGCCGCUUGCCCACCAUAGAUCAUGAAGCAGUCGCGGACCUCGGGGAACUCUCCUGCCUGGUGAUCUUCCUUCUUGUCGUCGUCGCGGGCCUUGCCACCCUCCGCGGGUGGCCCGGCCCUGUGGAAGUGGCGCCGAAGCAUGACGCACUCCUUAAGGGUGUGCUUGACCGGUCCCUGGUGAUAGGGGCACGGCUCUUUGAGCAUCUUGUUGAAGAGGUCGGCACCUCCCGGGGGCUUCCGAGGGUUCUUGUACUCGGCGGCGGCGACAAGGUCCGCGUCGGCGGCGUCGCGUUUCACUUGCGACUUCUUCUUGCCCUUCUUCUUGGCGCCGCGCUGAGUUGACGCCUCGGGAGUACCUUCUGAUGGGUGGCCCUGGGGCUGCUUGUCCCUUUGGAAGAUAGCCUCGACCGCCUCCUGGCCGGAGGCGAACUUGGUGGCGAUGUCCAUCAGCUCGCUCGCCCUGGUUGGGGUCUUGCGGCCCAGCUUGCUCACUAGGUCGCGGCAGGUGGUGCCAGCGAGGAACGCGCCGAUGACAUCCGAGUCGGUGAUGUUGGGCAGCUCGGUGCGCUGCUUCGAGAAUCGCCGGAUGUAGUCUCGGAGAGACUCUCCCGGCUGCUGUCGGCAGCUUCGGAGGUCCCAGGAAUUCCCGGGGCGCACAUACGUGCCCUGGAAAUUGACGGCGAAAGCUUGGACUAGGUCAUCCCAGUUGGAGAUCUGCCCCGGAGGCAGGUGCUCCAACCAGGCGCGAGCGGAAUUGGAGAGGAACAGGGGGAGGUUGCGGAUGAUGAGGUUGUCAUCGUCCGUUCCACCUAGCUGGCAGGCCAGACGGUAGUCCGCGAGCCACAGUUCCGGUCUCGUCUCCCCCGAAUACUUCGUGAUAGUAGCCGGGGGUCGGAACCGGGUCGGGAACGGCGCCCGUCGGAUGGCUCGGCUGAAGGCUUGCGGACCGGGUGGUUCGGGCGAGGGACUCCGAUCCUCCCCGCUGUCGUAGCGUCCCCCACGCCUAGGGUGGUAGCCUCGGCGCACCCUCUCGUCGAGGUGGGCCCGUCGGUCGUGGUGGCGGUGCUCGUUGCCGAGGUGACCCGAGGCCGCAGGCGCGGUGUUGCGUGUGCGCCCGGUGUAGACCGAGGCUUCCCGCAUGAAUCGGGAACUCGCGGCAUGAGGUUCCGAGGGGUACCCCUGCCUUCGGGAGGCAGAGCUCUCGGCCCGUCGGACCACGGCGCCUUCCAGGAGAUUCUUGAGUUCUCCCUGGAUUCACCGCCCCUCGGUGGUUGAUGGCUCUAGCAUCGCGCGAAGAAGCAUUGCUGCUGCCGCCAGGUUCUGGCCGACCCCACUGGAUGCGGGUGGUGGCCUGAGCCUGACGUCGUCGGCGAUGCGGUGCUGGAAGCCCUAGGGUAGAUGACGUAUUUCUCCGGCCGGAGGUUGGUCCACCCAUGCCUGCCCGACGUCCCGACGAAUCGGCUCCAGCGCUCCUGCUCCCUCGUCGAGCCUGGCCUGCACCCCGCGGAUUUGCUCGAGCUGUUGGUCAUGACCCCCCGCCUGAACGGGGACCACAGCUAGCUCCCGUGGGAUGUCAAAGCGAGGCACCGGCCUAGGGAGGUCACCGUCCUCCGGCAUACCGAGAUGGCUGCCUUCGGGGGGACCCCCUAGAUCGACGUGGAAGCAUUCGCGACUUGGGCCGCGAUCCUCGUCGCCGAGGCUUCGGCCACCGUCGGAACAGUCGGAAAGGCAGUAGUCGCAUGCGGUCAUGAAGUCCCGCAUGGCACUGGGGUUACCAAGUCCAGAGAAAUCCCAACAGAUGCUGGGUUCGUCGUCUUCCUCGGACCCAGAGGGCCUGUAGGUCGAGACGUCCGUCAGCCGGUCCCAAGGUGACCGCACACGAAACCCCAGAGGGUCUGGAUUUGCUUCUACGAGAGCGCCCGCCAAAGCGAAGUCGCUAGACGGGUUGAGGCUGAACCCAAAAGACGCGGGAUGGGAAUCGAUCGGUACCUUUUGGUCGACGGGCGGCGAUAAGGUCGCGUUGGGGACUGACUGCGCCGCCGUCUCAGGUACGAGGGUGACAUCCAGCAAGCUUUUCGCGAGCGUGCUGGCGUCAUCCGCUUGCUCGGGAUUGGCGUGUCGCGGGGAGAUGGCGCUCGCCUUCGUCUCAAACGCGAGGUCGACGCCUGGUGCGCCCCCCGUUAGGGUGCCGGGACCGUCGACUCGCUCGGCAGCCGACGAGGCGCUGUCUCCUGCUUGGCCUUGGUUGCCCCGCCUCCUCCUCCGUCGACGGGGGAGAGGACGGGGUGAGCUCGAAGGUUGCUCUUCCACCAUGCGGGGAAGACGUCGCCGAUUCCGCCGCCGGCAGGCGGGUUGUCGGCCGCCACUGUUGUUGUCGCACGGCGGUGGAAGGAGUAUCAUGUCGUAGCUGCCGUCGAGGGACAUGAACUCAAGACUCCCGAAACGGAGCACCGUCCCGGGUUGGAGAGGUUGCUGGAGACUGCCCAUCUAGAGCUUGACGGGAAGCUGUUCGUCAACACGCAGCAGGCCCCUACCUGGCGCGCCAACUGUCGGCGUUCCGAGACCGGGGGGUCCCUGGGCCGACGAGUGAAUGUCGCCGCGUGCCCCAGCCCAGAUGGGUCGAGCACGAGGGCGAGCGCGAAGGGGGGAGAGAGAGGCGGCCGGAGACCGGCGUGAGAGAGGUGGGAAUCCCGCGGCCUUCGUGUUCGUCCCGCGCCCAGGUCGGGUGCGCUUGCAGUAGGGGGUUACAAGCGUCCACGCGGGAGAGGGAGCGAGCGGCUCCAGGCGAGCGCUUGUUCUCGUCCUCGUCCCCGCGCGGCCAACCUUCUCUAAGAGGGCCCUGGUCCUCCCUUUUAUAGACGUAAGGAGACGAUCUAGGUGUACAAUGGGGGGGUGUAGCAGGGUGCUACGUGUCUAGCGGAGGUGAGCUAAAGCCCUAGGUACAUGCCGUUGUGGCAGCCGGAGAGAUCUUGGCACCCAGCUGGUGUGAUGUCGUGGCCGUCGAAGGAGCGAUGGAGCUUGGCGGAGGGACAGAUGUCAGAGCGGUUGAGCCCUUGCUGACGUCCUCUUGCUUCCCUAAGGGGGCGGAGAGCCGCCGUCGUCACAGAGCAUGCGGGGUGCCAUCAUUGCCUAUCUGGCGGCGCGAGCCAGAUGGGACGCCGGUCUUGUUCCCUGCGGCCCGAGUCAGCUCGAGGUAGGGUGAUGAUGGCGCCUCCUGUCGACGUGGCUGGUCUACGCCCUAGGUUGGGCGAUGUGGAAGCUCCUCCGAAGCCGAGGUUGAGUCCGAGCCCCCGGGUCGGGCGAGGCGGAGAUCGUCGUCUUCUGGGGCCGAGCCCAAGUCCGAGCCCUAGGUCGGGCGAGGCGGAGAUCGUCGUCUUCUGGGACUUAGCCCGAGUCCGAGCCCUGGGUCGGGCAGAGCGGAGUUCGCCGUCUUCCGGGACUUAGCCCGAGUCCGAGCCCUGGGUCGGGCGGAGUUCGCCGUCUUCCGGGACUUAGCCCGAGUCCGAGCCCUGGGUCGGGCGGAGCGGAGUUCGCCGUCUUCCGAGACUUAGCCCGAGUCCGAGCCCUGGGUCGGGCGGAGUUCACCGUCUUCUGGGACUUAGCCCGAGUCUGAGCCCUGGGUCGGGCGGAGCGGAGUUCGCCGUCUUCCGGGACUUGGCCCGAGUCCGAGCCCUGGGUCGGACGGAGUUCGCCGUCUUCCGGGACUUAGCCCGAGUCCGAGCCCUGGGUCGGGCGGAGUUCGCCGUCUUCCGGGACUUAGCCCGAGUCCGAGCCCUGGGUCGGGCGGAGCGGAGUUCGCCGUCUUCCGGGACUUAGCCCGAGUCCGAGCCCUGGGUCGGGCGAAGCGGAGCUUCCUAUGGUGCCUCCGGCAGGGCCUGACCGCUUGUCAGUCUUACUCUGUCCAGUGGCACUGUAGUCGGUGUGGCGUAGGCGGCGCUGUCCUUUCGUCAGGCCGGUCAGUGGAGCGGCGAAGUGACGGCGGUCACUUCGGCUCUGCCGGCGGGGGGUGCGUGCCAGGAUAAGGGUGUCAGGCCACCUUUGCAUUAAAUGCUCCUGCGACUUGGUCGGUCGGUGCGGCGAUUUGGUCAGGGUUGCUUCUUAGCGAAGGCAGGGCCUCGGGCGAGCCGGGAAUAUGUUCGCCGCUAAAAGGGGGGCCUCGGGCGAGACGGAAAUCCUCCGGGGUCGGCUGCCCUUGUCCGAGGCUAGGCUCGGGUGAGGCGUGAUCGUGUCCCUCGAAUGGACUGAUCCCUGACUUAAUCGCACCCAUCAGGCCUUUGCAGCUUCAUGCUGAUGGGGGUUACCAGCUGAGAAUUAGGAGCCUUGAGGGUACCCCUAAUUAUGGUCCCCGACACGCCCCUUCGUUGGCACUCGGCAAACUAUUCUUUGCCGAGUGUACUCCUAGGACACUCGGCAAAUCAUACUUUUAUUUUUUAUUUUCUCUUCAAACUUUUCUAUUCUCUUUCUACGGUAUAUAAAACUACAUGUUCCAUUUUAUCACAACUAUAAAAGUGUUUGCUAUAACUAUUAGAUUUUGUUCGUUUAAUUGAAUUGACUUGGAUAAUUCAGAUUUGAAUUGCAAGUCACUCGAAAAAUGGAAAACCAUGUAUGAAAAAAUGAUAUUCAUGUUUCUUAGCACCAGUUACGACCUAUUUAACGAGCAGACCAGAAUUUCCGAGAACCAUGCUCACUAAACAUGACCGUGAACUUGUCAUCCAGUUGUUUAAAAAUUGUAUAAAACACAAACAAAGUCAAAAAAUCAUGAAACUUGUCCACAUGUUAUGAUAUCAUAUGUAGAGGCUGUGAUAAAAAUUUGAGAAUGUUUUAAGAAAGUUGUGACGCACUAUAUGUAGAAACCUAAGUCCCCCACACAUGAAAUCAUAGAGUUUCAAUGUAGACCGGCUAGAAUUCUUCACAUAGUGCGUGAUAACUUUCUCGAAACAUGCUCAAAUUUUUAUCAUAACCUCUACAUAUGAUAUCAUGACAUGUGGAUAUGUUUCAUGAUUUUCUAACUUUUUUGUGUUUUAUACAACUGGAUGGUAAGUUCACGGUCAUGUUUAGUGAGCAUGGUGCUCAAAAAUUCUGAUCUACUCCUGAAAUCGGUCGUUACUUGUGCUAACUAACAUGACAAGUUCAUUUUUGCAUUCACGGUUUUCUAUUUUACGAGUGACUUGUAGUUCAAAUCUGAAUUAUCCGAGUAAAUUCAAUUAAAAGAACAAAAUCUAAUAGUUAUAGUAAACACUUUUAUAAUUGUGUCAAAAUGGAACAUGUAUGUCUACAUAGUAUAGGAACAUACCAUAAAAAGUUUGGUUGAAAAAAGAAAAAAAUAAAAUAUACUUUACCGAGUGCCAUCCUAGGACACUUGGCAAAGUAUGGCUUCUGAGUGUCGGGUUUGAGGCACUUGGCAAAGUAGCUUCUUUGUCGAGUGCCAAAUCCCGGCUCUCGGCAAUGAUAAUGGUCGUUAGCUAUAGACGGCUGCUGAUGGCCCUUUGCCGAGCAUCGCCCUUCGCUGAGUGUUUGGCACUCGACAAAGAGGACUUUGCCGAGUGUCUUCCAGUGCUGAGAGUCCUGCUCUCGGUAAACGUGGUCGUUACCGAGAUAGGACUUGGUCGAGUGCCCGAUAAAAAGCACUUGGUAAAGCGCCAAGCACUCGAUAAAAAGCCAGAUUCUAGUCGUGAUUCUUAACUUUGAUAUGUUCACUGGCUUGCAUAACAAGCAAUCUCCACAAUAUCAUAAGAUCCCCUUUUGGCAUGGGCAAAUCUUCUUCAAUGGUCUUUCUGGUAUCCAACAUUGGCUAGAAGAUUAUUAUGUUCGUCUUCAUUUCUUGAGUGUGCAAACAUUGGUCCAUAUUCGUAUCCUUGCUGACCAUCCAUUGAUGUUCCUCCUCCUACCACUGAACCAUUUAAAACCAACACUCCUCCUCCUACUAGUGAAGUUUCUUCCACCGAUAUUUCUCCUCCUCAACCUUUCAAUUAUUCGUACCCUCCUCCAUACUCGUACUUGUAUGGGUAUCCAUAUGAUGCUCCUCCCUCAUUUCCACCUCUAUAUGAUGUUCCUCUAAUAUAUGGUGCUCAUGCUUCUUUUUACCCUUCUAUAGGCACGAUAAUGACCCCAAGCAGCCAUAACGAUGCGACCUCCAACUAGUCCACGUACUCUAGUGUGACUUAGUUCCAAUGACAAAGGGAUUGGACUAAUACGGAGGACAAAAGACUCGUAAGUAGUAAGUACAUAUAUAAUUUUAUAAAUCGGACACAAGUUUUAGGCUGACAACAUUUUUUGACUUCAUAAACUUGUAGAUCCACGCAUGGCUAUUACACUCUAUUGACCCCAUUAAAAUAAACAACAAAAAUGGAUCGAUCUUUUUAUAUAAGCCAAAUAAUAACUAUGUGCAACUCCACCUCAAAACCUCCUCACCAUAAUACCCCCAAGCAACCAAAGCACCAGUGGUCCAUAAGCAACCAUAAGGUCACCCUCUUCAAUGACACCUACAACCAAUUAUCCAUGGCAUGGAUAGUGGAGCAAAUUGUGCUAUGCUUCUCAAAGCGGAAAAGAAGAGCUUCCACAAUAGGCCUGGUGAAACGUAUUUCAACUAGAGCACAUGUGGAGUGCUCUUCACCAGUAGCCCAAGUAGUGCGCAUGGCAUGAUGAUGAUGACGCUAGAGAUGCAACCAAUAGAUCACGUCACAACAUAGAAGUCGAUUAUAGCUCCGCAUAGCUAGACAAUGUCGGACCAAUAUGCCCUAUUGUCCAUGAUAGGGCAAGAGCGCAACACAAAGGGAAGGGUCUAACAAUGAGUAGCAUAGUGAACAAGCUCUACAAGGCUAGCUAGAGGAUAACUCAAUCAAAAUUAUUUGAGAACUUCACCAAGUUAUUAGAUCAGUCAACCAUCGAUAUAGAUGAUGUCUUGAAAAAGACACAUAGGUUGGGUGUAAAAAAAUGACCAAGCAAUUAAAACUAGAUGAGGAAGAAAAUGUGGAAUAGGUGGAGGAGGGUGAUGACGAUGAGUAGUACUAAUGUAUUAUUUUUUACAAACAUGUAUUUUUAUUUUAAAAAAUACAAAUUUAUUUAUUAUUAACUAUUUAAUUUUAUUUUUUAGUUGCAUGAUCCGAUGAUUUUUUCCAACAAAACAUAGUGUAUUGUUUCAAAUACAAAUCUAUAAAAGAAAAGAUGGUGUGGUGUUGACGUGACUAUAGGUUGACAAUAAACUUAAAUAGAAUCUUAUAAUUAAUAAGGGAUCAUAGCACGAUUGAUAGUGUGAUCGAUAGCCGGUGGUUAUAACUGUCAAGUGCAUUAGAUCUAGCCUAGGCCAUAUGGAUUAUGUUAUCGCUAAGCCUCGAUCACUAUUCAUUGUAUGAAAUAUGUUAAAGACUAUGGCAUAUGGUCAAAAGUAUUGAGAUUCUUCAUAUGAAUUCAUGCUAAAAUGCUUUCACAUAUAUAGACAAUUGAUUAUGGAAGAGGUUAUAUUUGUAGGGGUGGGCCCAAUUAUAUUGAACGAUAUUCGAUUGAAUAUCUAGUUUUUUGGCAAGAAAAGUUAUAUAUUUAGUGUAUAUAUGUAUACAUACUGAAAAGAAGAAAAAAAUGAAGAUAAAUAAAUAUCCAAUGAAGAACUGGGUCCAAAAUAGACUUUUCUACUCCUAUCCCCUCCCCAUCCAUGGACUAAAGGCCCAUUUUGGUUGAAGAAUGUAUCAGGCAAAAAGCCAAAAAAAACUUGGCCUCCCCACCCUACCUAUUCGCUCUAUUUCUCAGCCUCACACUUAUGACUGUUGAAAGCAUCUAGGCCCUCAAAAGUUAUGAUGAUUAAUGACAUUAUAAGAUUAUUGUGACUAAUUUGUGUGUUGCAUAGGCAAAUUUGAGUUAGAUCAUAAUGAUGGAGAAUGGUUUAGACAAUGUAUGUUUACUAUGCCCCUACUUAUGAAUUUCGUUAUGAAUCAAUUAGUUCUAAACUUCGAUUGGAGUUGAGACACACUUAGAGUAGUUUGGGACUUUGUUGUUCCUUUUAUCAUACUAUAAAGGGAGUAGUUUAGGACUUCACUUUUCCUUUGAUCGUACUAUAAGGGGAGUAUAAACUAGUAGCUUGAAUAAAUAAGUCUAAUGAGUAUAGUGUGGCAUAAACUAGUUGUUUCUAACUCUAGCUGACUUAGAAGGGGCCAAAAAAAUCAUCAAAACCUAAAACAGUACCUCAUCGAACCAAUGCAUUGGGUCCAAUUGUUUUUGUGAUCAGAUGGAGAGUUCUAGGGGUACGUUGGAUUGGUCCGAUGAUAUGUGUUAGACCGAACAAUGGCACUGUUUCAGCUAUGGUUUUGGCUAUAGGGUCAUCGGGCCCUAUGAACAGUUGCCUCAUUGAAACAAAGAGGAUAAGUAUAACAAGUGCUGCACAAUGACUAGAGAGAUUUUGGUGGGCAUCAUACUAGUCCGACAAUGGGUAUAGGAUCAUACGUCGAAGGCUACGUUUUAAACGACCAGUUCUAACAUGGCAGUACAAUAGUUACCAUUGUGUCUCAUUAGACCCUACAUUCUGGUACGACAAUGAUCAUUGGAUGGUAUGGCGAUGGUGAAUUUAGCCUAACUUGGCAGUAAUGGUUAGUUGGCUGGUUAGGGGCUAUAAAUACCCCAUCAAAUGGCCAGCACACCUACCCUUGCCUUCAUUUAAUAACCAAAGCAACCCAUAUAUUGUGAGAUAAGGAGUCAUUGCAUAGUGGGGGACUUGAGAGUCAGAUUCACAAGUUUAUCAGCCUAAUUAAUGCAAACAAGAGAGAUUAGUGUGCACCCAUUAAUCUCAUCAGUUUUUAGAGACAAGUGAUAAUUUAUGUUUAUUACUCUUGAUGACUAGCAUCACCUAGAUGGUUUGGUGGCACUUGAAGUGCAAUGAUCAUCUAGAGAGAUAGUGGGUGGCCCAACUCAAAAACUAUAUAUGGUUGUGAGCAGUUCACCGUGAUGCAGUGGAAAAGAACUAGCUUGCAGUGAGCACUUAGUCCAUGUGCGAAUCAAGGGUGGGUGAAAACCUUCUGUGGGUGCUCCAAUGAGGAUUAGGGAAGAACGACGACUCUCUGUGACAUCAGAACGAACUUGAGGAAUCUUCUAAAUUCUUGCAUUACUUUCCACAAUUAUGUUUGUACAAAUUUACAUUCUUCUUAGAUUUGCCAUGAUGCAUAGUGUUGAAAUUAAGGCACAAUUUUUUUAUAUAGAUUAGACACUUGGGUGAAGCUAAGAUUAUAAUUAGGAUAUGCAUAUGUAUUGUGAUGAAAAAAUGAAGAUCAAUAAACAUCUAGUGACAAAUUAAAAUUUAAAUAGAUUUUUCUACUCCCCUCCCCACCCGGAGAAAUCCACAGCCACCCUUCCCCACCUAUUCACUCUCUUUCUCGGCCCCUCUCGUGAUUGCAACUAAAAAGCUCGUGAUUGGCAACACCACAAGCCCACUACUUAUCCCCCUUUAGAAUUAAACACCAAUGAGGAAGAUAUUAAAUUAAAGAAAUAGGGAUGGCCAAUUCUUGUGACCCUAUAAAAUUUUCCUCCUUCCAAAUGAAAUCUCCCCCUUUGUUAUAAGAAUUUGUUCACAAUAAUUUGACCCUUGCAAUAAAUAGACUAAGUUGAUCCUAUAUGUAUGCAUAAAUAUGAUGAAUAGAAAACCAUAUGCAUAACAUAGUAAUGAAUUGAAAACAUGUGGGAGUUUAACCUAUACGAAGAAAGCAAGAAAGAGAUACUAAAUAAUCUUGAAACCAAUAUGCAUGGUGUUUGGGGUCUGCUUCGUCGCCGAAGGUCCUGUGAGAUGAAGCACCUUCGGAAGGUCAGAAGAAGAAUAAUGUCGAAGCUACCAAUCAGGAAGCUUCGUAGUAUAAUUCAAAAUGCACCGACUUAAAGAUGAGAUGACCAAUCGGCCCAUGAUAAACUGUGUAAAAAUUGUAAUCAUUUAUAGAGGACAUGAAUGUAAAUUCACACAGGAUGCGUCCUAUGCCUAUAAAUAGGUGAACAGUACCCCAUACUGUUCAAACUUUUUCGCAUCACAUCUAUAUCUUCGUAUUCGAUCAAGCUCAAGGUACAAAUGUAAUUUAGUUUAACUUUCAUGUAUUCUUGAUUAUUUAACAAUAAAUGUUCAUAUUUCAAUAUUAUGUAAUUAUUUAUGUUGUUGUCUUAUGUUUCAUAACCUUCAUCCUUUAAUUAUACAUGUCGUGUUUAUGAAGGUAUGUCCUUCAUAACCUUCGUCUGAAGAUCAUUAUAUUCUAAGGGAAAUAAUGCUUAGAAGGACGAAGGACAUUAACAUUUAAUAUUUUUCUGGUGUGUUGCCUUGUUCUUAAUUCAUAGCAUUUGAGAACAAGUCUCCAACACAUGGUAUUAAAGUCGAUAUAUGUAUGGUACCUACUGCUGUAGAAAUCUUGAAACACAAAGAAUGUUACUUGAUAAACUUGUUUGAUUUCACACCCUUGAAGAGAACGAAAAACACUCUACAUAAUGUUGAUGUAUGGAACGUAUAAACAAACAUAAUUCGCGGGGUAAUUAGCUAAACUUGACGACUAGUAGUGUGGGUUGACGGCGAAGCACUUCUCCCUGAUCUCUCCCUCGUCGCCGGUGAGCACCUGGACCUUGCCCAUCUUAACCAUGGCCUUGGCGAACUUGACCUGCCAUGCCUUCUCGACUGCGGCGUUGAAGUGGACCAUUCCGGCAGUCCAUGGGUUUUCGAGCAGUGUGUUGUCGGAGAUGAACAGGACCUUGUGCGCCAGCACGUUCUUGUAGUACUGGUUGUCGAAGGUCGCCGACGUGACUGGGUCAAGCGGCACCACCGUGGGGUCCAUCUGGUCGUUGCUGGACGGCCAUGGGCAGCGCAUCUUGAGGUGCUCAGCGUAGGCAGGGUCGAGGGACGGGUCCGUCCGCCCCAGCUGCCCGCUGAAGUUGU
rnacentral:lncRNA from 1 species